rnacentral:lncRNA from 1 species
UUUAUAAAUGUUUAUGAUGUUAUCUUAAAUUUAAUACUCAAUUACAAUUUUGGUCCCUCUAUUAUUACAAAUUCACGUAAUUGAGUCGUCUUUUUUAAAAAUUGACGGUUUUGAUCCUCUCUUAGUUUUUUGAACUAAAAAAUAACGAUUUGACAUAUUUUUAGUAACAUGACAUACAAUUUUGUAAUAUAGAUUCAUUAAUUACUCAUAUGUCAAUAGUUAAAUUAAUAAUAUAAUAAAUUUUCGAGCUAUUGAAAACUAAAUUUUUACGGUUUAUUCCAAUUUCAUGGAUGUUAAUCAUUAUAUAUCGUCGUAUCAUAUGUCAUGUUAUUUAAAGCAUCAACGUCAUAAUUUUUAGUUAAAAAAACAGAUGGAGGGAUUAAAAUUGUCGACUUUAAAAUAUGGACCGACUUCAUAAAUCAAUAAAAAUAAAGAGGAUUAAAACUGCAAUUAAGUUUAAAUUUAAACUAACAAAAUUGAAAUUCAAAAUUUUAUCGAUGUUUUUAAUAAAUUAAUGUAAUUUUUAAGGGAUUUUGAUUAGAAUAAUCAUAAAAAUAUAAAUUAUCAUAAUUUUUUUUAAAUUAAAAAAUUUAGAGCAAAUUCGAGUGAGAUUUAUCUUAGAACUCUUUAAAUUAAAGCAUAGUUCUCCUACUAAAGUUUAUUAGGUUUUUCUUGCUAUUAGAGCAUUAAGCCCUAAAGUUUAAACCUAUUAAUGUUAGGGUGCUAUUCAAAUAAUAUUUUAAAAUCCCAUCUUAUUUUUUAUUAUUUUAUUAUGGAUUUAAGUGAGAGCACCGAAGAGCUGAAUGUUUUGUUAAUUGUGAAAAAAAAUUUCAAAUUUUAUUUUUCUCUUAAAACUAUAAAAAAAAAUAUAAUCUUAUUUUUCUCAAAAAAUAUUUUAAAUCAUUCUUUUAAAAAAAAAUUUUGUAAAAAAAAAUUAAUAAAAUUUUUAAAAAGUAUUUUUCUUGAAUAAAACGAUUUAUCUAUUGAAAAGAAUAAAAAAAAUCAAAAUUUGAAAAAGUACACACACCUCGUUUAAUGCAUAAAAUUUUAGGGAUUUUUUAGAUUUGAGACUUCUUUUUUGGGAUCUUGUUAAUUAUGAAAAUUUAUUGGUUCAUCUAACGUGUGAAUUAAAGCCAAUAAUGAGUGGAGUUGUAAAAUUAACACAUAUAAUUGCUAUAAAAAAAUUGGAUUUUGUAAGGCUAAAUUGACUUGUACUCCAUUUAUAAUUUUUAAAAUACUAUUAAGUGAUUGAUAAAAAUUAUAAUAAAUUUAAAUAUUUCAAAAAUUAAAUUUUUAAUAGUUAUAUUUUAAUAUCGAAAAUUUCAAAUAAAAUUUCUAAGAGUUAUUUUCAAUUAAAAAUUUAAAAUAUUUGGUAUUUAAAAUAUUCAAUAAUUCUUUUAAAUAAAAAUUUGUAUUUUUAAAAUGUCUGAUAUUAAAAUAUAACUACGAUACAUCCUAGUCAGUUUUUUUUUUUUUUUUUUAAGUUUAUAUUUUUUCCAUUCAAUUUUUUUUAGUGAGGAUGAGAAGAACUAAAAACAGCGUGGAAAGUUAUGACGCAGUCCGCUCUGUUUCUAGUUGAACCAUAUCCGGCGGUUGGAACUUGGAAGGGUAGUUAAGUAUUUAAAAUAUUGAAACUACCGAAGUCUCCACCAACGUAAUCUCUCUCUUGGGGCACCCAUCGUGUAUACUUUAGAUUGACUUCAAUUUUUGAAAACAACACUACACUGAUAGUAUCAAAAUGGAGAAGAACGAAGAAGUUCCCGUCUUCUGGUUCGAAACCUCUAACUCUGUUUGUCGUCGACACCACUUUCAAUCCGACGGUCAACUCUCCGUACGUCCUCUAUUCUCCAAUCUCUAUUCAUAAGAUUUUCUAAAAUCAAUAUUUCUUACGCAAUGUUCUAAAGUUAACCCUAACAAGUGUUUUUCGUUUCUCUAUAGGUAACUCUUGUUGAUGAUUCCAGACCGUUAUAUCAAAAGGUUGCUGGAUCUUUCAUGAACAAAUUUUUCCCCUCCGGAUAUCCUUACAGGUUAUUUGAAAUUUUCUUCAUUGUUGAAUAUAUGAUAUAUAGUUAUGGCUUAGUUUAUAUAAGUUUGUUCAAUUUACUCAAAUUUCUAGUGUUUUCAUUGUAGCGUGAAUGAAGGUUAUCUUAGAUACACGCAAUUUCGAGCAGUGCAGCAUGUUACUAGUGCUGCAAUGUCAGUGCUAUCAACUCAGGUAUUCUUCUUAUAACAUUCAAUUUUGAAAAAUCUUAGUGAACCAUGUAAAUUCUUGAUUAAAUGGUUAUUUUGGUCACAAAAGAAAUAUUGAAUAUGUCUUGUAUUAGUAAUUUUGAGGACUAAACUAACUAACAAAAGCCAAGUUUGAAGACACAUUCAAAGACUAAAUUGAACAAUAAAAUAUGCAUCCAUGGAUUUUUUAUAAUCCGCUAUGCUAUAGUGUAAUAGCACUCCAAUAGUGGCUAUUUGACAACACUUUGUACUAAAUACCACACCACGGAGUAAUAACAAUUUGUUCAAUUUCCACUACGCUAUUACGCUAUAGCGGCUAUUUUACAACACUAAGACCAAAAUGGUUGAUUAUACCAAUCUGCUUUAUACAUUUUUUUUUUGUUAGUUGUAAGAAUUGAUUCACAUGAAAUUAUUGAGUAUUAACUGAGUGUCCUUGUGCAGUCACUAUUAAUUGCUGCAGGGUUGCGGCCCACUCCUGCACAAGCAACUGCUGUUAGCUGGGUAAUUUGAUACUAAUUUGCAAUUGACAAUUUCUCAGACUAGUAAUAGUCGUAGCAUAUGUUUAAUGUAUACCCCAUGUGUGCGGCUCGUAUCCAGAUUUUAAAGGAUGGGAUGGAACAUGUCGGGAAGCUAAUAUGUAGCAAUUGGGGUGCAAGAAUGGAUUCUGAGCCUAAACGAUGGAGGUUACUAGGUUUGCAACUUAGCUUGGGGAAAAAAUAUAUUAGUUGUAAUUUGUUUAGUUUACAAGUUGUCUGACUGUUAAUAACUUUACAUUUUGCAGCUGAUGUGCUCUAUGAUUUAGGCAUGGGCUUGGAAGUGCUUUCUCCGUUAUGCCCACAUCUUUUUCUUGAAAUGGCAGGCCUAGGAAAUUUUGCAAAGGUUUAUAUUUUUAUCGGAUUCUCUUAUAAGUAAUUUCCUCUUAUGGCAUCUGCUGCAUUUUAAAGUUUGAUUCAGUGGUAAUUGUUUAUUAAAACCUUCAUGAUUAAGAACUUUAGCAAGCAUCUUAUUAUAGAUUUAUAGUGAAGGUACAACUUUUAUUCUUAGCUAUUAACUUAUCUUUAUGUUAUUAUGGAGAGUUAACAGGGGAUGGCUCUUGUUGCAGCUAGAGCAACACGAUUGCCUAUAUAUUCUUCAUUUGCUAAAGAAGGAAAUCUCAGCGACCUAUUUGCUAAAGGGGAGGCUUUUUCAACUCUAUGUAAUGUUGUUGGACUUGGAAUUGGAAUUCGAUUAGCUUCUACUAUCUGUGCAUCAGUGCAGGGAAAGGUAUGAAGAUUUUAUUACGCCAUUCAACAAUAGUUAUAAUCCUAAGUUUAAAGGUUUAAAGGUAAAUUGGUUGUGAUUGCAUCAAAUAGAAAUAAUGAUAAAAAUAAUUUGGAAUAACUGAGAGAUUAAAAUGCCGGGAUUAAUUUAGAUUCAAAUAGUUGAUUUAUCCUAAAUCAAGAUUCAAAGAAUAUUUUCCAUUAAAACUUCAAAUCAAAGAUCAAGUUAUAAAAAACAUGAAAAACAAAGAUAAAUCAUUGGGAUUGACGAGUAACUAGAACAUAUAUAUAGAAAUCAAAAGAGAUACAUGAGAGUAUGAUUAAAAGAGAGAGUUUAGUUACUCAUGGUAGCCAUGAAAAUGAGAUCAAGAGGGUAGAAAGUCUUCAAUGAUGUCGCAAGAUGAGCUUCUCCAAUUUUUCUUUUUAUAUCACAAGCAAGGAGGUGAAUAAGUGACAAACUCGCUUAGCGAGUCCAAGAUUUCUUCAUGCUGACGGAGUUUGAGUCUUUUGGAACCGCCUAAAAUGGCUCAACGAAUCAUGUGUGGCUUAGCCAAUCUGUUCUGCUAAAAUCUUGUACUUCUUUCUUGAAUUCGCUUAGAUAGCCCACGUUGGCUAAGCGAAUUUUGUCCUGUUUGGGCAUUCAAGCCUUUUUUUUUUUCCACUCCAUUUUUUUUCUACACGAACAAAAAUAAUAAUUAGAUGAACUUUUCAAUACUUUCUCAUAAAAUAAUCACACUACACAACUAUUACAAAAAUUGAGGUUAAACUAACAUAUUCGUUACCGACGUAAGUCAAUAAGUGCAUUAAAUCUACAUAAUUUUCAAGUAAAAUUGACACUUAUCAGUCACAAUUAUAUGUACCAACUUACCCAGAAAAAAAUGGAAAAUAACAAAUUUAGUUCUAGAUAAAAAUGGAUAGUAACAAGGGAACAAUUUUUCUGUGAAAUUGGACUUAGGAGAGAAUAUUUAAGCGUCAUGAUUAUAUUUCAGGCUAGCACCAACAAUUAAAUUAGAUUCAUUUAUUUAAAAACUCUUAUUAAUGGUAGUUAGCGGUGUAGUUAGAUGAGUAGAAAUACAAAAAUUAAGGGUAUAUUAGUGAAAAACAGUAAUUAAUGUUUCAUCACUAAUAUAAAGAGACAUAUAAUUUGAGACAAAUAAAUAUUGCAAAUGAGCCAUUUAGUAUGAGACGAAUAAAGUAUUUUAUUUGCAACGAGUUCAUUACUCAAGAACUGAAAGGAAACAUGUUUUUUUUCUACUUUACUUUUUAGAGAUGUAAUUAAUCAUGCAACAUGUCUUGAUAAACAUUUUCUUGUAAUUAAUCAUGCAACAUCUCUCCUUUCAAUCAUCACUCGUAUAUUAUUUUAGUGUUUAUGUCCAAUCAGAACCAUUACUCGAAAUAUGAAAGAAAAAAAAUAUUUUCUUGUUCUUUACUGUCUAGACUUAUAAUUAAUCAUGUGGUAGAACUCAAUGCUAAACAUAUGUUGUAUCUAUGAUUUCAAUUGAUUGAUUAUGAAACUUUUUAUGCCAGUUGGUUGUAGUUCCUCUCCUUUCAUUUAUACAUAUAUACUCUGUGUCUGAAGAGAUGAGAGCAACUCCUAUCAAUACUUUGAAUCCACAAAGAACAGCGAUGAUUGUGACUGAUUUUCUCAAGGUCUGGUUUGGAAUAUUUUGUUCUAAAUGAUAACUCUCUUGGUUUUUCCUUCCUUUUAUUUGAAAAUGUAAAUUGGUGUUUGACUGUUAAUUGAAUUCCAUACCAGGCAGGAAUUGUAUCAAGCCCUGCUGACCUAAGAUAUAGAGAAAACCUGCUUUUUUCUGUGAGGAUCAAAGAAGAUGUUGGAAAUGUAAGAGUAGGGAAGGCUUUACACGAAGUUAUUAAACCUUCCAAACUUGUUGAAUUAAAACAAGUGUUUCCUAAGGAGAAGUUUCUUUUAAGUCGCGGAGGUAAAUGCAUUGACAUGGUAUUGAAGCAAGAUGCUAGUGGUGAAGAUGCAUUGAGAGGGUGGCUAGUUGCUGCAUUUGCUGAACAAAAUGAGAGUUCCUCUCAUGAGCUUAGUGCUAGUGUCCUGCAAGAAGCCUACGGAAAAAUGAAUGGAGUCUUUCAUGUAUUUCUAAAAGAAUUGCAGAAUAAAGGGUGGCACACUGAUCGCUUUCUGGAUGGAACUGGGAGCCGGUUUGCAUUCUAGUUAGUGUUAAUAAACAGCGGCACUAUACACUGUUGUGUAGCAAAACUUGAACAAAUCAUUUUUUGUUUUUCUACAAUUGACAACACUAAUUGUGAAUUGAGUACAUUUUACACAUUAUUUGAGAAAUUUUGAUGUACUUUGAGUGGAGUUAAUCCAGUGGUUCAUAUUACUUUGUUAACUAUGCAUUUAAUUAUUAUUUUUAAAUUAAUUAGAUGUGUACGGAAAAACAAUUUGAUUCAUGAGUAUGUAUAGAUUAACAAUAACUCUGUUCUACACAAAUUCAUAUAAAAUUUUCUAUUUAUGCACAUGUGUUUUAUUUGGAACAUUAUUAUUAUUAUUUUUAAUAGAAGGGAAUCGGCUUGGAAGAAUUUAAUUCUUCUAUAGUGAGAAAUUGAUAAGGUGAGAUCAAUGGUUGAUAUUAGUUAUGCAUUAUGAUAUAAUAUAUUUGGAAGAAAUACUAAAUGUAAACAAAAUAAUAGCAACACAGUCCCUUAUUUGAACUUCAACCCAUCAAUAUUGAAAAUAUGUCUUAAAAGAAUCUUGUCAAUGUUCUUUACACACACAAAAACAACAUAGGAAACUUCAAAUAGUUGAAGUCAUAAGAGAGAUCUCAUGUUUUAAUAAGGGUUCAACCACUGAAUUUCUCCCAUGAAAAAUAUACUGAACACAACAUUAUCAAACUGAUGUGUGAGACCUUGAAUCUGAAAAACCAAUGUUGAGCAUGGGUGAAGAAGAACACCCUUUCAUCAUAAAAUUAAUUGUAGUAUCAAAAUUUGAUUGAAAAAAUCCGGUUAUGAGACCUAAAUUCAAAAUCGGAUCCAAAUCCAUUUUAAAUAUUCGGUUAAAAUAAUAUGGUUAUAAUCCGAUUUAUUUAUUAACACACUUAUGUUUUAUAUUUGAAUUUUAUUUUUAUCCACUCAAACUCCAAACAAUCUUAAAUCUCCAAAACUCAAACGAUUAUGAUUUUGCCAUUAUUCCACUGACCUUCCACCUUUCAACAACAUUUUCCGAUAAUUUAUUACUAACUUUAUUUAAUCAAUAGCUUAUUACUAAAGCUGUAAAAAAAAAAAAAACUCCAAACUCCAAUGCCGUCUUUAAUUUUUUAUUUAUUAAAUCCCAAAUAUUAGAUUCUCUAUUAAAAUAAUUUUUUUAAAGCCCUGAUUUAUUAUUUUAUUAUUGUUUGUGAGUUUAAGGGAGGGGGGCUCAUAGGCCCCAAUAUUUUGUUAAUUUUGAGAUUCUUUUCUUGAAUUUUUUGUUGAAAUUUAUAUUUUUUUUCUCAAAAAGUUUGAUGAGAUUUUUUUUAAAAAAAUUUCUCGUGAAAAUUGAAUUUUGUUUUUUGUUUAUUUAAAAAAAUUGUAAAUAAUUUUUUAUUGAAUUUUGUAAAACCCGUUGCUUAAUUAGUAACCGGUUAUUUACCUAUAUCCAAUUUUACAAUUGAUUUUAUAACCGGUUUUAUACCAAAUAAUGUAUUUGGUUAUAAAUCUAGACCUAAACUUUGUUCUCUGCUUUGGGUCUAUUGAUUAGCCUUCGCAGUCUUUUCAAUUGUGAAAAGACGUCUUAAUGAUUUGAGGAGUGUAAGAGUAGUUUGCAAAUUAUCUUUAGUAUCGACUAUCGAGCUAUGUGAGACUUUUUAGUGUAGUUGAAACAAAUUUAAAAUCAUUUUAUUUGAUUAAUUUUCGUAGGUUCGACAAAACUCUAAUUUGAUGUAUUGACACUUGUUAGAUACAAUAAUUAUUUCAUUAAUAGGUAAAGAAAUUGGAAAUGUUGUUUUUUAAUUUCGAAAAACAGUUUUGAAAAAUAAUUUUCAAUCACUGAAGAUAUGAGUUGAGUCACAUACUACGUCGCUCUCUUUAAGACUUUUCACAACAAUGUCCAAAAUUGUAUAAGACAUAUCAUCAACCAUAAAGUCCUCUAAAUAUGGCGUACAACUAAGUUACACCGUAUCGGUUUUACUACUGCAUCUUAAAAAAACACCUUCUAGAUAUGGCGUUUAAUGUCACUCGUAAUAUGAUACAAUGACUACUUGGAAAUAUUUUCUAUAAAGAGACACAAAAAAAAUUUGGGAUGAAGUUGAAAAGUGAGAAGAGAGAAAACUCUGAAUUUUUCAAAGUUUUGAUUUAUUUUCUAAAUUGACUAGGAUUCUCUAUUUAUAGAGGAGUUCUGCAACUUAUUGAAGCAGAAAGCGCAGUCCGUUUAACCGAAUAUGUAAAAGUGCUACACACCCAAUUUGAUUAGACCAGUGAAAUUUGCGGGCAAAAAGGGAGAAGUUGGACAACUUAAUUGUUGAUUGUUGACUCAGGAAAUAACAAAGAAAACAUGUAAAUUAAUGUGUCAAAAAAAUCUCAAAUACAAAAAACACGCAUUCAAAAAAUAAAUAUUAAUUUUUAUUUUUUCGAGUACUAACAAAUAAUACACUACUUAGUUCAAGUCCAACCGCACCCGACCGACACUGGUGUGCGUAUAUGGUCAGUUUAAGAGCGUUUUAUUCUCUUAUGAGUGUGAAGUUUGAAAUCAUACAUCUACUUUAUAAACACUAAUAAUAUGUAAUAUACCUCUCCAAUAUAGAAAUUUGUGCAUCUUUUUUGAUUGAUAGGACACUAACUCUAAAUUUCUAACGUCGUUUUCAACUGGGAAUGAGUUAAAACCCAAAAAUAAUGAAGUACUAGCAUAGUAGUGUUGAAGGGUUCGUCAACUUUGUAUGCCUGAAGUCUUACAUGAAACUAAUAUCUUUGACUUGUCUUGUUACUUAGGCAACACACUCACAAUAUUGUCCCAGUUACUAUUACUACCACUAAAGGAUGUUACCAAUUCACGCAUUCAUGAUUAAUCUACAAUUUGGUUUAUGUUCAGUCCAAAAGAAAAAAAAUAUCUUUUUGUAUGUAAAAGAACCAAUAUAAUAAUACUACUGCUAUAGAAUAAUAAAAUGCAACCGACUUCGUAUCCAAAAUAAAAAAAGUGUUACUGACUUUGAUCAUCAGGUAUAGAGGACAAGCUAGCCUCAAUCUUUGACGUCCUCUUAAAAUUGUCUCAUAAAAAACGAAAAAGAAUAAGCCACGGUUUAAUUUAUUUACUUUCAGAAAUAACUUAUUUACAUUUACGUUAGAAUUGUCAAAAUAAAAUAGAUGAACCUUAACUCACCAUACUUUAUGGAACUUAGAUCAAAAUUUGUUGUUGCGUGUGUGUUUUUAAUGUUUAGUGUUGGAUUAAAAAGGGAAAUUGCCAAACUAAAAAAGAGAUUUGUAGGAGAUAUAUUAAUUUGCCAUGACCCUAUGAAGUAUGAACCACACGUCCAGCGUACCAAGUAAACUAGUCUAAGUGAUUGGUUGGGAUAUUUUAAUCAUCAAAUCCCACUUCUUGGUUGGUAUAUUGCCAUGACCCUAAGUGAUUGGUUGGGAUAUUUAACUUUUUCACAAUUUCCUGUGUAGUUUAUUGUGUAGUUUAUAGGAAAACUUGCAAAGAAGUUUUCAAUACACACUAAAUUUAAUUUUUUUUUUUUUAAAAUAGUACCGAAAAACUUAAAAAAAAAUUCUGAUAGAAAUCUUUUAUAUCGAAAAACUUUAAAGUUUUUCGAUAAAUUUUAAUUUGAGUUGAUAAAAUAGUAAAAAAAUUAAAAAUAUAUUUAACAUUUUAAAAAAUUUAUGACGAUAUAAAUACAAAUGUAGGGAGAUAUAUGGUAAAUUGUUCGUGUUUGAAAAAAAAGAAAACUUUUAUAUAAAUUAUAAAUUAUAAAUUAUAUUUAGUUAUUCAUUUAUAAGUUUAUCAUUUAUAAGUUUCUAAUUUAUAGUUUAUAGUCUUUUUUUAGAAGUUGAUUUAAAUAGUUUUGAGUUUAUAAUAAUUUUUUUAAUUUUAUUUUUAUUAUUGUAUUUAAUUUUUUAAUAUUUUGUUUUUUUAUCUUUUAAUUCUUAUCACAUCAUAUCUCUCUUCUCUAUUUGUAUUUUUCUCAAAGUGUAUGGAUAUUCACCAAUAAUAUUUCAUUAAGAAAUAUAUUGAGUCUCUUGAAAAAGUUUAGCACGGCCGUAAUAGAAGGGAGUGGGUCAUGACCACCGACCCAAUGUCAAAGUUAGAGCCGUAGGAUUUGGAAAAAUUAAUUAAUUUUUCAUGUAUAUUUAGUCUUUAAAAAAGUAAAAUUUUAAAUAGUACAAUAAGUAAAAUGUCUCACAAUUAUAAAAAAUAUAAUUAUUAUCAUAUUUAAUUAAAAUAUUUAUAUCUCAUAAAAUAAAAUAUUUAAAUAAAAUUAUAAUAAAAUAUUAUUGUCAACAUUAGAAGAUCUCUAUUUUUUUCAUCUAUACAUGAUUUCAGAUUUUAUUUUUGGCCUCUAUAAAUGUUUGGUCAACCCUGAAGUGGGUAUAUGCUGAUGGAAUAUUUGGUUUGUAAUUAUGAAACCAAACUAAACUAAACUCGUUAUGUUGCCUUAUAAAUUGUUAUCACUCCCUUCACUUAUUUCCCGCACACCCAUACAUUCACCAUUUCUUUCUCCUUAUUUACUUUCUUUCUUCUCCUCAUUCCUUGUACUUAACAUUUCUAUAAUAAUCUUCUUGCACUACCAGGUUAGUACUUUUACAAUUGCCCUUUUUCUUUCUCCACUCAUUUUCUUUUUAUAUCAUCAUGUCAUGCCACUGUCACACAUUCAAUAAUCAUUAAUGAUGCAUGUGCAUGUUCAUGUCAUGCUGAUUUGAUCUUAUUUAUUACUCCAUAGAUGUUUCUGUUCUGACAUUAAUCGGAUCCAAUUUCCAACAUUAUAUACAUAUUCAAAUCAUCGUGAUUAAGAUUCAUCUAUUUUUAACAGAAUCAAAUCACCGUUUCUUAAUUUGUUCCUAAUAAAAAUUAAUUCAACGAGUUUUUUUUAAUUAAUUUUUAAUGAGAACAAAUCUUUUAAUUUUAUGUUUCUGUUGUGGUAAAUUAUGUGUAAUUUUUUCUCGUAAAAUCAAUUUGUGAGGGUAUAAAAUGUAGAUAGCAUUUUAAUUUCGGGAUAUGUUUCCCAGGUAGUGUAUUAGUUAAUUCAUUUGAUAGGACUUCACAUUUAUAUCAUGUUAUUUUUCUGCAUCUAUUAUGAGUCUCACAUUGAAUAAAAUAAAAUGCGAUAAAGUGUUUAUAAGUGGUGGAUCUUAUAUUGAAAAAGUUAAGGUUUGACAAAGUAUUUAUAAAUAAUAGAUAAGAGUAUUCAUAGCGUCAAUCUGAUCUGCUAUGCUUAUAUUCGCAAUAGUAACUAAGAAUAAUAUAUAAAAAUCCCACACUUGAGUAAAAAAUCUAAUUCUGGUUUUCAGUUUUGCAGGGAAUAGCAAAUAUACACAUAAGGAAUCUUGUUAUUUUAGCUUGAAAAGUGAUGGCAAAGGAAAUUCAGGUGCUAAAUGCGUUAGAUGCAGCUAAAACACAAUGGUACCAUUUCACUGCAAUCAUCAUAGCUGGGAUGGGCUUCUUCACGGAUGCAUAUGAUCUGUUUUGUAUAUCACUUGUUACCAAGUUACUCGGUCGCAUAUAUUACCACGUUGAUGGUGCAGCGAAGCCAGGUACAUUGCCUCCCAAUGUAGCAGCUGCUGUAAAUGGUGUGGCUUUUUGUGGAACACUUUCUGGACAACUUUUCUUUGGAUGGCUUGGUGAUAAGUUAGGUAGGAAAAAAGUCUAUGGAAUGACCCUCAUGAUGAUGGUAAUUUGCUCCAUUGGUUCUGGUCUUUCUUUUGGACACAGUCCAAAAUCUGUCAUGGCAACUCUUUGCUUCUUCCGCUUCUGGCUUGGUUUUGGUAUUGGUGGAGACUACCCACUUUCGGCUACCAUAAUGUCAGAGUAUUCUAAUAAGAAGACUCGAGGUGCCUUCAUUGCUGCUGUCUUUGCCAUGCAGGGUUUUGGAAUCUUGGGAGGUGGUGUAUUUGCAAUCAUAGUCUCAGUUGCAUUCAAGGCCAAGUUUGAUUCUCCUCCUUAUGAGGUGGAUCCAGUUGGUUCAACUGUUCCACAAGCAGAUUACAUUUGGAGAAUAAUUGUGAUGGUAGGAGCACUUCCAGCUGCAUUAACUUACUAUUGGCGGACGAAGAUGCCCGAAACUGCUCGUUACACUGCUCUAGUUGCUAACAAUACAGCGCAGGCUGCAGCGGACAUGUCCAAGGUUAUGCAGGUUGAGAUUCAAGUUGAACCUCAGAAAGAGGCACAGGAAAUGGCUAAACCAUAUGGCUUGUUCUCAAAAGAGUUCUUCAAUCGUCAUGGACUACAUCUACUUGGUACAGCAAGCACUUGGUUCUUGCUUGAUAUUGCAUUUUAUAGCCAAAAUCUCUUCCAAAAGGAUAUUUUUAGCGCAAUUGGCUGGAUACCUCCUGCACAAACCAUGAAUGCACUUGAGGAGGUUUACAAAAUUGCAAGAGCUCAAACACUUAUUGCUUUAUGCAGUACUGUUCCAGGCUACUGGUUUACAGUGGCUCUCAUUGAUAGGAUAGGAAGAUUCGCAAUUCAAUUAAUGGGAUUCUUCUUUAUGACUGUCUUCAUGUUUGCUCUUGCUAUUCCUUAUGAACAUUGGACUCAUAAGGAUCACCGAAUAGGAUUUGUGGUAUUGUAUUCCUUGACUUUCUUCUUUGCAAAUUUUGGGCCUAAUGCUACAACAUUUGUCGUGCCGGCAGAGAUUUUUCCUGCUAGAUUCCGAUCUACUUGUCAUGGAAUAUCAUCAGCAGCGGGAAAACUUGGGGCUAUAGUUGGUGCAUUUGGGUUCUUGUAUUUGGCACAAAACAAGGACAAGAGCAAAGCAGAUGCAGGGUACCCUGCAGGUAUUGGUGUGAAGAAUUCACUGAUUGUAUUGGGUGUGAUUAACAUUUUGGGCUUCUGUUUUACUUUCUUGGUUCCUGAGGCAAAUGGAAAAUCGUUGGAAGAGAUGUCAGGUGAAAACGAUGAAGAAGCUGAAAACACAUAAGAACAGUCUAAUGCUUACAACAACAGAAUUGUCCCAUAUUAAUAAGGGAACACUUAAGCUUUACCUUUCUCUCUCUCUAUUUUAACUUUCAACUUUUGCCGGGAUAAUAUCUAAGAGGAUCUGAAGAGCCACUAAUUCUAUGAAUUAAUAUUGGAAAAUACUAAAGUGUAAUCAUUUCAGUGUAAAGUAUUUUUAAUAACGGGUUUGGCCAAAUGAAUUCGUUUUGUAUGCUUCAUUUAAUUCUUUUCCAGUUAGUGUUAUCAAAUUACUUGCAUGGAGCAAGAUGAAUACACACCAAUACACCAAAAUCCAAUUUGUGUCUUAAUUUGUUGUCUAAUUAGUGUGUUUUCUAGUUGCUAGUGUGUGUAUAUAGACAAAUAGAAUAUACUUUUUAAGUUGGACAGACGUAAAAUGUUGACCCUUACACUACUAGUUGCACUUUAGUCUUUUUUGAGUAAACGCUUUCAGCUAAAAUUGAAUUAUAUGGUUCAAAUUAUUUGCUUGUUGAAAAUUGGAAAUGCUUUCAGCUAAAAUUGAAUUAUAUGGUUCAAACGUGUUCCCUUGUUGAAAAUUGGAAGCAAACAAAGUAAAAAGACUUAUCAAACUCAUUAAAUUGUAUCUUCUUCGUUUUGUAAGAAAGUAUUUUCAAUUCCAAUAUAUCGACUAAUAUAUUUUAUAAGAAAGUAUUUUCAAUUAUUCUUUUAUUUCUUUUUUAUAAAUUAAAUUUACAGUGAGAGGAUGAUAUAUCUACUCAAAAUAAAAAAUACUCUAUAAAAAAUAUUUUAUCUAAUCUUCGAAAGAAAACAUUGUGGGAUUUUUUAUUUAAAUUACUCAUUUUUGAAAAAUAUAUAUACCAAUUAACUUCACUUUUAAAUUUAAAUACCAAAUAUACCAUAACACUAUUAGAAAGUCGGAUUUUAGAAAGACGGUUUUAUAUAGUACUUCAACUUUUUAAAUGACGAUUUUGUAUUUUUUUUUUUUAAAGAAGGGAGGUCGCUCUUUAAGAGGGUACAGUGUGCUACCUAUAUUUUUUAGUUUUAUUUGAUUAAAAAAAGUAAAAAAAUAAUUAAUAAUAAAAUUAAUUCAUUAAAAGUACUACACUUAUGAAGAAAAAUAAUUACAAAAGUUGAUUAGAGUUGCUAAUAAUAUUUGAACAAUAUUUUUAAAUAUGAUCAGUAAUUUGAGAUACUAAUUGUCAUCAUUUUCUUCGACAGUUUAUCUUUGAUGCAAAAUAUAUAACAUAAUAUACUAUUAUUUAACAUUAUGAAAUAACAAUGAUUAAUUAGGUUUGAAAUAUAAGAAAUAAUAAAAAAAAAGUAGAUUAAAUUAAACUAAUUAGUAAUGUUAAGAAAACAUUAAAAAUAUUAUAUAAAUAUGAAUACAAUAUAUCAUACUAAUAAAAAAAAAAGUCCAAGCUCAACUCCACUCAACCGAACGGAAUCGGCACGCAUGCGAUGGUCGAUUUGAGAGCGUUCUCUCUCAUUUUCAAAAUUGAAUAUUCUUUAGGAUACACUACAAAAUUUAUAACUUCACCUCUAAAUACAACUAGUGUGAUAUCUUUCAUAUAUAAAACUUUUAUAUUUUUUUCAAUUCCCACAACACUGCUUCAAAGUUUGAAAGUCUAUAAGAGAAUGAGUUCAAACCCCCUAGAAAAAUGAAGUACAAGCAUAGUAGUGUCGAAGGGUUUGUCAACUUUGGUUGCCUGAAGUCUUAAAUAUUGUAACUAAUAUCUUUGACUUGUCUUGUUACUUAACACUUACAAAUUGUCCCAGUUAUAUUAUUACUACUAAUUAAUUCAUGCAUUCAUGAUUAAUCUACAAUUUGGUUUAUGUUCAAUCCAAAAGAAAAAAAUAUAUUUUGUAUGUAAAAGAACCAAUAUAAUAAAUCUUACUACUAUAGAAUAAUAAAAUACUACCAACUUUGUACCCCAAAAAAAAAAGGUGUUACCAACUUUGAUCAUGAGGUAUAUAUGGGGCAAACUAACAUCAUUCUUUUGACGCCUUUUUAGACAUGUAUCAUAUAAAACGAAAAAGAAAAAGCCACUGCUUAAAGUGUUUUCUUUCAGUAAUAAUAUUUAUUUACAUUACGUUAGAAUUGUCAAACUAAAACAGGUGAAUCUUAACUUACACAAUAUUUUAUGAGACUUUGAUCAAAGUUUGUUGUUGCGUGUGUGUUUUUAAUGUUUAGUGUUGGAUUAAAAAGGGAAAUUGCCAAACUAAAAAAGUGAUUGGUAGGGGAUAAAUUAAUUUGCCGUGACCCUAUGAAGUAUGAACCACACGGCCAGCGUACCAAGUAAACUAGUCAAAGUGAUUGGUUGGGAUAUUUUAAUCACCAAAUCCUACUUCUUGUUAGUUAGGGUCUAUUGAGGCAUCUAUUAGGUUGUGUUUGAUAAGAAAAAAAAAUAGUUUAUAGUAACAAUUAUUUAUAAACUUAUAAUUUGUAGUUUAUAGUGUUUUUUCUAUAAAUUAAUUCAAGUGAUUUAUGAAUUUAUAAUUUAUUAUUAUUUUUAUUUUAUUUUUAUUACUGUAAUUAAAUUUAAAUAAAUAAUUUAUAUAAUUUAAAGUAAAUAAUUUAUUUAUUAUAAUUUUAAAUUAUUUAUAAGUAAUUAUAAUUUUUAAAUAAUUAAUAUUUUAAAGUAAAUAUUUUAUUUAUUUUAAACUAAACUGUAUAAAUAAAUAAAAAUUAUAUCAGAUCAAUUAAAAUAAAUAAAUAAAUAUGUCAGAUUGGUAAAUAUUAAAUUAGUAAAAAAGUAAAUCUAGAACUACUAUUAAAAUAUUUUGAACAUUAAUUAAUUAAAUUUAUUUUUAAUUAAGAAUGAUAUUUUACAGUUUAAAUUAAUUUUACCAAACACUUUAAUUAGCUUAACAUUUGUUAAGAAAAUUUGUAUGAUAGUUAAGGUAUUUAUUUUAUAUGUUAAUGUUUUUAAAAUAACAUUUGUAUUUAAAUGUGUUAAAUUUGAUUUUUUCUUUUCUUCAUAUUUUAAGACCAAUUAGUUGUUUUACUGAGGGUUAUGUUUGAAAGAAAUAAAAUAAUAAAUGUACCUAAUAAAUUAAAAGAGUACUUAUAUUUAAGAUUUUUUUUUUCUUUCUCAAAUGGUGUUUAUAAUAAAGAAUAUGUAUAAGUAAUCCAAUAUAAACUAAUUUUACUAAACAAAACUUAAGAAUGAGUUGAAGUUUUUGACCUCGUCAUUUAAAUUCGUUUAUUUUAUUUAACCUAUUAAAAUAACAGACCAUGAAAGAUUAGUUGGGACAUCAAGCCAAUUUAAGAAAUAUCAUUCUUUUUUUUUAAUAGUUUUUUGGUCUAUUUUCUUGUUACGGUCAAAUUUAGAGUUUUAUUGUUUAUGUAAUAAUGAUUGUUGGAUUAUGUUAAUUUUUAAUUGAUUGAUUUUAAAGUUUCUUUUAUUUAUGACUAGUACACUUUUCUAAUAAUUAGUAUAGUCAAUAAUUUAUUUUUGUCAUUCACAAGUUAACGCGUCAAUCUGAUGAGUGACGGAAAGAUAGGUGAUUUUAAAGGCGGUUGAAAUAAACGAUUGUUUAAGGCUUUAAAUUUUUAAGGGUAUAAAAAAACAAUUUACUUAGGUAUAUAUAAAUAAAAAUUAAAUAUAUUUUUAGUCUAACUAAACAUAUCAAUUUUCAUUUUUAAUUUCUCUAAAAAAAUUCAUUCGAAUUUUAAUCUUUUAAAGACUUUAAAAUGUCGGCAACUUAAUAACUUAACCAUUUAAUUUUAUAUUUAAUAAGUUAUUAUUUAAUUUAAAAUUAUAGAUAAAUUAAGUAAUAUUCAAUAAAUAAUUAUUAAAUUAAUUAUAUUUAAAGUCUUAUUAAUUAUAUAUUAUUAAAAAGAGUCAAGUUAUAGAUAAAUUAAUUAAUAUUCAAUAAAUAAUUAUUAAAAUAUUUAAAGUCUUAUCAAUUAUAUGUUAUUAAAAAGAUUCACGUAAAAAAUCUAAAACUAAAAUUGUUAACAGAAAAAUAUAAAAGAACUAAAGUUUGAAUUAGUUUUUAGAAUGACUCAAAAAUAAAGUUAAAUAUUUAGAGAGACUAAAACCAUAUUUAAUCAUAUAUAUAAAUAUUAACAUAAAAUUUUAUAUUAAUUAAAUUAUAUACAAGAGUUAUUGAAAAAUAAUUAUAAAUAUGAAAAAUUAAAUAAAAAUAUGUGAUUUAAUAAAAAUAAAAUAAAAUCAAAUAAUUAUAUCCAUAAUUGUAGAAUUCGAAGAGUCUAACUAAGACACUAAAAUUAAAUUUUUUGAUGUAGACAGUUGAAGAGUUAGAUUUUCUCUAUCUCAUAUAUAUAUAUAUAUAUAUAUAUAUAUAUAUAUAUUAACAUUCACAAAUUAUAAUUCUAUUUUACUCUAAUUUGUGAUUUUUUUCUUCUAAUCUUUUAUAUCUUAUCACUUGGGAUGUUUGAGAAAAGCAAGAAUUGACGUACAGUUUACUUGUUGGAGAGUUGCUUUGAAAUGAAUAAGAAUUUUUUGUUUUUGUUUUUUAUGUUAAAGUACAUUUAUUUUUAUUUGUAUAAUAUUUUUAUAAAAAAAAUCAUCUUUAUUGAAAUUCGUCACUUAAGUUUGUCUUCUAAUGAUUACUUUAUUGAUUAUUGAUAUUCAAAUUUCUAUUAUUUUUACACUUUUUCAGUUUCUUUGUAACAAGAGAAGUCAAAAUAAAAUCUAUAAACCUCAUUCAUCAGUUUUUAUAUAAUCUCCCAAUAUUUAAUUUGUUUAGCCAUUACACAUAUUUUUAUUAGCCUCUUUCUUAUUUAUUUUGCCUAUUUUUAAUAAUGAUAACUUUUAUGUUUUUUAGGAUCAAAUUAAAAUUAAAAUUGAAAUUUAGUGCUUGAAGUAUUGGAGGAUAGGGGUGUCAAUAUACAACCUAAGUUGGCCCAUCCUGCUGUGCUUUAGGCGUAUUGUUGGUGGGAUGGGAUAAACGAUGUGGGUUGUCGCGUGUUGCAACCUAAGUUACAAGCAAUGGUUUAAUUGGACGUGAGUUGGUUAAACCUUCAAACCAAUUAUACAAUCAAUUGAACCACAAUUAAAUUAAAUAACUAUUAAAAAAUGAAUAAUUAUUAUAAACUUGAACCGAUUGAAUUGAUUACAAUUAAAUUAGAUUUAACGUAAUUCAAUUUGAAUAUAUCUAUUUUUAAUAAAUUUAAAAUCAACCGGAUUGAAUCAACCCGUAACAAUCAGAAUAGACUAUUUAUGAAAAUACUUUAAUUACCGGUUCAAGUUAUAACUGGAGAGACGAGUUAAUUGAAGACUUGUUAAAGUUAGUAUUCACCAUUUCACUAAGUUAUUACUUUUAAGAGUUCAUUUCACUAAGAUAAGAAUAAAAGACAGUAAGCCAAAGUGGGGUACAUAUACAUGUUGAAGUGAACAAGGACUAUUAGUAUUAGCCUCGUAUAUAGUGAAUGCACGUUAAAUGUCACGCUGUCGACAGCUACAUAUAUUAGGCACAUCCCCACGUUUUUUUUUUUUUGACAAAUAAAAUAAAAAGACCCAACAAUUAUUUUAUUCCAUAAAAUUCUAAGAGUUGACCAAUAUAAUCUCUUAAAUUUAAGAAACAAUAAAUUAAUUUUUUAAAUAAAAGAAUACCAAUUGAUAAAAAAAAACAUGUAUGUUUACUUAAAUAAUCUUUUGUUAUAUAAAAAACAUAAAUUUUUUAAAAUUGUAAUACAAAAUUUGAAAAUAAAAUUAGUAUUUUUAAAUUUAAAUGACUAAAAUUGCUAUUUUAUUACUUUGAAGGACAAAAAUAAUAUCUAUUCUAAAAUAAAAUACUAAUUAAACGAAAGAGACUUAGACUUAUUCAAAUACCAACAUAAUUGAGAUGUUUAUAAUUAUUAUUUUUGUUUCUAUACUUUGAUAUUAUUUUGAUUAAAAAUAAGAGAAAGAGACAUACACUUAUACAAAUGAUCGUACACAAUUCUUAAAACAGCGAUUGAUAUAUUAAAUUAAAAGUUUUAUAAAAAUAUUCUAAACAGCUUCGUCCCAAUAUUUUUGUCUCACUUCUAGUCUUUAUUUUGAUUUUUAUAUUGAUGCAAAAAAUAGAUAAUUUUAAUCAUAAAAAAAAAGUCUAUAUAAAGUUAACAUAAGAAUUAAAAGUGAAUAAAUUUUAUUUAAAAUUUAAAUUUAAAAUAUAAUAAUUUUAUAUAGAGUAAAAAUAUAUGUAACUCAUAAAUUAAAAAUAAAAAAUGAAAGCACGUUUGUUUUGUUUUUGACGGAAAAUUAAAGCACCUAAGAUUGCUCGUGUGAGAUUUGAAGUUUCAACGAUGUCAACUUUAGUGUCAUGUACCUUUUGAUCAACUUGGUAUUUUAAUUAGUACUAUAUAUAUAUUUAUAUAAACAUGAGAGGCCCUUGAGUUAAAGCUUUAGAAAAUCCAAAACAACACAUAAUUUGGAUUUUGAUUCCAAAAUGGGAAGGGCUCCAUGCUGUGAGAAAAUGGGUUUGAAGAGAGGACCAUGGACUCCAGAAGAAGAUAAAAUCCUCAUCGACCACAUAAACACUUAUGGCCAUUCCAAUUGGCGUGCUCUGCCUAAACAAGCUGGUACGUUUUCUAAUGCAUAGCCUUGCACGAAUUAACUUGAAGAAUAUUAAAUAACAUAUUUAGGAAUUCAUGUUACAUAGUAUUACUCUCAUGAAAAUACAUUUGAUAGUUUUUCUUAAAUUUAAUUACUUUGAUCAACAGGGUUGUUAAGAUGUGGAAAGAGUUGUAGAUUGCGGUGGAUAAACUAUCUAAGGCCAGAUAUCAAACGAGGUAAUUUCACCAAAGAAGAAGAGGAUGAAAUAAUCAAUUUGCAUCAAAUGUUGGGAAACAGGUAAACUAAUUAUUAUAUUUUCCCCACUUAGAUUAAUACAAUCUUUUUUCUUCUUCUCUUAUCUCUUAAUUACAAUGCAUUUUACAUUAUUUAAAAAAAAAAAUCGUUCCAUCCAAGUUAGUUAACUUCAACUUAACUGAAAAGAUAAUCCAUUUACCCAAAACAAAGAUGUUUAAAUCUUAAAAACUAUACUAAGAAAUAAGAUUUCACACGGAAUUUAAUCCGAGUGCUUAUAUUCUUUAAUAAUAAAUAUAUAUAAAUCUUGAUUUUUCUAUACAUAGGUCAAGUUGUUUUGUGCUCUGUAGCAUCGAACUGAUGGAGGACGACAUAUGACAUAGUAGUAGUAUUCAUAAACUUUAACUAAUGAAAAUAUACUAAUGCACAUAAAUUAAGUAGUAUGUUUAUUGAAUGCAAGUUCAGUAUAUUAUGAACAUAUUUAAAAUCGUGUUAAACUUACUAUUUGAAGGUUUUGAUUGAUUGAUCAGAGUGUAAUAGAUAGAUAUGUUCACGCAAGAAAUGAUUCAAUAAAUUAAAUAUUCUUUCUUUACAACCUCUUUUAUUUUUUACUUAAACAAAGGAAUAAUGGUUUGACCCACUGUUUUUAUUUAUUUAUCUUCGGUUUUAAGGGAAGCAAAAUCAUAACCAACCAGAUACUGAGAGAUACGUAUAUCUAUGCAGCCUCUUUAAAAUGUUAGCAUCAUUGUGUUCAUAUUUAUUUAGUAUUAUUGAUCAAAUAUCUUAACUUUUAACUUUUAUGUUGGACCUAUUUCAUACUUAUAAAAUUGGUUUAUAAGAUGAGAAUCUAUAAAUUAUUAUAAAAUUUUAUCUUUUAUUUAUAUAAAUUUUUUUUUAUACAUCCUCUUACGUCCAACAUAUUUUUUUAUAAAUUAUUAUAGAAUUUUAUCUUUUAUUUAUGUGAAAUUUGAAUUUUUCUCAAUAUAUUUUAUUAUAUUCAGUACUUUUGAGUUUGACGCGUGUGUAUAUAAAUAACAGAUAACUUAAUCGAAUUGGUUCUGAUAUUAUUCUGAAUUUUAUAUUAGACUUAAUUCAUUUACAAAAUCAAUUUAUAAAGUGAAUGAUACGCCUCUUUAUAAAUUAUUAUAAAGCUGUAUUCGAUUUGAAUAUCUAAUUUUUGGAUUAUAUGGAAAUAUAAAGAUAUCCCUUUUUCACGCUAAAAAUGUGAAUUUCUUGACAAGAGUAUAAAACAAGAUUUGAUAGAUUGUACACUUAUAUUUCUUUAUAAUAAAAAAUCAUCAUAGAUUAUCACAUAGCAUUAUUAUUAAUAUUGUGAAACAGGGGAUCCCCAUUAUUUAAUAAUUUUAAUAUUUUUAAAUCAAGAAUCCAUAGAUCAUGAUCUUGUUAUGCAAAUAUUUAAUUAACUGAUGGUUUAAUGAUGAUGCAGAUGGUCAGCUAUUGCAGCAAGAUUACCAGGCCGCACAGACAACGAGAUAAAAAACAUUUGGCACACCCACUUGAAGAAAAGGCUGCCACAAGCCCAUAACAACAUCCCAAAGAAAAACAAAAAACAAACCAAGUUGGACUUUGAUUUGGACGCCUCCAAAUCAGACCAAGACACCAAACAAGAACAAAAUAAUCACGAUGACGAUUAUAGGCCACAAUGUUCUAGUGACAUGUCCUCCCAUAAUAAUAAUAGUAGCAUUGCUACUAAUAAUAAUCAUGACGUGUUCAUAAAUAAUAACGAUGGUGUUGAUUCGGCACAAAAUAAUCUUGCAUUGGAUGAAGAUUUUUGGUCGGAAGUGUUGUCAUCUGAUAAUUCUAAUACUGAGACAAGUGGUCUUUUGGAUAACAUAAUUGGUGCUGAAGAUUCAUUCUCUUCCAUAGGGACUGAAGAAGGAGUCUUUAAUUUUAGUAAUUCAUUGAAUAUAUGUGAAGAAGACAUGGACUUUUGGCACGAUGUUUAUGCGAGAGCUGAGGAAAUAACGCUAGAAUUAUAAUCAACUUAACUAUCAUUGUUAUUCUUAAAUAGUAUUGUAACUUAUGUGUUCAUCCAAUGGAACACAAAUCAUGUUUUUGUUUCAUUGUUAAGAGUUACAUCAAUUUUAUUGAUUCAACUCUAUUGAGGAGGGGUUUGUAUUUCCUGAGAUAUGUUUGAGAGGUCGAUUUUGGAGGAUAAGGAAAAAUUUAUUUAUUUUUCCAAAAUUAGACAAACUGUUAAAUAUUUUUAAAAAUAAAAAAAAAAGUGAUUGGAAUGAUAUAUGAUUGUAUAUCAUGUUAUUCUUUUAAUUUUUUUCUAAAAUUAUUAUUAUUAGUAUUACUGUAAUUAUUGUUAUUAUUAUUAUCAUUAGGAUGAUUAUUUUAGUUUUCUACGUGACUUAGACAUGUAUUGUCUCAUUUAUAGUUAGUUAUAAUUGCUUCUAUUUAUACACGAAACUAACUACUCUUUGUAUGUAUGUAUAAUUUGAAUUAAUGCAAUUUUAGACUUCGAAUUCUCUCAUUUACGAAUUAUUUAAUAUCAGUGUCAGGGUCCAUUUACCCAUUCCAUUUUGUUGUAUUAUAAUAGUCAAUCUUUAUGUUACAUAACAACAAAAACACGCUUUUAAGAAAACACAAAAUAUAUUGAAAUCGAUCAACAUAUUGUCCGUCAAAAGUUGCAAACUGAUUUCAUUUAUUUGUUUCCUUUUUCAAUUAUAUUCAACUUGUUGAUUUAUUGACGAAGCCUUUGAUAAUAUGCAACCAUUUAAAGAUUUGGUUUUGAAGUUGGGUGUUUGAGCUAUUUAUAUUGUAUCAAGGGCAAGAGAAGUGGGGUAUCUAGACUAAGAAGAGUAAAGACGAGUGAUAUCGAAAAAUGGACAAAUAAAAUAGAAAAAUAUUAGAAUUUUUAUUUUAAAAAAAAAGUACUAAAAACACAUUUUUUAACACACAUAUUUAUUGGUUUAAAUUUAAAUAAGAACCCCUAAAUUAUGUAGAUCUUAGUAGGAGUCAUGAAAUUUAAAUCAAUAAGAAGAAUUGUGUUGAGAAUGUGUGUUAAACAUAGUAUGUUAAUAGCAUUUUUAUUUUUUAAGAGUAGUAGAGGUUUUGAGUAGAAAAUCAAGGGCUGUGGAUAGCAUCACCCUAAAAAAGGCUUGAGUAAUACAUUCGGGCUUCUGGAAAAGCCCAAUAUAAUUCUGACUCAAGCGUAUCAAUGGGCCUUAUACGGCAACACACAUCGAAACGCAGUCGUUUAAGAAGGAAAAAAAAGAUAUCACCGCCUUUAUUAUCAUCAUAACUAACAUUAGCAUUAAGAUUGCAUAGACAAAAGGGUAUAAAUUGCAGUGACCUGAUACAAAUCAGAGUGAAUCUGUUUCUCCAUCUUGGUUUCAAUAUUUAAUUUUAACAAGUGUUAUCUCAACAUGGCAACAGCUUCAGGUAUACCUCUUUUUCUCCAAUUCAAUUUUGAUGGUUUUUUUUAAGAAUUAUAAUUCUUUUAGGUUUAGGUUAUUAAUCCCGUUUUAUAUCAUUCGAUUAUUGUUUUUGGAGUAAUUUUUUUGUAAAUCUCUCUAUAGACCAAAUGUUCACAUGCUAAUAUGCUAUGAAUGCAAAUUUUUGUUCCGAUUGGGCUUUUCUUUCUCCUUUUUCCCAUGGGAAGUUGCUGUUGUUUUAUUCAAUUAUAUCCAGAUAAUUAUUCAGGUCGAAAUCAUACAUAGACUUCAAUUGGUAGCUAUUACUCAAAUACUAAAUUUGUUUCAUUAGUAGGUAUAAUACGAGGCCCGGUAAUCCUGGCAGGGUCUUGAAAAUGUGAAUAAUAUAAUUUUGUUUUAUUUUAUUUUAUUUUUGUAAAAAUUGGGCCAGCGAUCAUGGAUUUAAAACUCGUUGCAUCCUUGUUUCAUGAGUUGCUUUUGCUUCUUUUUAAUUAUAAUAAUUUAAAUCUGAUUAUGGACUUCCCAAUUUUCCUUGUGUUGUGCCUUAAUUAGACGGUUUCUACAUGUUUAUUAAACUUCUACGGGUUGAAUUGCAGUGGCAUUCAAGUCCAGGGAGGAUCAUCGAAAACAGAUUGAACUUGAGGAAGCACGUAAAGCCGGGCUUGCGCCUGCUGAGCUUGAUGAAGAUGGGAAGGAAAUUAAUCCCCAUAUUCCUCAGUAUAUGUCAUCUGCACCUUGGUAUCUUAAUGCUGAGAGACCUGUAAGUUUUGCCUUCCCCUACCUCUAAUUUUUCUUUAUUAGUUUUUGAGAUGCAUAUAAAAUUUUUAGCUAUAUUUGACAUCUAAAAGUCAACUUAUUCUUAUGAUUAUUUUUCCUUCUAUUGUAGAGUUUGAAACAUCAAAGGAAAUGGAAAUCUGAUCCCAAUUACACCAAAUCAUGGUAUGAUAGAGGUGCUAAAACUUUUCAGGCCAGCAAGUACAGGAAAGGUGCAUGUGAGAAGUAAGUUAUUCAUUCAGUAUUUCUCAAGGCAUGUGUAUGUGUAUGUGUGUGUUUGCUGGGCCUCCAAAUAUGAUGGAUGAUUCUUGUCUAUCAACUUAAUAAGAAAAUGAAAUUUAGUAUUUGGCUACAUUUGUCUUGGAUCAUCCUUUAAUUUUGUUUCCCCCUGUGUUUGUGUCUUGUCUCAAUAGAUGUCAAACUCUCGAGCUAGCUCUUAUAAGUUUAUGAAAAAUGCGUUACCUUGCAUGUAGACACCGUCAAGCUAAUACAAGUGAACCCACACAAAAUCUUUUUACUAAAUUCGUCUAGUUAGUUUACAAGCUUGGAUGAAUGCAUGGUUUUGGUGACAAAACUAGCAUGUAAACACUGUCAAACUAAUACAAGUUCGAUAACCUUGCUUGUCUCUACUUAUAUUUAGAUUGCUAUUAUCUCUUACAAGUUUAGGUUAGUACUUUAAUAUUCAUCUUCAUUUUAUAGCUGUGGAGCUAUGACACACAAUUCCAAGGCAUGCAUGGAAAGACCCCGAAAAGUAGGAGCAAAGCAUACAAACAAACAUAUUGCUGCUGAUGAGAAGAUAGAAACUAUUGAGCUUGACUAUGAUGGCAAACGGGACAGAUGGAAUGGGUAUGAUCCAUCUACAUUUGCCCGAGUCAUUGAGAGAUAUGAAGCCAGAGAUGAUGCUCGAAAGAAGUACUUGAAUGAACAACAGCUGAAGAAAUUGGAGAAGAGCGACCAAAAUGAUGAGGGUGCUGCCAUUGAUGAGGCUAUAGAAGAUGAUGAUUUAAGGGUAGAUGAGGCGAAGGUUGAUGAAAGCAAACAAAUGGACUUUGCCAAGGUUGAGAAGCGUGUGCGAACAACAGGCGGUGGGAGUACAGGAACUGUGAGGUAAUUUUUAUGUUGCUAUCAUUGUUAAAAUGCAAGGCCAAGUUUAUUGGUCCCAUAUUUACGAUUUUCAAUUCUAUUAUUUUUGUUACAUGGAACUGUGAGGUAAUUUAUAUGAUGCUAUCAUUGUUAAAAUUCAAGGCAAAGUCGAUUGGUCCCAUAUUUACGAUUAUCAAAUUAUAUUAUUUUUGUUUUAUGGAUUCUAACUGAAAUAACUUUACCUUCAGGAACUUACGUAUUCGAGAGGAUACAGCAAAAUAUCUUCUCAAUCUUGAUGUCAAUUCUGCACAUUAUGAUCCCAAGACCAGGUCCAUGCGUGAAGAUCCUCUUCCAGAUGCAGAUCCAAAUGAAAAGUUUUACGAGGUAACUUGUCUCAAAGAAUAAUUGUUUUUAUGAACUUCAUGAUUUGUUUUUUUUUAUUGCUUUUUCAUAUUAAUCUUGUAUUUGGGUUAAAAUUAGUUUUUGUGCUGUAGGGUGAUAACCAAUAUAGAAAUAGUGGUCAAGCUUUGGAGUUCAAGGAAUUAAACAUCCAUGCUUGGGAAGCAUUUGACAAGGGACAAGAUGUUCACAUGCAAGCAGCUCCUUCCCAAGCUGAAUUGCUCUAUAAGAAUUUCAAGGUCAUGAAGGAGAAAUUGAAGUCUCAUACGAAGGAAACUAUUAUUGAGAAGUAUGGCAAUGCAGCUGAUGAGGACAAACUUCCAAGAGAACUUCUGCUAGGUCAGAGUGAGAGGCAAGUUGAGUAUGAUCGUGCUGGUAGAAUUAUUAAAGGACAGGUAAGGCAUGCAUUCUAUAUCUUUGUUGUCCCACAAUUUCAAGUUGCAGAUCAAUUUUACAUACAAUGCUUCUGUGAUAUAUAGCUGGGCUUUAUAUGUGAUCUGUUAAUUUUCUCAGGGCUCCAUAAUUGGUUUUUGUUCAUCUCUAAGGAUUAUUCUUUUAGGUUGUUGUUGUUUUUUUGGAUGAUAAUAAUUAUUUAUCUGUUGCUUUUAACAGGAAGCUGCAAUCCCCAGAAGCAAGUAUGAAGAAGAUGUUUACAUUAACAACCACACAACUGUUUGGGGUUCAUGGUGGAAGGAUCACCAAUGGGGUUUUAAGUGCUGCAAACAGACAAUACGUAACAGCUAUUGCACUGGUGCUGCUGGUAUUGAGGCCGCCGAGGCUGCAAAUGAUCUCAUGAGAGCUAAUAUUGCCCGUAAGGAGGCUGCUGCAGGUUUGUACUCUGAUCCCAUAUCUCUGUUGCUCCUUUUCCUUAUUCUCUUCCUUUUGUUGUUAUUAAUUUCGUAUAUGUUUGGUAAUUGCUUGGUGGUAGUUUGCAUCUUGUAUUCUUGUUAUUAAUCAUUAUUUUCUUGAAUCCAUUCAGAGGAUCCUGCACCAGCGGAAGAGAAAAGGCUUGCUACAUGGGGAACUGAUGUCCCAGAUGACCUAGUUCUGGAUGAAAAAUUGCUUGCUGACGCACUCAAAAAGGUAAUAUAAAUCUAUCAGCCAUAUAUUUAUUUACUCUUCCAUAUUCCUUGAUAUGAGUUAGUUACCUCCUGUGAAUAUAUAUUGUUACGCUUCAAUAUUCCUUGAUAUCUGUUUUUUUCUUCUUAUUCCACCUCCUGUGAAAGUCGAACUAAUUAUUAUUUUAUGCCGAUAACUCUGUCAACCUCUAUGACCAAGAUGUAGACACAUUGGCUCAAACUAAAUAUUGCAUGUUAUUUGUAGAAACGAAGAUGGUAGGGUUUAGCUAGACUACGUAUGUUCUUUUUUUAGAAUAAAAUAAUUUAUUCUGGAUUUUCAUGCGUCUGUGUGUUGUAAUGAUGAGGUAUGAUCAAAGAAAGAGAGAAGUAACAAAAAUUACUCUGGUAUUUUACAGGAGGAUCAAAGAAAGAGGGAAGAGAAAGAUGAGCGGAAGCGUAAAUAUAAUGUUAGAUGGAAUGAUGAGGUAUAAUUUUUUUUCAAGUCACCCGGUUGAGAAUUUUAUUUGUAUACAUGCCGUCGUUGCAGAUUUUGAAAUCAAUUUGGUGUGAACAGGUUACCGCAGAGGACAUGGAGGCAUACAGGAUGAAGAAAGUACAUCAUGAUGACCCAAUGAAUAGUUUCAUGAACUAAGCUUGGAGAGGGCAAAAAGGCCUGUCUGCGUUCAUUUUGAUACAAGGCCACAAGCCUUUCUGUUGUUUUCUCGCUGCCAGAAGGAUUGCACAGAAUGAAUGAUUAGUGACAUAGAGGAGCGGAGUUGAAAUCGAUAUUUGAACAGCUUUGUAUCUUGUUACUAUGGUGUUAUUUAGCUUUUGGAACACAAGGGUGUUUUAAUGACUCAAUAGCAUCUCUUUUUUAUGUAUGAACUUCCAACAUCACAUGUAUGAACAUGUCUUAUGAUGUUUUUGAGAGAUGUUAGGGCCACUAGGGCAGAUGGUUUACCAGUGUAAGUAUAUAUCCUAGUAGUUUCGACUAUGUUUUCUGGCUCAGUUAUGUUCUUAAAGAAUGGUCCACUAGCUGUUGUGUCAUGGAUCAUAGAACAAGAUGCAGUUGUGCCGAUCCCUCAAUUGCAUCAAACAUCAAACAUUAAUUAUUAGUAACUUGUGUUCCUAACUCCAUGUUGUUUUGAUGCAAGUUCCGAAUAGGGGUGUUUUUUGAGAAAAUAAGCUUUAUCACCGUAGCCCGUGGCAAUCCUUGAUGUUUUUAUUUAUUUAUUUUUAUAAUUUUUAUAAUUUUUUUUCUUCUUUUUAUGGAGUUUGGAAUUAUUACACACCUUCUCUAUUCCAUUAAAUGUUAUUAUUAAUUAUAAGAAUUGGAAAAUGAUGAACAAAAUUGACAUUAUAAAAUAGCCAUACAAACUACUUGUUAAUAAUCCACAAGACCUAUAAUACUAAGACCAGUUUUCUUUAUAUCUAAACAAACAAGAAAGAUUUUGUUUCUUGCUUUCUUCUUACGCCUCAUUCAACCUUAUUAUACAACAACAGAAAAAUAACACGUACUACAAAUUUCUGGCUAACAUCUCUUGUGCAGCCAUCUGUUGUCUAAACCUGAUAAUGAACUCCUCUGCUCGUUCAUCAAUUCCUUGCAUUUGAGGUGAGCCUAAUGCCACUGACUCCCACAUAUCAUCUGAUGUGCAUGUUUUGUCACAUCCCUUGCUUGUUCCUUCUGUUACUUUUUUUGCAACCUUUUCAAUUCGUGGUUGGCAAAACUCUAUCUGUGGCUUCAAAUACCCUACUAAGUCACAGGGAGGAUCCUUGAAGAGCUUAUCAAUAUAAACAGGUGCAGGCUUUUUGUGGAAACUGUUGAAUACACUUCUAACUGUUGCUAACCUUUUGCAGCGAAAACGUUUAGUAGCAACGAACUUAGGUGCCUUUGCGGUGAUACGGGUAGUAGAUGGUGUUAUUGUAGUGGUGUAGAUGUUUAGUUUCUUUCUGUGUUUUUUCAUGGGUUUGGAUCUACGAAUGUUAUGAAGUUUACCAAGUUUUGAAGUAAUGCUCUUCCAUACCUUUCUAGCAGGUGGAAAUCUUAGACUUAUGCAGGAGGACAUGGAAUGAUUGAAGAAUAAAAAAGAAAGCAAGAGUUCAAUACAAUUCAAAGAAAUGGAUGAUUAUAUGUUUUUAAGAUAAAACUCAAGUGGCAGAGGAAACUUUGGUGCAUCCUUUAUAACAACUGAGUUGAGGGGUUAGAUUCGUUUUUCAAAUGGGUGUGUUGUUAUUCCAUUUCAUAGUGGCUUAGUUAUAACGCUAGGUGCAGUGAAAGGGCUGCUAAAUUCUCCACCACACCAGCACAACAGCAAUGAACUAGCUUAAUUAUUAAGCAAACAAAAUAUUACUACUAGUAUGAUGUAGUUGUGUGUGAAACGAUGUAGCAGUACCGAUAUAUACUUUUCCACUAAAUAUAAACUGAGAUUCUGCGUGUACAAUUUGCAACUAUAUUGGGCAGAAUAUUUUUAGAUAAAGAAAUUUCGACAAUAGUAUAUGUUACUGGACACGGUUAUGUUUAUUUAUGUUAUCUCUCUUCCAAUAAUGUUUUUUAUAGCAAAAUCAUUUCGUUAGUCAUAAUGUGUCUAAUAAUACAUUCUGAAUCAUCAACAAUUAUCUACUCCACGGCGUCUCAUCUGAGUUGCCCAUAAUUCUUAAUAAAAUGAUUAAUUAUAUUGAUUUUAAUAAUUAAAUAUAUUUCAAUUACUAAAAUUAUUUUAUUAAUAGUAGUUAACGAUGUAUUUAAAUGAUUUAUAUUCACUAUGCAUAUUCUAUUUUUCUUUUUAAAAUCAAAUUUUUUAUUCCUCCAAAUUUUGAUCUCAACCUAAUUUUAUAAGCAAAAAAAGAUGUGACAUUUUGAAAUGGUAUUAUAUAAAAACAUGUUGACGUAGCUGCUUAUAAAAUAAUAACAAAAAUAUGUUAAAAAAAUUAGAAUAAUUUACAAAAAUGUUUAUUAUUUUUGUAAUUUCAUAACUUCAGUUUUUUUAAUUCAUCUAUAAUUUCUAAAUAUAUGUUUGUUAUUUUUAUUAUUUUUAAAUACAUUAUUUUAAUGUUGAUAAAGGGGAUAGAUAUAAAACCACUUGUACUUUGCCACCUCAACAAGUCAUGUAUUUUAAAAACAUGUAUUUGUCACUAUUUUUAGUAUUUUGCCACCUCAACAAGUCAUGUAUUUUAAAAACAUGUUUCAAAUCAAAAUUGUAACAAAUGUAAUAUUUGAGGGACUAAAAAGUUUUAUAUUGAUUAAGAUGUACUAUUUUUGUGAACGUGAGAAUCCAAACCACAUCGGAUAAGUUUCCUUUAUUGAAUAUAAUUUUUUUCAAGAUGAAUUUGACAGUAAAUAUAAGUAUUUCUCUUAAAUGAAAUUUGAAUCUUAGUUUUGGUAAAGAGUUAAGUCGCAUCCCUCAAAAGUGUAUGGGGUUCAAGUGUUGCUUCUUGUUGCUAAUUUGUAAGUACCAUAUUAGAUAAUUUGACUAAAUACUAAUUUCGUUUAGCUUCCAAUUCCAAGUCUAGAAAGAAAAAGUACACGAGUGAAAAGAAAGAAAAAGAAAAUGAAAGAUUAAUAGAAAAAGUAAUUAAUAAUUUCGAGUACUUGAUAGUUGAUACGACCAUAUUUCCAAAUCAACAUCACAUAGCAGUGAUUCCCAUUCCCAUUAAAAAAAGAGCAUAAGAUAAUAUGAAUAGAUAAAAUAAAUAAAAAAUUAGGAACAAGCAUGAUUAGCCAAAGAGAAAAGUUUGGCUUGAGAAAGAGCAGCGAGGUCGGAAACAAAUGCUUUGAUGACCAAAGUCUUAACCUGCCAAGGCUUAAAAGGAAAACCUUUUCUUGCAUACGAGUUUAACAGUGCCGCUGUUCCUUCUUUCAACAACCCUCCGAAAGGGUUAUCCACUUCAUCAUUCCUAGCCGUUGCUUCAAGUAACGUCAGAUCUGAUCUGUACCGUUCGUACACUCUCCAUCCAAACACAUUGGAUACCGUUGAUGUUUCUGGUACCAUCCUUGGCCAUGUCUCUUUUCUACCGCUCCAGAACCUAACAUAACAUCAACAUUUAAUUGGUUUUAUUACAAUAACAAUAUAUUGAGAAGAAAACAAAAAAGGCGUGUUGAAAUAGUUACUGUGGAGUGCAUGUUCCUGUGGAUCUUGUGUAGAUGAAGCCUGGCCAAUGGUGAGCUGAUGAGACUACUGAUAAUAAAAGAAGACAAAACACAAGUGUGGUGGUUGAUAUUGAGAUUGAGAGGGAACACAUUUUCUACUUGCUAAAUGUUCAUUUCUUCUAAUUUGGUUUAUGCCACUUUCAACGUUACAAUUGCUUGCAGUUGUACUAUACUUUCUUGGGACAUGUGAAUGUGAAUGUGCUUUCGACAAACUUACCCCUACUUGCUUUACUUGUACUAUUUUUCUUUCUAUCCGUUUUCAAUAUUCAAUUUCAAAUUUUGAACUAAUUCAAUUAGGGUUAUUCUUAUUCUACAAACAACUUUAAAGUUUCAUAUCCUCGCACUAUUUAUAAACUAAACCAAAAAUCAUCAAAUUUUGUUAUUAUUUUUUAAAAAAUAUUAACUAUUUUUUAAUCAUUUAAUUUAUAAAUAUUUAACGUGGUCAGUUGAAUAUUUCUUCCAGUCUUAUUUAUAAAUAAAAAAUAAAAAACAAAAUCACAUAGAACAUAGAACAUUUUCAAAUAAGUUAAUGUAAAUUUAACUUAGUCUUUAUAAUAUAAAAUUCUAAAAAUUAGUUGUUAACUGAUUUUUUUUAAUAAAUUUUAUAAUUUGUAAAAGUAAUUAUUUUUAUAAUAAUGACUAAAUGAAGUAUAAGAGAAAUGACUUAUAUAGUAAAUGUUUUGAGAUUUUAAAUCAUUCAAGAUUUUGAUUUUGAAUGAAAAUAUAAUGGAAAAAUAUGCUUCGAGAUUUUGAAUGUUUCAAGAUUUUGAUUUUGAAUGAAUAUAUAAUGUAAAAAUGUUUUGAUGGUUGUAACAUGGCAUAUUACUUUUAGAAUUGCCAUUUGCCAUCGUUUCCAAAUCCAACACAAAUUCUUUCAUCAAUUUUUGUUCUCAUUCAGAUGCUUUCUAAGAAAAUUCCCAAAGGUAACUCAUGUCACGAGUUUUUCAAAUCAAACGCACAUAAUUAUACAGUUCUUACGUUACAAGUUAAAAAUAGACUCUUAAUAAGAAGGGUGCUAAAUUACACUGGACUAAUUGGGUAAGGACAAAAUGUGGGCUCACCCUAGCCCAUCGGGCCGAUUGGGUAAGGCCUAAAUAACUUGAACAUAUUUAUCUGCAAUUGGAGAGCUCAAGUCAGCCUAAAACACUGGCAUUACACAUUUACACUAGGGUGACAUCUCUGCUUAUACUAGCUCCAUUCUCAAAUAUUGAAUCCUCGUGAAAAGCUUUUAUCCCUUUUUAAAAAAUUAUUUUCAAAUUUUAAAAGGACAUUUAUCAUUUAUUUGUUAAAAUAUUCUUAAUCUUAAUUGUUUUAUCUCCAGGAAGUGAACAAAAAUAGAAGUAUCAAUCCUUAGCAAAUCAAUAAGCUAAAAAAAUUAUAAAAUUAAAGGUUUAAUUAUUGAUUUUCCAAUUUUCUCCUAUUUUUAAAAUUGAUUUCCUAUUUAAAAUUAUUCAAUUUUAGUCGGAUUAUGAAUUAAAAAUAAUUAUAUAAUAUAUUUAAAACAACGUAAAAUAUAAUUUAUGAUUUUAAAUGAUAAAUACUUACAAUAUUAUUAAAAAAAAUCCUAUAAAUUUUUUACUUAACUUCAAAAAUAUUUAUGUCUAAAUAUUUGAGAAAUUAACCAAACUUAAGAGAUUUACAUCCAAAUAUUUGAGAAAUUAACUAAAAUUAAGAGAUUUUAAAAUAUUAAUUUAAUUUCAAGAAUAACAGAGUUGGAAUGGACCAAUUUAACAGGGCAUUAUGUCCAAAUGUAACUUAAUACUUUUAUUUUAUUUAUAAAAUACUGUUGUUAUUACUUAGGAAAUCUGUUAAAUUGCAUAUACCACUAUUUUCUUUUACGACAAAAAAAAGAAAAAGUAGUCCUUUAUUUGAAAGGUUAUGCGAGAUUACAGCAUGGCUAUAUAACCAUCCUGGAUUCUAGAAUCAGGAGUAGCCAAAACACCCUCGUUACGAUUAUUCUUCAGCGCAAUAACUUCCUCUGGACUAAGCCCAAAAGCAUUAGCAAGAACCUCCCCUGGUGUUGCACUAAUUGCCGAAUUACGCCCUAUCAUUGUACUUAUUUCAGCUCUAUCAUUCGUUUUAAAAGCUACGUAUUCCAUUCCCUCAUUCCCCGCUUGUUUUGCCACCGCAAAGUUUUGUGGCACCACCAACAAUUGACCUCUUCCUACCUCUCCAUUGAACACCGAUUUCCCUUCGUUAUUUACCACUUGAACCCUCCCUUUCCCUCUCGUUACGUACAUCACACCGUUCGAAUUCAUGUUCCAAUGCGGCACAAAUAUACCAUCCUGCACAUUACCAACAAAUUCAAUUAUAAAUAAAUUAAAAUGUUAUUAUUUAAAAUUUGUUAGUUACUCUAACUACCUUGUAAAGGUUAACCCAUUGGGCACUAAGAUGGAGAGAUUUAAGAACUGGGAGAGUCAAACUGUUGGCUGUGGUUAUACGACCGGCUCUUGGGUUAAAAACGUCGGCGCGUGAAGGAUCCGCGAUAUUUUCGUGAAGCUUCAAAGUGCAAACGGUUUCUUCAAGUGAAUUAUCUUUUUGCCCCUCGCGUUCUCUCGUUGUUGUUCUUGUUUGUUUCUCUUCUCUUUCACCAUGGCGACGACGCUNNNNNNNNNNNNNNNNNNNNNNNNNNNNNNNNNNNNNNNNNNNNNNNNNNNNNNNNNNNNNNNNNNNNNNNNNNNNNNNNNNNNNNNNNNNNNNNNNNNNNNNNNNNNNNNNNNNNNNNNNNNNNNNNNNNNNNNNNNNNNNNNNNNNNNNNNNNNNNNNNNNNNNNNNNNNNNNNNNNNNNNNNNNNNNNNNNNNNNNNNNNNNNNNNNNNNNNNNNNNNNNNNNNNNNNNNNNNNNNNNNNNNNNNNNNNNNNNNNNNNNNNNNNACGCUCUUUAGUUUUUGUUUCUUUCUCCUCUACCACUUCCUCUUCUUCUCCUUCACAUCCACCUUCACCUUCUCCUUCUCCGUGUGUUCUUCUCUCUCUUCGCCAUUCACGAUGUUCUCGUUUACAAGGUUCAUCUUCCACUUCUUCCUCUCUUUCUUCUACUCUCUUUUCUGUAUGCCUUCGGUGUGUUUCCUCCUCUUCUGAUCUGAUUUCUGGCUCUAACGGUGGCCUAAUAAUGCUGAGACCUCCUUUCACUUCAAUGAUUUGGUGCUUCCUGUGUUUAUCUGGAGACUGAAGUUUCCUAAUGAUGCUUUCUUUCACUUUCAAAACUUGUCCUAAGAAUCUUGAAUCAAAGCCACUAAACAUGUUGUUACUUUCUUCUUCUUCUUCUUCUUGACCGCGUUUUCUUCCACUCUGUUUCUCUGUUUCUGGAUUUCCAGCAAGAUAGAAUCUCUGCACUCACCACAGGAACAAAUGAAUUAAUCGUGAUAAUAGUGUAAUAUAAGAUAAUGAUUAUGAUUGUUUGAUGAGGAAUUACAGUGGGGGUUCGGUCGAGUUGGUUUAGAGGGUUGGAGGUGUCUAGGAGAGUAAUAAUAAUGAGAGGGGUAUUUCCGUAAUUGUAGGUCCAGUAAGGAACUCCUGGUGGAAUAGCGAUAAGGUCACCCUGCUUCACGUAACGAACUUUCUGGUGACGGUCCUGUUGUAGUUGUGGCCUUCCUCUUCUCUCCCACUGUGGCUCUUCGUAUGUCUCCGCACAACCAGGAAUUGCCAUUCCUAACACUCCCGUUCCUGUGCUUACAUCAUACAUGCAUCUCAAAUUCUUAUUCUUAUUCUUAAUCAUUAAAAAUGCUCAAAACUGAUAUUUAGUAUUGUUAAGAACGGUCUAAUUACACUAAAGAGUACUAGUGCGCCCGAAAAUACUAAGUUAUAAUAAAUUGGAUGCAUUUUGAAUAGAUUGAAAGAGUUGAUGACAAAAUAUAGCUUCACCUUGUUCUACGAAAUGAAGUUCAGGAUAUGUAACGUAAGAUGGCAGGUGAAGGCCAUUGGCAUUGAUAGUGCGCUUGAGAACAGAAACACCAGCGCAGCGUAGCUCGGGGUGGUUGGCGUCCCAUAUCUCAGUCAAUCCAGCUUCGGACUCGAUGCGGUUGUCGGGUUCCAAUGCAUCUAUGCUAUCGAGUUGGCACUCGUUGAACUCGCUUUGCUGGCGUGGCAACUGGCGUGAUGAACAGCCGCACGUGAAGAGCAACAAGCAAAAAAGAGAGAAAAAGUAGUGAAGGAUAUGGGGAUUUGGCUUUGCCAUGUUAAUGUUAGCGGGAACUGAGUCAUGUGGAUAUAUUAGUACGUGAUGAUGAUUUAUAGAAAUGGAGAGAAGCUUCAACGAUGAACACGUCACUCAAUGUGAGUUCGUGAGAUGUGGACAUUCUUCGCCAUGCAUGCUUAUCAAACCCUUAAAUCUUACACCUCAUCAUGCUUUAUUGCCACACAGCGGCGCUAUUUUUACAUAGAAACGAAGAAAAAACUAUUACUCUUCAAACACCUAAUAGAUUUUUUUGAAAGAAAAAGUACUCAGUAAUAUACGUUAGUUAAUAAUGUCAUAGAAAGGAAAUAAAGUGUUAAAUAAGAAUAGAGAAAUUGUAGGAUACAAGUAUAAAAGCCAAAGAAAAAAAAAAUACUCGUAUGGUCUUUUGUUUCACAAUUAGUUGCAAUGUUAGUUUUUAAAUCUUAAAUUAUAUUGUUUGCUAUCUUUUUUAAAUUUUUGUUUAAACCUAUUAAAAAAAUAGUUAAAGACAUAGGUAACAAGGAUCUUAAGAUAAUGAAUUGCACUAGAGGUGUCGAGAUGAUAAAUCUAAAUUAUUACUAUAUCUGUCUCAAAAUAAUUAAUUAUUUAAUUAUUAUAUACACAUUAAAAAAUUAUAUAAAUAAAAUAGAGAAUAUUAUUUUUAUUAAAUAAUUUUAAUUAUAUAUUGAUAUAUUGUCAAUGUAAUAAAUGUAUUAUAAAAAUAUUGCAUUAAAAAUUAUAUAAAUUUUAUUAAUUUAAGAGUACAAUUGAAAAAAUGUAUUACAAAUUAAAAACGUAAAAUGUUUUUGGAUAAUUUUUUUAUGAGUAGGUCAAUUAUUGUGAAAUGAAUGAAAUAAUUAAAGUGAAAAAGAAUAAUUUAAAUAACAUAAAAAAUAAUUAAAUUAAAUUUAGAGAUUAUAUAUAUAAUUUUACCUGAAAAUUAAAAUGUUUAAUAUUUUUUCUCUUAGUCGUUAUCCUCGUCAACUAAAAAAUUAAAUUUAAAAAAAUUGAAAGAAAUUUCACGUUCUUCAAACCCAAUUCUUCAAUAACUUCAUUUUCUUCUUCAUUUAUAAUCUAUGUUGGUAGUUUUGUUGAAAGUGUACAUUUACUUCACACAACAUGUAUAUUUUGAGAUUUAAAGAAUAACAUUAUAAAUAGAAUAUAAAGUAAAAGAGCAAAUCGAAAGAAAAUAAUAAUAAUUAAAAAUUCUAAAAUUAAAUUAAAAUUAAAGGACUAUAGAUAUGUUUUUUGUUUUAUUAUCUGAUAUUGUAUCUAACGAAACUCUAAAAUACCAAAGAAUUCAAAAAUAAAAAUAUUAGCUACCUUUUGAGUGAACAGUAAUUAAAUAACUGCACGAGCGAAUGAAUAAAUUACACUUUAAUAUAUUAAGCAUAUCUUAUAAAUAUUUUAUAGGAAAAAUUUCAGCCAUCUCCCUAGGAUUUUUUGUUAAGCAUAUCUUAUAAAUGUUAAGGGAAGGUUACUAAACUCUUAUAUUAAGCAUAUCUUAUAAAUGUUAAGGGAAGGUUACUAUAUCAAAUUAGAUGAUGUUAGUAACAUUUUGAUAUAUGCUAGGGGAGAUUAGUGUAAUCUGCCUUAUUAUGACUGUGAAGUCUAACCUUAGAAGAAAGCUAUGAAGUCAAGAAUCCGCAUUAAAGACAUUUUAAAUAUUUACAACAUUGUCAUCGCCGUAUUGUUACAGAGACAACCGACUUGGCCUUGUUUCGAAUUUCUUCCAUUUACAUACUUACCAAAUGGGCAACAAAAACGUAGUCAAUCACAACUUCAGUUUUUCCUUUUUGUUUUUCAAAAGAGGAAUGAAAAAGAAAUUCUAACAGAACAUUGCAUGAUGAAAACAAAGUUGACAGAAAAUUUUAAAGCAUUGGGAUUAAUUUAAGUCUUACUUUAUUCACGUCCAAAAAAAGGUUGGUGACUCAGAUUGAGUACUUAUACAUAAUUUUGCAAUUACCAAAAGGCAUCUAAGCCUUUGUUUUUAUUCAUUAUUAUUACCAACUGAUGUGGGAUACAUGUCUCACAAGGAUAAAGGCUUGGAAGCCAUGAUUGUUUCUAAGCUGCAGCUUUGUUUUCAGACUCACGAGGGGGAACUAGAAAUGUGAAGGGAUUGCUGGACUUGAGCUUCCUGGCCUCAUUCCUUUCCAUGUUGAAUGUAGCUGCAAUAACAUCUUCUGGGAUACUACUUAACGAAGAGGUUGCCCCUACAAGCUUGCCAAUAGCUGCUCUGUCAUUGGUCUUAAAUGCUACGUAUGAGAACCUGUCACUCAUUGAUUUUGCAGCUACAGCAAAGUUUUGUGGCACUAUCAAUGCCCGACCUGCUUCUAGUUCCCCGUCGAACACAUUGUUGCCAUUGCAGUUCACAACUUGUAAUCUUGCACGUCCCUUCAAUGCGUAAAGUAUGCUGUUUGCAUUGAGGUUGUAGUGAGGCACAAACAUAGCAUUCUGUUUCAUAUAAAAAGAUGGUUAUAAUAUAACCAUGGACAACAAAUUCAAAGGGAGAAAAUAGAAAUGGCAUACUUUGUGGAGAGAUCCAUGCUCAGCACUGAGUUUGAGCCAUCUGAGAGCUGGGAGGUCAAAGCUGGUAACAGUUUUGAUUCUACCAGCUUGAGGGAUGUAGAUGUCAGGUGAUGAAGAUGAGUCAAUGUUCUGGUGAAGUCUUGCAGUGCAAAUGGUUUCCUCAAACCCAUUGUCUCUUUGGCUUCUGCUUCCACCUCUGCUGUGGCGGCGUGGCUGUCUCUUUUCUUCUUCAUCUUCAUCUUCAUCUUGUCUGCUGUGGCGGCGUGGCCGUCUCUUUUCAUCUUCAUCUUCAUCUUGUCUGCUGUGGCGGUGUGGCUGUCUCUUUUCAUCUUCGUCUUCGUCUUCAUCUUCUUCUUGUCUGCUGCCUCUUUGGUGACGUGGCUGCUUCUCUGAUGGGCUUAUGAAGCUGAGACCUCCUUUAACUUUGACAAUGGCUCCCUUCUCCUCAUCUUCGUCCCUGCCUUGAAGUUUGUCCACUAUAUGCCUGUUCACGUUCAAGGCGUCUUCCAAGAAAUCCCUCCUAAAGCCACUGAAAAUGUUGUUUCCUUCAUUUUCUUGUUCUUCCUUUCGUCCUUCUUGUUGUUGAUAUUGUAGAAACUCUUGUUCUUGGUUCCCAGCAAGGUAGAAUCUCUGUCAAGUAUUGUCAACAAUAAAAAAACAAACAGUUGUCAAUAAGUUAGUGUUAGAUGGCACUUAGAAACUCUCACUUAUGGUAGGUAGGUAGCUGACCCUAGGCAUUUGAUCAAGCUGGUUUUGGAAGCUGCUGGUGUCAAUAAGAGAAACAGCAAUAACUGGAGUGUCUUGGUCAUUGUACAUCCAGAAAACAACACCGGUAGGAACUGCAAUGAUAUCACCCUCUCUGAAACGGUUAACCUUUUGGUGACUGUCUCUGAAUCUGCGGCCCUCUCUUUGUUCAGAUUCCCGUGGCUCCAUAAAGGUCUCAGGACAACCAGGGAAUACCAUGCCAAAAUAUCCAUUACCUGUAACAUGGUAUACAUCAUAAUUAACUACUAUUAGUACUAUAUAACAUUAAUUAGUGGCAUUGUUAAUACUAUGUAACUAAAGAAGUUGGAAAUUAAUGGAAUAAGAUCAAAGAAAGUAACCUUGUUGGAUGAAAAUUUCCUGGGGAGCGUUGGUGUAGAAAGGUCUGCGAAGGGCAUUGCGUUGAAGGGUAGCACGAGAGAGGGCAACACCAGCACAUCGGAAUUGUCUGUUGUUUGGGUUCCAAGUCUCAAUAAGUCCACCUUCUGACUCUAUACGGUUAUCGGGUUCAAGGGCAUUGAGGUGUUCAAGCUGGCACUCAUUUUGCUGAGGCUGUUCUCUAAAAGCAAAACAGCCACCAAAAAGUAGAAAACAAAGUGAAAGAGAGAGCGCAAGAAGCUUAGCCAUUGGAGAGAGAGAAUAAUAUAUUUUGGUUUGUGAUGCGGAAAACCUUAAUAACAACUGUUACUUUAUAGGGAAGAGAGGAGUGUGGAGGAGGGACACGUUAGAGAAGGUGGAUUGUUGAACAUUAGACAUUCUUCAUCUUGCAUGGCUAUGGAAGUCUUGUGCAUUACACCUCAAAAUGUCUCAUACUGCAGGUGGCUUCAUUUCAACAUGUUCCAUAACCAAACAAAAUUAUAAGAGAGCAAGCUUGUUUGUAUAUUGCAAUUGCUUCGCAGCAGCAAAUAGCUUGCUGUAAUUAAUUUUUUUUUCUUCUUCUAUAUGCUGUUUUCUUUAAUUUCACGCAGGUGAUAAUUGAUUGCAUUUGUAGUAUUUAGAUAUAUAUCUACUCGAUUCACUUUUAAGUUAUUGUCCGUACAUUAGUGUUGGAUAUAUAGCACUGAGUUUGACAUGUAAAAAAAAACAGAUGGAUAGAUAUUAUGUAUGUAGCCUUUGAGUGAGAGACAUGUAAUAACAUAUGGAUAUAUAGAUAAUAGAUGUUUACGUGGCUAUUAAAUCAAUAUAUAUCCUAUCCUAAUUACUUACACCUCUGUUGUUGCGGCUUUGAGUAAUAGUUUGCAUGCAUCUGAUAGGCAAAAUAUAAUGUGGUAUUUUAAGUUAUUUAUAUUAAUUCUUAAGUUUGUUUUGUCUUAGAUAGUACUUUUAAGUCUUAAUAUAUGAAUGAUGUCCAUUUUUAUGAGAUUCCAUUUUAACUACAUUAAAAAAUUGUUCAGGUUAUUGUUUCGAUUUUGAUGGGAGGAUUAUGUGCUUACGUGGCAUGACUCAUUAUUUUAUAGUAUUUAUUUUGUUUAACAAAUGUCAAAUUUAAACAGUUUUGUCAAACAAAGCUUCAUGAAUAAUCUUCUCCCCUUAUGUGUCGUUUUCCUUUUCCCAUUCAUUGCACACAUGAAAGAAAUAACAAAACUUCUGAUAGUUCUUCACCUCGUCUUAUCCCAAAUCAUUUUCAAUGGGGUUUCAAUGUCAAUUAACAUUUUAAAUACCUAGUUUCUUCAUCUUCUUCUCUUCUUUUUUACUUAUGGAGUUAAGGGUUUUUGGGUUUAUACUUUAAACUCAUAAGUUGAAGGGCAAAAUACAUUUCAUCUAUUUCCAAAAAAAAUGUUGUCUAUGUUAGACAACCAGUAUGAGUUCAUAUACAGGUCUUUUAAAAAAUUAAUGUGUCGGUACAUAAAAAUAUACAAAAGGAAUGUCUUUCAUAAAUAUAAUAUUUAACAAAAAUUAUGUCUUUCAUAAACUUUCAACAUUUUAAAUCAAAAUAGAAUUAGGUAAUAAGUAUACGAAAUUGAGAAAUAUUAUGAUACAAAGAUGAUAUAUUUAUAUAACAGGACUCAGGAAAUAACAUUAAUAUAAUAAACUAUAAAAAAAAAAGUAUAUAAAGUAUGAUAGAAAAACUAUCCACAUAAUAAUAAAAAAAUAGAAUGAGAAAAUCUAAUUUUUAUAAUUAGUAAAAGCCAAAAACAUACUUAUUUAUCUGAGCACAGAUACGUAUCCAAAAAGUAUCUAUAUAUUUUCAAAUGAAAUACUCAAAUUUAUAUUUUAAAAAUUAAUUAUUGUUUUUUUAAGUUAUAUUUUAAAAAUUAAUUUUAGUACGUACAAGAUACUUAGCUUUAAAUAUCAUAUAAAUUAAUACCAGAUACAAAUACAAGUAACCACACAUUUGUUGGGUAUCCAUCCUUCAGAGUAUAAAAACCAAAGUUUGGUAUUUGGUGAAAUAUGACGGGAUUAAAUUAUAUGGUGUACUUUUGUACCCAAAAAAAUAAAAAUUAUGGCGUAUUUACAUUCAAUCUAACCCUCGCACAUAUCCAUUUUCAAAUUUCAUUAUUACUUUGUUCUUUUAGUUCUCGGUUUAGAUUAUGCGACCGUGAUAACAGUGCAUUAAAAUAUGAAAUUGCACAUUUAUCUCGUAAAUAAUUUUAUUUUCACUUUAAUUAAGUAACACACAUAAAAGAGGUCCAAUAAAAUUCUCACAAAUUUUCUUUUAUUUUCUCUCUAUUAUAACUGUUCGAUGCAUGAGUUUUCCUUCAAAUACAUAUUUGAGUGCUGGUAAUUUUUUGAAGCAGAUAUGGGACAUGUACUUUUAGUACUUAUCGAAAGAUACCUUUUAUCGUCUCUAAUCAAUAUGCAUUUCGUAAAGAUAUCUAGUUAUAACUCGGAGCAAUUAUAUAUAGAUUAUACAAAAAGCUCUUUUAAGAAUUUAUAUAAAAAUAAAUAAAAGAGUAAAACAAUAUUUUUGUAUAUAUCAUUCUUACACAGUGAGAGAAAAUGAGAGAGAAAACGAGAGAAUCUUAAUAGAUGAUAUGUUUUUUUCUGGAGAAUCUUAAUAGAUGAUAUGUUUUUUUUGACAAAAAACCUAUUUUAUUGUUGUUGUUCAUAGAUGUUAUUAAUAAUACCAACUUUGAUAAUAUAUAUAAAAUUGAUUUGAUAAUUAAGAUAAGACAAUUAAGAAAUUGAUUGAUAAAAGAGAUUGCCGAUUGGUUGAUUUGAUAAUUAAGAUAAGAGAAUUAUGAAGUUGUUGAAAAAAAAAAUAACACAAACUUUGACAGAAAAUCAUACAGCAUUUAAAUUUGGCUCUUUGUUUAUUUUGUUUCCGCAAAAGGUACAUGACUCGAGUAACUUUACACAUAACAAAAGGCAUCUAAGCCUUCAUUUUCUUAUUCAUAAUUUGCAUGAUUAUUCCUUUAUUCAUAUUGAUUUGGUACCAAAUCUAAGCUGCUGCUUUGUUGUCUGAGUCACUGCGGGGUGGAACAAGAAAUGAAAAGGGGCUGUUGAACUUGAGCUGCCUGGCCUCAUUUCUUUCCAUAUUGAAAGCAGCUGCAACAACUUCUUCUGGCAUACCAUUUAUCAAGGAAGAUGCUCCUAAAAGCCUGCCAAUAGCUGCUCUGUCAUUGGUCUUGAAUGCUACAUAUGAGAACCUGUCACUCAAUGAUUUUGCAGCUAUUGCAAAGUUUUGUGGCACUAUCAACGCCCGGCCAGCUUCUAGUUCCCCAUCAAACACACUGUUGCCUUUGCAGUUCACAAUUUGUAAUCUUGCACGUCCCUUCAAUGCAUAAAGUAUGCUGUUUGCAUUGAGGUUGUAGUGAGGCACAAACAUAGCAUUCUGUUACAUAUAAAUAGACAAACAAGUGAGUUACUUAUAUUCUAACACUUCCAAAUUCCAUUAAUGUUGAUAUGAAAAGAUUGUUUGAUAUAAAAUUAAGUCAUGAAAGACAUUAGGUUUCAUGGUUUGGUCUAGUGGUAAAAAGACCUACAUGUUGUAGGUUCAAUCUCUGCUAGUGUCAUUGGAAGUUGGCAAAUGUAAAUGCAUCAUCUUUUUUUAUAAAAAAGAGAAAUGACAUACUUUGUGGAGAGAUCCAAACUCAGCACUGAGUUUGAGAAACCUGAGAGCUGGAAGGUCGAAGCUGGUAACAGUUUUGAUUCUACCAGCUUGAGGGUUGUAGAUGUCAGGUGAUGAAGAUGAGCCAAUGUUCUGGUGAAGUCUUGCAGUGCAAAUGGUUUCCUCAAACCCAUUGUCUCUUUGGCUUUUGCUUCCACCUCUGCUGUGGCGGCGUGGCUGUCUCUUUUCAUCUUCGUCUUCAUCUUGUCUGCUGUGGCGGUGUGGCUGUCUCUUUUCAUCUUCAUCUUCAUCUUCCUCUUGUCUGCUGCCUCUCUUUUGACGUGGCUCCUUCUCUGGUGGAGUGAUGAUGCUAAGACCUCCUUUCACUUUGACAAUGGCUCCCUUCUCCUCAUCUUCGUUCCUACCUUGAAGUUUGUUCACUAUACGCCUGUUCACGUUCAAGGCAUCUUCCAAGAAAUCCCUCUUGAAGCCACUGAAAAUGUUGCCACCUUCAUUUUCCUCUUCUUCACUUCCUUCCUGCUGNNNNNNNNNNNNNNNNNNNNNNNNNNNNNNNNNNNNNNNNNNNNNNNNNNNNNNNNNNNNNNNNNNNNNNNNNNNNNNNNNNNNNNNNNNNNNNNNNNNNNNNNNNNNNNNNNNNNNNNNNNNNNNNNNNNNNNNNNNNNNNNNNNNNNNNNNNNNNNNNNNNNNNNNNNNNNNNNNNNNNNNNNNNNNNNNNNNNNNNNNNNNNNNNNNNNNNNNNNNNNNNNNNNNNNNNNNNNNNNNNNNNNNNNNNNNNNNNNNNNNNNNNNNNNNNNNNNNNNNNNNNNNNNNNNNNNNNNNNNNNNNCUCGUGGUUUCCAGCAAGAUAGAAUCUCUGUCAAUCAAAAUCAAACAGUUAUUAAUUCCAAUUUCUUUCACGUGAAUUAAGUUUAAUUAUAUUAUGCUCACCCUAGGCAUCUGAUCAAGCUGGUUUUGGAAGCUGCUGGUGUCAAUAAGAGAAACAGCAAUAACUGGAGUGUCUUGAUCAUUGAACAUCCAAAAUACAACACCAGUAGGAACUGCAAUGAUAUCACCCUCUCUGAAGCGGUUAACCUUUUGGUGACUGUCUCUAAACUUGCUUCCCUCUCCUUGUUCAGAUUCACGUGGCUCCUCAAAAGUCUCAACACAACCAGGGAAUACCAUGCCAAAAUAUCCAUUACCUGUAAUUGUUAUAGCAAAAUAUUAGCCACUACUAUAUAACAUCACUAAUAUGUAUGUAAAAAAAAUGUAAUAAGAUCAAAAUAAGGAACCUUGUUGGAUGAAAAUUUCCUGGGGAGCGUUGGUGUAGAAAGGUCUGCGGAGGGAAUUUGGUUGAAGGGUAGCACGAGAGAGGGCCACACCGGCACAUCGGAAUUGCUUGUUGCUUGGGUUCCAAGUCUCAAUAAGUCCACCUUCUGACUUUAUACGGUUAUCAGGUUCAAGGGCAUUGAGGUGUUCAAGCUGACACUCAUUUUGUUCAGGUUGAUCUCUCAAAGCAAAACAGCUACCAAAAAGUAGAAAACAAAAUGAAAGAGAGAGUGCAAGAAGCUUAGCCAUGAUGACAGAUAUUGAAAAGAAUGUUGGUUUGUGAUGCGGAGAACCUUAAUGAGAAGUGGUUAUUUAUAGGGAAAAUAGGUUGGCGAAGGAUGGACACGUCAAAGAAGGUGUGGAGCUGAGCAUUAGACAUUCUUCAGCUUGCAUGGGUAUGGAAGCCUUGUGCAUUACACCUAUGUCUGAUAGAGCAAGGUGGCUUUCAACAUAUCCAUAAUCCAACAAAAAGCAUGCUUGUUUGUAUUGCAAUUCUUGCCUAGGCAUUAUUAUUAGUUUAAAUCGGUGGGGGAGGGGGGACCAUGGCUCCAUUUUGUUUUCUUCCCUGCUUCUCUCUUUCAUAUCUGCAAAGAUUUACGAAGAACAUUAAUCCUUAAAAUAUAUGUGUAAUUACAUAGUGCUUGAUAAACAUUUUACUUUUUACAUUUAAAAUGAGUUUACUCUAAAUAAGUCAAAAUCUAAUGUAAUAAUAACCACUUUUUGAAAUAUCAAUUUCAAUUUUUUAAAAUUUGUUCCAUAUAUUGAUAAACUUUUCAGAUUUUUUCGGGUCGUAAGUUUUUAAUACAUGUGCUUGACUCACUACAAAGAAUUGGUCCGUGACCCAUAUUAACUUAGUUCUUCGAAUAUGAUUUGGGUGAUGCCAUGUUUUCUCUUCUCCCACGUAUAAAAGAUCUACCCAAUUCAACUGCUACACCCCAAUUCUUCUCAUCAAUGAUAAACUUAAAUCAGUGAACUAGUGAGCAAUGGAUUACAAGGGUAGAAAUCAAUGAAUAAAGGACUCUGCAUCAAUAUUCAUUUGGCACAUAUAUAGAAUUCCCAGCCAUUUAACUAGCUUUUAAAAAUGCAAGGCAACUAUGUCACGUCAAACACAAUCAACGUUGAUUUUUAAAUUAUCCUGAGUCAGAUAAUAGGCCUAUUUAUAGAUAUUCAUGGACCUGAAAUUCUUUCUCUGCUACUUAAAUAAAUAAUAAUCAAAGGUAGAAGCAAUGUAUUGAGAAUAAAAAAUGCAUAAAAUGUAAGGGUGUAAUCUGCCUUUCCUUCAAAUGAUUCUACAGAAAUUAUUUCGGUGGCCGUUCAAUCAUUGUAAAAACCAAAGAGGGAAGAGUUGGCGGGAAAAACUGUAAACACUGUACGUUUACCGUUUUUAUCGUGGAUUUGAAUUUUUUUCUAAUUAGAUGAAUACUUUUUUAUCUUAACUAUUUACUUUUUACCAUGAUAAUCUAAAGUUCAUUCGAUACAUAGAGCUUGGCAUCAAAUCAAAUAGUACCCAAACAAUUCAUCAAUCUUAACACAAAUACAUUAACCAUUGGCACAAAUUACGUCCACUUGGUUAAUAGUAGAUGAACAUGACAAAAACAAAAGAUGAGUGACAGAAGGGCAAUUUGCGGAACUCGUCAAUUUUUUAAUAAACAUAGCCCUGUAAAUUUUUUUAUAACGAAAGACAAUACAAGACAAACCAGCUUCUACACACGAUCUGCCAUAAACAAGUUCCCAAAGAAAAGGGAAGAAUCCCAGUCCCUUUGCGUCCAUUAUGAAGCAUAGAUCAUGUUAUUUAGGCUAAUGCUUGUGACGAGGCGUAUCAAACAUUAGCAAAUUGAUGCGCACAGAACAUGGUAGGUUUAACCAAUCAGGGAAUAUAAAAUAAUAGAGUACUCCAUCACUAAACAGGCCUUAUUAAUCUGAAGACGAACAAAGUGAGAGCUUUUACAAGAAAAAAUCACAUUAACAUUAUGAUGAACUACCAUGAUCUCACAAGGAUUAAAUGUCACAAUCCUCGGGAUAUAAUCACCCUUGUAGAAGGAACUAUAGGUUAUAAUUUAUAAAUAAUACAUGCCUACACGAUAUGGACAAUAACAAAUUACAAUGCUAGAAGAAACAAUGAAACAUGCAACCUUCAAUUUUCUUAUUCGGUAGUAUUACUCUUCAAGCUAGAUUCCCCGUUCUUCUCUUCAGUGCUAUCCACUAUUUUGGUUUCAACAUGACCAUCCCCCUUGGUUGCAUUGCCAUCCACUUCAAGAGUGUUUGACUUUUUCGGCAGUUUUCGAUCAAGACUCUGAGCAGCUUCCAACUCUUCAGAUUCAUCACCUUCACAUCUUUCAUUGGGGUUUUGAACAGCUUCGGCAUCAUGCUUGGCAGUGUCAGCAUUUUGUGUUAGUUGUGCCCCUGAACUUUGAGAAGCUUCCAACUCUUCAUACUUAGAAACCAACUGCUGCAGCUCGUCAUUGAGAUAUAAAGCCUCAAAAAGUGUUUCUUCAUCAUUUGUGGUGCUUUCCACAAUCUCCUUAAUAACAGAGAGUGAUUGCUUGCACUUAUCCAGCAGACUCAAAGUUAUAUCUUCCUGGAACCAAACAAAAUCAUUGUACAUUCUAUCAGCAAAAAAAUUAUUCCUAUUUCUUAGCUGUAUACUGAUGUAGCAAUAACCUAGAUGAGCUGGGAAGAUAAGAGAUAAAAAAAAAAUCCAUCUACAUUGUAUCUGCAUAAGAAUACUAUAGUAUUUUGCAUAGAAAAGCAUGUAACUGAUUUAUGAUAGUUCUUUAAAAAUCUGUGCAAGAACUACUUCAUACAUACAGCAAACAUCAUGAUGCAGUAAACAAAACAACAAUCUAUUGUUCAGGUGAUGCUGUAUUUCUUUAAUUUAAAAAAGUUUACCUUCAAAGGUUUUGGCUCUGCCUCAGAACUUAAUAUGCUAGAGAGCAAUUCAAGACUGUUUCGAGCAACCACAAGAUGCUCUUUCUUCUCUUCCACUGAUACAGGUUGGUGAUCAGUAAAGAAAGCUGCUGAGUCAUCCAGAGCAAGAGCAUGUAGCCCUGCUUCUGGAAUUGGGUAUCUUUCAGGGGGGUCUAAAGGGUGUUGAUAAUUAUGUGACUCUGAGGCAUAUGGAAUAGGUGGUGAGUUUCCUCCCGUCAUGUCAAGUGAUUCACCCCUUCCUUUCAAACUCUGUCAUCAAUGAGAAGAAUAUAGGACUUAAAUUAAAUGAGGAAGAAAAGGAAGCACAAGAAUACGUCAUAGUAAAAAUAAAAAAUAGACGGCACCACAUUCGAAAGAGUAGACAAUAAGUAAGAUCGUGAAGCACAAUGUAGGAAUUCGCUUCAAGGCCAACAUUUUGUAAAAAAUAACCCAAGGUCACCUGGGAAAUGCUAUUUUCACAAAGUAUAAUUCUGCAAACAAAGUCUAGAAGCUACACAUAUAACAAUAAAAUCAAGUACGAAAAACAAUAAGGUUACCAUUCAAAGAUAAUUUGAGGCCAAUGAUAUUUGCUUCCCUUAAACUAUUAAUACCCUUCAAUGAAAUUUUGCUUAAACAAAUUUCAAUCAAGUUUUUUGGGACCUGUCAUUUGAAUUAUUUGGGAAAGAAAAUAGAUGGUAUAGAGUUGUAAAGAUAAGUUUUGCAUUUGAAAUAAGAUAAAGUAAAAUGGAGUGAAUAGAAUGCAAAUUCAUCUAGAUAAAUCCUAAGACAAGCUUGGAGGCCAAAAUUGGAAAUCUUACCAAGCCAAAAAUUCAGUGUGGUGGGUACCUUGAGUCCAUCAUAAAAAUAUCGAAGAAAUAGGAUAAAUAUAAAUCGUAAUACUCAACCUAGGCAGAUAAAAUGAAAAUGCUUCAACAGCCUUCGUGUUCGACAUUGCCUUUUAAGAUUAAUUAAUGAAAACUUACCGCACGGUCAUAAAACCAACAAUGAAAACAUGUUAAGUGUUAUGAUAUGAAAAAUAAAACAACAAAUUAGUGGUUAUACAAGACAAGACGGGAUUAGGAAUAAAAGCACUAGAGAGAAAGUUGUGACAGCCACCGUCUACUGUAAAAAAGACAGUUGGUCUUAUUGUGGUUUGGACAUGUGUUGAGCAGACAUUGGAAAAUAUCCCACUAAUUAGAGGUAGAAAGAAACGAAGCAAAACAAUAAGCUACAAUCAAGAAAAAAUGGAACUAUACGAUCAAUAAUUCUAUAUCACAGAGCAUGAUUCAUGACAGGACAAGACUUAAUGACAUCAUUUAAUCCAUGUAACCGAUCCCACCUAAUGGGAAAAGGUUUUGAUUGUAAUUGUUAGUGUUGUUUUUGUCACAAAGCAAACAAUGCCUUCUGGUACUGAUCGUCAAACAGUAAUGCCGCAAUGAAUACAUACAAGAAAAAUUAGUACAAUUGUGUAUAUGAUGAUUUUCCAUAUCAGAAAUUCAGAAUAAGACCGAUAGAAAUGCCAGUAGAGAACUUUAUUAGACCAAGGAUAGUCUAAUAAUCAGAUAUAUAAAGGAAAACAAAAAAAAAUCUAAAUGAAACCAUUGAAAAGUACUUAGAUCUAUAUAGCUACUUUUAAGUAAUAUGUACUAGGUGUGUGGCAAACCACAAUGGAAAUGCAAUUAUUUAAAUAAAUAAGUUUGCCUACAAUAGACCCACAAUGCCUGGGUCCAAUCCUUACCUCUUUAAAUAGAACAUCCUCUCAUUAUAAUUCUAACUGAUAACUAACCUACUAAAGGAAACUCUAUGUUUUCCCCCUUAGUGUGACCACAAUACACAUACUCUGAUACAGCUCUGUUAUUGACCAGCAUACAUAUAAUACAGACACAACCCUAACACCAAUAAUAAUUUCAGAAAAUAGAAUUGAUUGAAUGAAAUUUUAUGCGUCAGUCAGAGUUGUGUCCAUGUGUUAGUGUGUCGGUCUUCAGACAUUGAACACACCUUAUGAACUUUUUUAUUUAUAGGCAAAUGUUAUUAAAUUAGUGGUUAUCUAUGAAGCACAUAUAAUGACACUACACUAAUCAGUCGAGAAAAUAAAUAAUUAAUUGAAUGUAAUCAAUAUGUGAGUGUCAUAUUGUGUUAGACACGAAGACUCGAGUGUGGGUGGUUAUGUUAGUUCCCGAGACCUCUUUUUUAAUUACCUGAAGUGUUGGUGAUACAUAGCUAACGUAUUGUAAGACUGAAUUGACCCAUGUUCCAACAAAAUAGUGAUAGAAAAAAACAAAGCAAGAAGAAGAAAAGAAAGAAACUAACCGUAUAAGUUUGAGCGAAAACAGGAAGAUAAGCAAGAUCUUCAGACUGACCCCAUGCCCUAAUAAGCUGAAAAGCCCUUGUUCUAUUUUGCUGAUCAGCCUGUUGAUUAUCAAACAACCUAACCAUAUCAUCUAAAAGCUUCUCAGAAGCAAUUUCAGAAAAAACCUUUUCACAAUUCAUAGCACAAGUUUCCAACAACUCAAGGCUAUGCUUCUGAACAACAGGGUUCUUGUGAUUAAUCCUCCUCUUUAUACCCUUCACAACUUCCGAACCGUUAAACUCUUCCGCGUUUAUUAGACCGCAUAUUCUCAGAUUCAUUCCCCAAUUUGGUUCUUCCAACGUCUCUGAUGUUGCUUCCUCGACCAUCUUUGAUUCCGGCGUCGGAGUUUGGAGUAUUUCCUUCAUUUUGCCGCUUACGAUUCGACCCAUCUGGGCCCCACCGGUUUUGAGCCUCUCGCCGAAUUGAGCUAGCUUAGACUUGUCCAUGAGAGUGAGAUGGUUGUUGUGGAGUGAGAAAGUGAGGAACCCUAGAUCGGAUUCUGUUCGUUACUGAUGUGGAGUAUGAAAAUGGGAAAGUGGAGAGUUGAAGUUUCAGAGAGAAACAAAUGUUUGAUUUUAUUUAGAUUAUUGAUUUAUGUUCUUUUACGUGGCUUUCUUUGGAGAGCUUUAAAAUCAUUAAUUAAUUGAUCCCCCACUCACUAAAGUCUUCUCAACCACGUCUCCAUCUCUCUCGUAGACUCUAUUAAUAUUUUAAACUAUUUUUCAAUUAAGUCUUUUUGUAAUUUUACAAUGUUCAUUGAUAUUAAUUGGGCUGACGUGGAAAAUUAAAUGUUAUUUAUUAUCAAAUUGAUCUCUAUAGUUAGAACUAAUACUAUCUAUCUCUUUUCUUUAAAGGAACAUGUAAAUAACUUUAAUUAUUUUGAUUGUGUGGAUGGAGUGUUUUCUCUUAAAGCUCAAUUACGUGCACAAUGCAUAUGUUGUGAGUGCAUCGGAAACAACCGGAAAAAAGAAAAGAAAAUGACAUAGAUUUUAUAGGGUUUGUAUUUUUACUUAAAAUGCUAACAUUUUGAAGGGUUUGUACUUGUACUUAAAAUGCUAAGAUUUAUGUCACGGGUUAAAUUUGAGACCAAUUUUUUGUGUUUUAACCUUUUUUUUUCAUGGGAUAAUUAAUCAUUAAUCACAAUUUUUUAAUGAAAACUAAAUUUUUAGCGUGUCCCUAAUGUGGACCCUAAAAAAAUGUCCACCAGUGGACCUGUGGCUUUCAACCGGGUACAGCCGGUAAGUAAUAUUUUUUUCACAUUUUGUUUUUCCAAAUUUUUGGACACUGCUUGUAAACGAUGGAGCCACAACUAUGGCAUAGUUGUUGAUAUAAGACGUGUCGCAUGCCCUUUAUACAUAUAGUCUCUCUUUUUAUCUCGUUGGAAUUUAUCAGAUAAUACUUUCUGGGACAUUUAAGCAGGAAAUGGGAUAAUUAAAAGAGAAGGCUUUGUACCCAAAAAAGACAGCUAUAUUUUUUUAUACUUUAUCAUUGUUCCAACAAAUGUCAUAUGUGUGAUGAGAAAGAGCUUGAGAAGUAGAGUGUCUUGUGUGAUGCUGAUUCCAUCGAGAAAAUCAACAGUAUGUUGUGUGGUGUACGUGAAUGGUUUCGGGACAUGGGGGAAUAAGGAAAAAAGAAAUCAACUAGGUCGAUAACAUAUGUUGCGUAUAACUUCUAUAUGACGAAAAGGUGGUGAAGAGCGAAAUUGUUAUGAGUUUUGUGUGUCGUUCGUCGGGUUCUGUUUAAGUUGUAUGAAAGGGGACGGCUCUAUCAUUUACAUUUUACAUACAAUGUGAACAAAAUUGGAAGAAAAGUUGUUUACCGAUUGUACCCGGUUAAAAGCAAAGGUCCACACUUUAAAGGCACCCAAAUUUUCAAUUUAGUCUUUAAAAUAUCAUUUCUUUUAUUUAUUUUAUAAAUUAUUAUGAAUUCAAAAUAUUUUGUACUUUAUUUCUUUUGAAAUUAUUUAAGCCUUUGAUAUCAGUUCAUUCUAGACAAGAUUUUGCCUUUUAUUAAAUACAAAUAUUUCACCAUCUCUUCACUCUAAAUUUUAUAAAAAAAAUAUGAAGACUCUAAUUCAUAAGAAAUUCUUUUUUUUUUUCCGUCUAAUCAAUAAUUGUAAUGCUACCAUAACUCUUAUCUUAAGACACUUAUUCUCUUCAAUCUUUAAUAUAAAAGCAAAAAUGAAGUAAAAAAAAAUCAAUAUAUUUAAUUUAAAAUUUAAACUAAAGAUAUCCAUUUUAUUUCACCAUAUUUUUACUUAUAUUUAAAAUAAGAUAGAGUAGGUCAAAAACUCCACUAUUUCAUGUCAUAAAUAUCCUUUGGAGGAGGCUAUAAAGAUGCCUUUGAGCAGUCCCACAACUUAUCCAUAGAAAAUGAGCAAUCACCCAAAUGCAUGGACAAACUGGCUACCAAGAACCAUUUUCAUUCUCAAACAAAUCCAUCCCUUUUUUAAUCAAAAAGAAAUUAUAUUAAUUAAAAUAAAAGUUGAGAAUAAUAGCUUCUAUCAUCGUAUAUAAAAAAAAAUAAAUUUAAUAAGGAAAAAUAUAGAUACACUUUGAACUAAAAAAAGACCAUGGUGAUUAAGUUGAGCUAAUAAAUGAGCAUGUCUAUUUGUUUCUUUUAAAGAAUAAUUAAGAGGGAAUAAGUUCAAUUAUAAUAAACAAAUGAAUAAAUUGAACAUAACAUUUGUGGAUCAUAAAAACGAGGGUCAGUAAGCCAAUUUUAAAAAUAAUAUUAUAAAUAGAUUUAUCAUGAACCACAGAAUGUCAUGUAGUGAUGACCAGGACUGACUAUUAUGGUCGCGAAUGAUCCUUCACAAAUCGAGGAGUUAUCAAUAUGAAUAUAAGCACCACUAAUGUUCAUCUUUAUAACUUUCCAUGAGGUUUAACUCAUAUUUUUUAUUAUGGUUAAUCAUGUUCUCUUUAAGUUUUAGAAAGAUAACUAUUCCUCUUAGAAACUUUAUCAAUGUUUAAUUUAUAAAUAAAUAUAUUUUUUAGGUUUUAGAAAGAUAACUAUUCCUCUUAGAAACUCUGUCAAUGUUUAAUUUAUAAAUAAAUAUAUUUUUUAAUUCAUAUAAAAUUAUGGUAUAUCAAGUUUAGUCUUUAAAAAAUAUUAAUUUAUUUUUAGUCUAUAUUUUAAUUUUAUAGAGACUAUUUUAAAGUAUAAAAAAUAUAAAUUCUUUUAAAAAAAAUCAAAAUUGAAAUUAAAAAUAAAUGAAAAUUUUAAAAUUUAGACUUAAAAAUAGUAAAUUUAUAAUUAUUAAAAAUAUAUUUAAUCCUUAAUUUAAGUUAGAUAUGGAGGCAUCCAACUAACCGCAAUUCAAGAGAAUAACUUGGUACAUUGAAAUAAGAACUAUUUAUGGUGUUACUAUAAUUCAAAAUUUAAAUAAAAUAGAAAAUUAUAAUCUAGCAACAAAAUUGAACGUUUACUCGUCAAUCAAUUAAUAUGAUAAUUAUUUGUUUUUUUACAUUUUUUUUCCACACAAAUUUUCAGUCUCAAUAUUUGUUUUUUUUUCUGUGAUUAUUAAAAAUUUAAAAUACUUUUGCAUUUAAAAUAAUCAUAAAGAUUUGUUUAAUAAAUUAUUUAUACAAUUAUAUAAACACAAUUCUAAAGUUAACUGGUAGUAUUAAUUUUGGUCAGAUAUUUUUUACAAAUUUACUCAUAACAAUUCAAUUUUUUCAAAUAUACAUUAAAAAAAAUUAUAAAAAAUAUACAUUUGAACUUAACUCAACAUCCUAAAUUUGCCAUGAAAUUUAAAUUUUUCUGGAAAAACACUCUUUUAAGUUUUAUGAAUUUUUUUAUAAGACUUAAUAAACGUUUGUAAGAAAAAUGUUGUUUAAGAGACUAAAUGAAAAUUCCGUUUUUUCUAAUAUAUAUAUAUAUAAUAACAAAAUGAUGUAACAAAAACGUUGUUAUUAUUAACUUUUAGUGUAGCGACAUAAAAAGGUAGAUAGACGAUAAAUUAAUGUCCGUCAUUUUUUAUAACAAAUAAUUAAAUAUCUUAAUAAAUGUGUAAUUAUUUUUUGUUUAUUCUUUAUCACAGAAAAUGUAGUAUGUUAUCCAUGAUAAUUAUAUAUGAUUACAUAUGAUAUAAUUAUCAUCAGGACUAUGAGUUUGUACCUAAAAUAUUGUUAGUACAUGAACCAAAAUACUGUUUUUUGUUAAAAUAAAAUAAAAAGUAUUUAACUCAAUUUUAUCAAAAUAUUAAAGAGCAAAAAUAUAUUUCAUAAAAAAAAAAGAGAGCAAAAAUAUACAUAGAGGUUUGGUUCAUGUACUAAUUUUUCUUAAUUUGAUUAAAAUUUCUGUUUAGUUGUUGGACCCUCUUCCUCAUGUUUUCCAUGUGUCUUUGUUGGGAAGGAAAAAACACAACCAUGAAUGAAAGGGAAGGCUUUCAGUAGUUACCAUUCGAAUUCAGAAAAUAAUUAAUUUGUUUUUGGAAACUUCCAUUCUCAUGGUUUGGAAUUGAUCUCGAUACGUUUCACCUGCGUUAAUUGCAACAUUCAAGUUUCAAAACCAUGCAUGUAGGUAUGCAUACGCAAUUAUUCGAAGUUUUUAUUUUUGUUCACAAAAUGCGUAUCAUAUUUUCGUGGAUUUCGUAUGUGUCUUUUUUAUUCAUUGGGCGUUUUUUGGUUUUUGUGUGAAUUAUUGUGGGUGCUAUGCAUUUCAGAUCAUUUUGAAAAUUUUGUGCAAUUUAUUAUAUUGUUGGAACUCUUUUUUUGUUGUUAUUUCUUGGCUUCGUCAUACAAUUACGUAGUUUAUUCAUCCUCGUGAUGGAAAAAUAUGGAGACAUUGUUGAAAAAUGUGGUAAUUUGAAGUAUUUAUUAAUUUGUAUGGUUGUGGAAAACGAAAAGUUAUAUGUAAAAAUUGAAAGUUGAAUUAGGAUAAUUUGAGUUGAAAUUUGACAUUGUUCUGUUCGUAAUUCUCAUGAUUGUUUUACAAGAAACUUUGAAAACCAUCGUUUUAGUUGGUAACAUGCUAAUUUAUUUUGUUAUUUCCUUUAGCACAACAUUCAAAUGCUUAUGUAUAACAAUCUAUAGUUAUUUUUUUUACCGAGUAUUACAAUCUAUAGUUUUUUAUACAUGUUUUUGCUUGAACAAUUGAACACAGCCAUGGUGCUAAUGUACCAUAUUUCUCAAUAAUCAAGUUUGCUUUAACCACUAAUUGUUAUUUUUGACACAAACACCUCUGAGAUUAGGCUUGUCGUCAUGUCUGACACAUAUCGGUGUCCAACAUUCGUAUGACACUUUUACGACACCUCAAAUAAGUGUCCCAAAAUAAAAUUUGUUUUUCUUUGCUUCAACACACCUUAAACUUCUUGGACACAUCUAUGAAGGUGAAAAAGGUUAAAGAUGUGUCAAAGUAAUGAUAAUUAAUGAUAGGGUUAAAAACAUGAAAUUUAACUACAACAUGUUUAGUUUUUCGAUAGUAGAUGUAUCAAUGAAGGUGAAAAAUUAUCAUAUGUGUAUUAGUUUAGAUGUCCUAUGAUCUUUAUAUUAGCAAAGUCUGUGUCCGUGUCGUGUCAAAUGUUCGUGUCGGAAUUUGUGCUUCAUAGCAAAGAUCCUCUUUCCCCUACAAGGCUACAACUAUAUUCUAUUUAAAAAUAAAACUUGUAUGUAGUUAAGACAUACCAAUUCGAAUCCUUGAACAUGUCAAGCCAUGCAUAUCAACUCCUUACAAUGGUUAUCUACACUUGCCAAAGGGGUUCAUUAAAUUUACACAACUCUACUUUGUUUGGUAAGUUUAGGGAAUCAAGUUCCUUAGUUUGGCUAAGCUGUCACAUGUUAUGUGCAUUUUAUCCAAAAAUAAACACGAGACUAUCUUAUACAUCAGCUUAAUUAUAUAGUAAACAUUACAAAAUAAUUUUUUUUUAAUUUCUAUGUUGCUUUUAUAAUAUUAGUUUGUUGUAUGAUCUUACCAGAACAGAUCAAAUGGAUAUAACUUCAGCAAAAUGUGUGGUCAACACCAUUUCUCGAUUCAUUCAUCUAGUUUCUUGCCAAACAGUGAAACUUAUACCCCUUCAGAAGAACUAUAAUAAUAUGGUUGGUGUCUUAAAGUGUUUGAAACCAGUGCUUGAUGAUGUUGUGGAUUACAAAAUCCCUUUAGACAAAAAUUUGUACAGAGAAUGUGAAGAAUUGAAUAUGCAGGUUAAUGAAGCUAUGGAGUUCAUUGAAAAACGGAGCCCAAAGAUGAGUAGGAUCCACAAUGUAAGCAGUUAGUUAUUUCAUAAUUAAACCAAUAUCAUUAUUUUGCAACUAUUGUUUCAAAAAUGUUAGGACCAAUCGCCUCUUUGUCAGACAUUUGAACAAUGUUGAAAGGAGACAAUGAAUCACCGUUGCCUUUCUCAUAUGUCUGUUUUAUUUCGGAGAUAUUGAUUGCAGCCUAUUUAAUUGUUUUUGUUGGGAUUGUGUUAUUUUUAGGUUCUUCUAAGUGGAAAAAUGUUAAUAAAGUUACAAAGCACUUCACUUAUAAUUUGUCACAUAAUUAAUAGAUCUUCAAUGUCAACUUCCUCUUCCUCAGUUUUGGCUAAUCUUCAGGUAUGUCCAAAGUUUGAAACUACUUGUUUCUUGAUCAUUGUAGUUGUGAAACUAAUUAGUGGCAACUUUUUCAGCACCAUAUGCAAGAACUUCAGAGUUUUAAGAAGGAUUCAACAACACUCUAUAUAGAAGAAGCACUGAGAAAUCAAAAGGAUAAUAUUAAACCUUGCUAUGAACAUUUAAGGGAAAUUAUAGAGUUACUUAAAUUGACAUCAAGUCACGAGCUUCUAAAAGAAAGUAUUGAUGUUGAAAAGGAAAGGUUGAAUGUGAAUGCACAAGUCAACAAAACAAAAGAGGAGUUGGAUGAAGUUAACCAAAUUAUGAAUAUUGUGUGCAUUUUGCGCGAUUAUGCGACGAAAUCUAAAUGCCCUGAAGUCAAAAGUGGUGUCUCAAUACCAUCAUACUUUCUAUGCCCUUUAUCACUGGAAAUCAUGUUGGAUCCUGUUAUUGUGGCUUCAGGUCAAACAUAUGAGAGGGGGUCCAUUCAAAUGUGGCUUGAUAAUGAGCUGCUUAUUUGUCCCAAAACUCACCAGAAACUUACUCAUACAGAUCUAAUUCCCAAUUCUACUGUUAAAGCUAUGAUAACAAAUUGGUGUGAAGAAAAUAACUUCAAACUUCCCAGUAACUCAAAUCCUGGUAAUUCGACAAAAAUUUCAAACCCUUCCGAUAAUUUAUUGCAUCAAGAUUUAGACCGUGUCAAUAGCUUGGAAUAUUCUAGUAGCAAUUCCAAUUCAAAACCAUCCAUUCAAACUAUAAAUGCAUUUGAGAAUCAAAAGGGUGAAGACUCGUCCAGAUUAAGCGGCGAAUCAAACAGAUGCCAGAAUGGUGAGACAGAAAAGUUUAAGCAACAAUACCUUGGUCCUUCACAUAGUCACAGCAGAAGUACUGAAUCAUUUUCACGUUCUAUUUCUACUAAUGUUUUUCCUGCCUCUCCUGCAUAUAAAGAAUUAGUGAAUUUUCCAUCGUUAUCACGAGAUAAGUUUCAAACCUCUGGAUCAAAAAAUACAUCGACGGAGAAUGAAAUUAAGUGCAAUAACAAUAAUAAUAAUAUUGUUAUCACUAGCCAUUCAAAUGUCGAUGCUGAUCCUGUUUCUGAUAAAUUAACCACCACAUCUCAUGUCAAUAAGUUAAUUAAAGAUCUACAAAGUCAAUCAAAUGAAACACAAGCUAUCGCCGCAGAAGAAUUGCGCCUCCUUACCAAACAUAACAUGGACAACCGUAUCAUUGUAGCACAGUGUGGAGCUAUCAUGCAUUUACUUCCACUGCUAUAUUCAGAUAUGAAGAUAACACAAGAGCAUGCUGUGACAGCUUUACUGAAUCUAUCGAUUAACGAAGAUAACAGGACUUUGAUUAUGGAAGCAGAGGCUAUAGAAGGACUUAUCAAUGUUUUGAAGACAGGAAAUAAUGGCGCCAAAGAAAAUUCAGCGGCGGCUUUAUUCAGUCUGUCAGUACCAGAAAACAAUAAGGCGAAAAUCGGUUGUACGGGUGCAAUAAAAGCUUUGGUGGAACUUCUAGCUUCUGGAACUCUAAGAGGGAAGAAAGAUGCUGCAACUGCUUUAUUUAACCUUUCAAUAUGUCACGAGAAUAAAGCACGUAUAGUUGAAGCUGGAGCAGUGAAGUUUUUGGUUAUGUUAUUGGACCCUGCUGAUGGAAUGGUUGACAAGGCUGUUGCUCUUUUGGCAAACCUGUCAACAAUUCCAGAGGGUCGACUGGAAAUUGUACGUGAAAGAGGAGUCCCUUUACUUGUUGAACUUGUGGAAUCAGGUUCUCAGAGGGGAAAGGAAAAUGCUUCAUCCAUUCUCUUGCAACUAAGCCUUCAUAGCCGUAAAUUUUGUACUCUUAUUCUCCGUGAAGGAGCUGUUCCUCCUGUAGUUGCAUUAUCCCAAUUUGGUACACUCAGAGCAAAGGAAAAGGUAUCAAACUCAUUCUCUUUUUCUCUUAAACCAUGCACAAGCCUGCUUACUUUGUCUAUAAAAAAGACAAUGCUGCUUAUUUUAAGAGACUUUAUAUUUUUUUAUUGGUAGUAUGUAAUAAACAUUCAAUUGCUUCCUUAAUAGUCACUCAUAUUUUUUUUAUCUUCAAUGAGGUGACUAAUAGACUUCGGUAAAGCAAUUGAAUUUUUUAUGAUUAAAUUUUUGUCGGUUUGCAUAUACUGUCAUUUUGUUACAUUUGGAUCACUUGUUAUUCAUCUAUAGAUAAUACUCUCUUUAAAAUUAAAUAUAACCAAAAAUGAUAUUUGAAAAAAUGAUGUACGUGUUAAAAAUUUAAUCAAAUAUUCUUUUUGGUUAUAUUUUAUUUUAGAGUAACAUAUAGUUGUAUUUUAAUGAUGGACUAAUGGUAACUAACACUCAACUAUUUUAAUGAUGGACUAAUGGUAACUAACACAUUCAGUUUGUUGAAACUAGUUAAUCAAAUUUUACUUUCUAUGAUUAUGCAUUGCUAGUUUAACAAAAUCAUAAUAAACGCUUAAAGAAAUAUUUAUUUUCACAAUGGAGUUUUUCAAUAACACAAAAACUUAUGAGAUGGGGCAGAAACAUUGGUUGUCACGACAUAUAGUAUCUCAUGUACAAAGCAUAAUGUAAAAUGUGGAAGAAAUGCUAAUAUGUUGUUCACAUAUAUGCAGGCACAACAACUUCUUGUUCUUUUUCGUAAUCAGCGUGAUGGAGCACCAGGGAAGGGAAAAUCAUGAAGAUAAACAAUUUUGGUUACUUUGUUGCCUUUUUUCUUUUUCUUACUCCUAUUGAAGGUUGUAGGAGUUCAUUACAAUUUUUCUUUUUUCCUUCUCUUCUUGAAAACAAUUUAAAAAAAAACUGAUUUAUAAAAUAACCAUAUUAUCAGGUUUGAUACUAUGUCUCGAGUGGCAGUUGUGUUUGAGUUUUUUUAUUAUUUAAUAUACACGAAGAAAAAAACCAUUGGUGUUUAGGCGUCUUUAUUUGCAGUUCAAGUGAGUGGUGAAGGGAAAAGAGAAUUGAUUGUAUUCAAGUAAUUAAUUAGACAACAGUUUAGUAGUAGUUGUCGAGAGAGAACCCUGUUGAGGCAUGGAACACGAAUCAACUAGCUGUCUCUGAUCUGUAUAUCUGAUUUUAUUUAUGGAUUCAGAAAUAACAGGGCUAAGUCUUAGUUGUAGUUAAGUUCCUGACUCUUUAGUACCAUCACGUAAUUAACAUUGGGCCCACUCAAGCCCAUUAAUACUUUUUUUUGUCGUAAAACUAUAAAAGCCCCGUAUUAAUAGACACAAUACAAACAAACAGCCUCUUUACAUUUUAGUUCUUUUUAAUCAAUACUAAUUAAUAACGCUGCUCUUUUUAGAAAAGUAAUGUCUUGCCUCUUUCUUUCUAUAAAUCAUUUAUAACAAAUAAUGAUGCUCUUUCAGAAAAGUAAUGUUUUGAUCAAAAUAAAUUAUGGAAUCAUAUAAUAAUAAAUAUAGCAUCAAAUCUUCACCCACCAUCUUAAUGUAAUAAAAAUAUAAAUUUUCUAACUAUAUAUCAUUCAAUAUUUACUUUUUUUUUUUUUAAAUCAAUGGGGAACUUCUAAAUUAACAUUAAAUUCCUUACCCUUCCGAUACAUGUUUCACAGGCUGUAUAAAUUAACAUUAAAUUCCUUACCCUCCUUCCAUGUGCAUCACACGAGACCCCCAUAAUUUGAUCCUCUAUUCCUGCAUAGGCUGACAAAACGUUGCGCCCAAAUUUCCAAUGGAACAUAGGUUAAGGAUAUAUAGUGGGUAGUUAAUAUGAUAUUCACCUUAAUUAAUAUUAUUUUUCAAUUAACUUAAGCUAGUUAACUAGUUCAAGUUCAGCUCAUAUGAAGAAUUAAUUAGAAGGAGAACAAGCUAAAUAUGACUCACACGGUGAAUCAAUGUAAAUCUCUGAAAUAAUUUUUGAACAUAAAUUCUAACAUUAUACACUUUAUAAAUCUACUGUUGAUGAUGAGAAAAAUACACUAGCUUAUUAUGUAUUUUACACGGUGUCGAAUAUAAGAUAUCAAUUUUUUGUGUCUAAAUAACACAUGAUAUAUGUAUUGACUUGUGUGUUUGAGACCCUGCUUUUGCAAGCAUUAACCCUUAGAACUAUAUUGGCUGCAAUCAACAGCUUUUAACUACCAUGUAAUCUGAUGUGUAUAGAGUGUCAAAUCAAAAUCAAAUAAUCUAAAUUUUAAAUUUUAUGUUCAAAUUUUAUAUUUAAAAACAAUUAAAAUCGGACUUCAAAUCUGAACCCUCUUAUUUUGACAGAAAAAUCUAAAUAUACUAAAUAUAGUGCAUCAACUACUCCAAAUCGAUUAACAGAACAGUGAGAUUGACAAUCGAGUAACACAUUAAGAUGUCGCUGUUAAGUUUGUUAAUAUUAAUAUACUAUAGUACAACAUAUAUGUAUAUUUUACAAACUACGAACAGCUGCUUCAUGAAAGGAACAUCAUAAAUCCAGCUUAGAAAAUAAACUACUUCAUUCCUGCGGGGUUUAUAUAUAUAUUAAAUUAAUUGAAUCUAGCGUAGGUUUAGGAAUGGAUGUGAAAUAUAUCACUAAUUUGACCAUAGAUUCUCAUAGGGUAUAGGCUAAAAUCUCAAAGAUCGAGUAACAAAACAAUACGCAUAUAUUAUACAGGGAAUUAAUUAUCUAUUUAAUGAUGUGAAAGGUACUAAUUCAUAAAUUGUCGAGUAUGCUUGAAAGUUACAUUAACUUUGAAAUUCAAUUCAAUAAAAUUAUUUUAAGAUACACUCAAUUCCUAAAUUAACUAGCUAGUAUGAUCCACCCACUUAAAUAAUUAUAAUCUAUGAUCGUGAAACGUGCGGUGUAUCCUUGAAAUAGGGUUUUACUACUACUUGUUAAUAUACAUACUUUUAUAAUAUAUAUGCAUUUUAAGGGAAUAUAGGUAUAAAAUAAAGUACUGUAUAUGAUAGGAACAAGAGAGAUGGAAAUUAAACGACUAUUGAUUGGAAGAGUUUAUUAUAAAUUAUAUGAAAUUGUGAAAGACAAGAAAACAGUGUAAGAUUAUAGUACAAGAUUUUGUCAAGGACAGCCCAACAAGAACUAAAAAAAAUAACGGAGUAUAGAGUUGUUUAUUUAAUUAAUGCCUCCUCUGCAUGCAUGUCCUUUGCAAAAACAGAGAGAUUUUUUGGUCAACUAAACUAAUCUGAAAACGAAUUAAUAUUAAGUACAAAUAAAAUAAAAUAAAAUUACGUGCAAAUAAGAGGGAAAGUGUAGAAGAAAGUUACUCCUAUAUGAAAGCAGGCCUGGACCUUUACUCUGUCUCUCAUUAACGUCAACUAACCAUGAAGUUAAUUACUCAAUGCACAUGAAUAGAUUUAUUUUAUUUUUAAUGAACAUGAAUAAUUUUACUAAAUUUUUUAAUUUGUAUUAUCUCGAUUCAAAUUUCACUCAAUCUCUCUCAAUUCUCUUUAUUUUUUUCAAUUUUUUGAUUAAAAAAAUCGUUAGAUUAAAGUUUUAUAUUAUAAAUAUUAUGUAUAUAAAACUUAACACAAAUCUAAAAUGUUAUAGAGAUUUAUAAAGACAAACAAUUUUCAAUACAAAUGCAUAAAAUAUUUAUUUUGAUAUAUUUCAAUAAUAUAUUAAAUAAUUUUAUAUUUGUAUAAAAAUUUAUUUACACGAUGUAUAUACUAUAAACUUUUAAUUUAAAUUAAAAAAAAUAAUAAAAAUAAAAUUAAAAUAAAUAAAAGAAUUGAACGAGAUGGUUAAACUCUAAAUUUUCUUAUUUUUGAAUUUAUUUUAUAUAUAUAAAAAUGUUAGUUAAAUUAAUUAUUUUUUCAUUCGUUGGCAUUCCAACUCUGAUUAUUUUAUUCCUUCAAGAUUUUAAAUCAAAUCAAUUGAACUAUUUAAUCUAUUAUAUUUUCAGACUUAAUCAAAGCACCGAUAGUCUACAAAUUAAUCACCUAUUUUAUGUUGAAGUUUAUGUAUUAAAAGAAAAGAACUGUGAUACAAAAAAAUAGAAAAGAACUAAAAAAGAAUGAGAACCGUAAAGAUCAAACUUUGAACUAUUUAACGGAUCAUGAUUUGCUAUAAUUUGGGAUCACGCAUUUUCGUGUUGUAUUUCAUCUGAGCCGUGUAUUUUAGAUCAAACGUUUCAUAACACACUGUUAAUUUAAUUGCACGAUAUAAUCUCAAUCGUUGAUCUAAAUCAUAUAAUUGAGCACUAUAACUACGUAACCCAGUCCCAACAUAGAAUCAAAUUCUGACUGAAAAAUACAAACUUUGAUGGGAUGCUAUGUUUUUUGUUGUUGAUGGACACAGACAUAGACAAUGUCAAGUAUCGUCAAGAAGGUUUAGUCCUAUGGUUUCGAAUACGACAUCGAUGAGUAUUAAGAAAUAAUAGUUUUUUUAAAAUAAAAAAAUGAAGGGAUAUUAAGAAAGUUAAGAGGUUCAAUAUCUUUUAGGAAGACCAAUAAGCACGAAAACUCACGAAUGGUUUAAUAGUGUAGGAUAAAUCUUUUUUGUUUUUAUUAUUUAUUUUUAAUUCUCCCAUGUAUUAUUUGCAUCCGCUUGAUUUUCAUCGUCCAUGUUUCGUGCGCUGGAGUGUCGUGCUAUACAGUAGUUCCACUCUUAUGCAAACUUGAAAAGCCAAUAAAACUAAUUUUAUUAAAACCAAAAAGCUAACCAGACAAUUAAAGAAUUAUCAAAUUAGAAAAACAAAAUCAUUAUUCAUAGAAGUUCCUGCAAUGACAAUAACUAAGUAAUUGAAUGAAAUGUAAAAAUUAAAUUUUAAUUAAAAGCAAAUCAAAUUUAAAAUAUUUAAUUUUUAAUAUAUUUACGUAAAAUGGAAUUGAAUAUUAAAUUAAAAUACAUUUUAAAAAUUAAAAGGUACAAACUAUAACUUUAACUUAUAAUUAAUUUUAAAGGUAAAAUAAAUUUUACUUUAAUAAUAAUAUAUUUAAAUAUAAUUUUUUUUCUUAAAAAAAAAAAGACCGUACAGAGUCGCAAAAGUGACGGAAAUAGAUGAGAUAGUAACGAAAAUUGCAAAACCCCUUGAGCAUGAGCACCCAGAUGCAGAACCCUGCAGGCUGCUGCAAUGCAACAUGUUUCACUAUCUAGUUAUCGUUCGUUGCUCUCGUGCCUGCACAAUUUUGCAGCAGUUACCUAACAAUAAUCCAACGUAAUUAAAAACGAAUUAUUGCACCCAAGAGGCCAGACUACGCAAGUCUCAAAAUUAAAUCAACCACAAUAAUUAAGUUAUAUUUCAAGUAUCAAAUACCGAUAUUGUUAAGUUUAACCGACUUCAAAUAAGAGAAUACCAAUAUUAUUAGGUUUAAUGCGAAUUUAAAUAAAAAAUCUAUGAAUUAAUUGUAGUGGAUUUUUUUAUCUUUUUUAAAUUAAAAAAAAAAAUCAAACUCAAUUUAAUAUGCUUAUGUUUACUCUCUCUCAAAAUAAUUGACAAUUUUAAUUUAAAAUGUAAUUUUUUUAUUAUAUAUUUUAAUUUAAUAUUACUUAUAUUAUUUUCAAUGUUACAUUUAUUCUGUUUUAAUUAUAUAUAUUUUUAAUAUAAGAUGAUUAAAUAUUUUAAUUAUUUUAUUACAUAAUUUGUUUUGAAUAUUAGCCAGCAUUAUGUGGAAUAACUAACCUGAACGAGACCAAAACUAGUUCAUCAAAUUAAGCUGUAAAUAAUAAGAAAUUAGUUUCUUUUCAAUAUUAAUGGGAACACAUAAAAUUCGCUUUAUAUCAUUAACUACAACAAAAAUCUCUCUAAUUUUCUCGUCACUAAAUUGACUUUAUAUUUUAAUUUAUGUCUCUAGAUUUUCCUUGCUAAUUUAAUCUUUUUGAAUAGUAAUUUCACAGUUACGUAUUGAUAUCAACAUUAAUUAAAAUUCUGUCUGACAAAAACAUAAUAUCAACACCAAUAGUUUUUUGAAAUAGCUGAUUCACUCUAACUCUAUUAAAUCACCAAACCACGUAAUAACUUUCGGCCAACCCAUGUACCGACAUUAACUAAUUAAUGUAGAUAUUAUCAUAGUAAUAUUAACAUUCACUAGCAGAUAGAAAAAAUUAAAAGAUGAAUUUCAUGUUUUAAUUUUUCUCUAGAUUUUCACGCUAAUUUAAUAUUUUUUCAGUAGUAAUUUCCCAUUUACUACAUUAACAUCCUGUAAAAAUAAGUAUGUCGACAAAAUCUCAAUAUCUACGUUAAUCUAUAAAUGUUUUGAGGGAAUUUACUAAUUUAUUAACAAUAGAGUAAAAAAUUUAUUAUAAAAAUAUUUGACAUUUUAUACGAAGGAACAUUAAUAUCUUAAGCUAUCUUUUAUAAAAAUUAGCGGUAAAGUUUAAUUUUUCUGUUAAAAUAAGUUUUUAUUUAUUUAUUUUGAACUGUGUGUUAUAAAAUCAUAUUAACAUAUAAAAUGUUAUGUUUUGAUUAAUAUAAAUCACAUUUAUUUCUCUCUUUUUACCACUUGUAUAUAUCAAAUUUGAAACAUUACAAAUCUCAUGAAACGGUCUCUAAUUUCUAUUUUCAUGAAAUACUUUAUCCGUUCACAUUAAGUUAUAUGUUAUAUUGAAACACAUUUAAUAUUUUAUAUCAACUUAAAUCAAAUCAUAAUUAGAUGAAUUUGUUCUUAAUAAUCAAAUCCAAUGAAUUUUUACUCUGCUGUUAGUUUUUAUCUUUUAAAUUUAUGAAUCCCCAUAUAAUUUUUCCACACAGACAGUAAACAUGCGUAGGGGACGGGUCCACGGUGAGGAUAACGUAGACUCGUGCCUCUACUUGCAUUUUGAUUUCCUCCAUAUUAUAGUAGUAUAUUUAUUCUCUAGCAAUAUAAUUUAUAAAUAUAAUAUGGUAGUAUAUAUAUGCAUGCAGUUAAAAACAUUUAUUUCAUUGUUUUUGUUUCAUCUCACUUUUCUUAAUUUUUGUAAUAAGAAAACUUACAAAUAUAGUAAAAAAAUGUUAUGUGAUGUUUUAAUGUUAUAAAUAUAUUAAAAAUAUAUUUAACCUUUAAAUAUAAAUAACUUUUUAUAUACACAGGUCAUUUAAUACUGAUAGCAUGUUUGAUAUCGAGGAAUUCAUUUGAUAUUUUUUUUGUUGAAUUUUGAUUAUCAUUAUUUAUUAUUACUUAAAAGGAUGGUGAGAAGUGGACAAAGGUAGUGUCAGAAAUGAAAGUAUUUACAUUUUGAAAGAGAAAAGGAAAGGUUAAAAAGGGUAAAUUGGUAGGGGCAUUAGAGUCAAUUGAAAAGGAAGUGUCAUUCAAAACUACAGGAGUCAAGAAAAGAAAAGAGAAUCAUGUUAUUCCCUCAUUUUUACCCCCUCCAAACUUUUUCCUGUCUCCAUCCAAACCUACUGUCCAACUUUUCUUUCCUAUUUCCUCCAAACCCUCUCUCUCUCUCUCUCUCUCUCUCUCUCUCUCUCUCUCUCUCUCUCUCUCUCUCUCUCUCUACAUCAAGAAUGAAAUAUAUUAAUAUAACCAUUAACAAGCUAUGAUAUCAUGAACCAAGUUUGAGUUUGUUUCACCCUUUUAAGGAAAAAAUAUCAGAAAUCAAAGCUUCUAAAAAAUACACUGCUAUAUCUUUGAGAAGAGCUUUCUAACUAUAUAUACUUCAAUUAACACUUCACAAUACUCAUCCAAUCAAUCUCAUCACACAUUGAAAAGAAAAAAAAAAGAAUUCCUUCUUUCUGCUUCAUCAUUUUCAGGUAUAUAUCUCCUAUUUCUAUCUCCUAAAAUAAACACAACAAAUUCUGUAACCUACCAAUUAACAAUCAGAAUUUGUUUCCUUUCUUUCUUCAAAAGUUGUUCUUGAUUUCAUUUUAAAGAAACUUGUAAAAGGAUUAUAAAAAAUCAAACAAGAAAUCAUUGAAAUUAUAAGUAUAGUAACUCUCAUCUCACUCUGAUCACAGGAACCCUAGAAAAACAAGGUACUCCUGUCAAAGCAACUUUGGAUCUACAAAGCAAAGAGUUGAAGGAAAUUAAUUAAAGUUGAAGUAUAUAUAUAUAUAUGGAUUCAAUUCAAGAAUUUAUAAACACAUGUAACAUUGAAAACAGCUGCAACUUCAUGAAUAACAACAACAGUAUAAGCAGUACAACAAGCUUAACAACAACAGCAAGUGGAAGUUCUUCAUCAUCAGCUGUUUCAACCAUCACCACCAACACACCAAACAGUAGCAGCCGCUAUGAGAAUCAGAAACGCCGUGAUUGGAACACUUUCGGUCAGUAUCUUAAGAAUCAUCGACCUCCUCUUUCGCUCUCGCGGUGCAGCGGUGCACAUGUUCUUGAAUUUCUCAGGUAAAUAUGUAAAUAUAAUCAACAUGCACCCUCUCUUUCUUUUUAUUUCUAUCUCUAACACUACAUAUCAAGGUUUUAAAUAGCACUUCCAAUUGCAUCGCAAUUCUUAAUAUUAGUUUGUGACAUAUAAAACACAAUUCUUUAUGUUUUGAAAUGGAUCUUCUAUAGCAAAUGGAAGAGAGAGUAAGAGAGAAGAAGAAUUGAUGAGAGAUGGAAAGUGGAGAAGAUCCAAAUCGCUAUUGAAAUUGUAGUCACAUAUUUUUGAAAGUGUUGAUUAUGUAUAAAUAUAUCUCAGAAUAAUAGUUGAAUGUGUGUAGGUACCUGGAUCAAUUUGGGAAGACAAAAGUUCACACACCAAUAUGUCCGUUUUAUGGACAUCCAAACCCUCCAGGGCCAUGUCCAUGUCCUCUAAGACAAGCAUGGGGAAGCCUUGAUGCACUAAUAGGUCGUCUUCGUGCAGCCUUUGAAGAAAAUGGAGGAAAACCAGAAGCUAAUCCUUUCGGUGCUCGAGCAGUGAGGCUCUACCUUCGUGAGGUUCGUGAUCUUCAAUCCAAAGCAAGAGGAAUCAGUUACGAAAAGAAGAAAAGAAAGCGUCCACCAUUGCCAACACCACCUCCUACUGCUGCAAACUCAUUAGAUAUCAUCAAUUGACACUCUUCUCUUAAUCAAUGCUCUUUUUAUUAUCAUAUUUAGGGUUUUUAUUUUUAUUUUUAUAAUAAUAUUAUGUGAAAGCUGCUGUGAAAUCUGAUGAUAGAUAUAAGACUGUUUGUUUGUCUUUGGAUUCUGUUUGGUUGCAGAUGAAAAAGUGUUCAAAUUCUGAUAAAUCAUUUAUCUGCUUUUAAAGAUUUAGCAGAGACUGUUAUGUUGCUUGUACUCAUAGUAGACUCGCAGUGGACUGGAAAAGUUGAAGCUAGUCAUCAUAGUGAUUCUCAACAAGGAACCACUUACUUACAAUCACAGUCACAACCAUGGCAUUAUUAUUAUUUAUUAUAUAUGUUUAUAUGUUUUUGUACAAUUAUUCAAUAUGUCAAACUUAGACUUGCAGCACAUUAUAUGUCUUUAAUCACAUAUGCAUACUUUCUGUUGGAACAUAUAUAUAUUAUAUGUUAUAAUAAAAUUUCUAUUUUUGAAGGCUUGAAUUUUACUACAAUUGUUACUAAUUUGAUGUGUCACAAAUAGAAUUUAAGUUUCUAACUUUCAAGAUACAUUUGUGGCAAGUUUUCACUUCCAUUUAGAGAUGCAUAUAAUACAUAGUAAUGUGGAUAACACUAUUUGAGUCUAAUGUAUAUAUUGAUGUGAUAAUUAUUUGUUCAUAUCUAUCUAUACAAAAAAAGAUCUUUUUCUUAUCAUAGCUUACUUUUAUAAAUUCCUUUCAUCUGAUUAGAUACUUGAAUUGGAGUAUUGUUUUAGUAUGAAAGAGAAUACUAUAUAGAAAGUUUAAUGAUUCAUAAUAAUAAUGGUUAAUCGUUAAACAAAUAAAUUACUUUCUUUUGAUAAUAUUCUAUUUCAUUCUUGUGUGCAAUGCAGUAGUGCUAUCAUUUCAACUUAUACCAAACAAAAGAAAAUUAAUUAAUGGCAGACAAUGUAAUUAAUUUGUAUAUCACUGAACCUUCAAUUAUUUGUUUCAUAUACUUUAUGCUAGCUAAAAUAUGGUUUUCAUCUCAAUAAAAAUAAAAAUAAAAAUUAAUUUUCUUUAAUAUUCUUAGAAUGGUUUAUGUUAAUCUAUUCUAUUCAUCUCCAUUUAUUUGGUUUGAAAUACUGGUCAUGCAGGAUUAUUGUUAUUUUUUUAAAAUAGAAAAAAAAUAUGUUAAAACUGAAAUAUAAGAAUAUAUUCCAACUCAAAUAAACCUUAAAAAAAGGAACCAAGAUCAAACAUAAUACAGGUCAUUCUCAUUCAAAUAUUUCUAAAUCCAAUUCGUUGAAUAAUGUCAUUAAGACAAUCGUUUUAUACCUCAAAAUAAAGUAAAUUUUUUACUUAAUUAAUAGUCGAUCCUCCCGUGAUCAUGCCAUCAUCAUAAGUUCAUAACCCUACAUAUUCUACUAUUUUAAAACUAAAGUUUAAAAAAACUAUCUAAAAUAAAUAAUUUCCAACAAAGAUUAAAUAGAUUGACUUUAUUAUUGAUUGAAAAGAAAUAUCAAAAGAAAUCAAUUUCAAUAAUUUAAGAAAGAAUUUUUCAAUCUAAAACCUAUAUUAAAAAUAAAUUUUCAUAUGAAGGGUAAUUGGCAUAUUUAAAGAUAUUAUAAAUAGAGUUUAAACAUAUGUCAUAUAAAAUUAGAUUAUCUAAAAUAUAAUUUUAAAAUAUAUCAAAAUGUAAUUUAAUUUAUUAGUCUAUUAACUAGUUAAUUUAUCUAAAGAUAAGUUAUUUGAAUAAAUUAUUAUAAAAUAGACUUUUAAGUUAACAUACAACUUCUCAAGAGUACUUAGAUGAGAUGACACUUGUCUCUUCUAACUUAAUCAAAGUCGUAAGUUCGAACCUAGACUUGAGCAUGGAACAACAUUAAAAAAUUUAGUGAGAAUUUAUCGUCCAUUUAAAUUCUACCAAACUCUCAAGAUAAAUUUAUUAAGUUGUACAUGAAGGAUACUCUGGCUUACACUAAAAUAAUGUAUAACUUUAAAAAAUAUCAAACUCGAGUCUUAAAAUAAGUCUAUAACAAAUAAUAAGUCAUAUUUUAGCUUUAACUUUUUAUAUAAGUUUCUUGUAAAGUUUCUUUCAAGUAACAUUAUUUUUAUUUUUUUAUAAACAAAUAUUAGUAAUAAGUUAAUUUAACAUUUUUUACAAUUUGAAUUUAUCCGACAAGUUAGCUGUCCUAAAAUAUUGUGUUAUCUAUCCUUUUUGUAACGUGAUCUAAUUUUUUCUUUUAUGGCUCAAAAAGAAUAAUUUUCCUUAAUCCCUCUGGGUGGAUGAAGAGACGCCUAUUAAGCUUUUUAUUUUUUGUCACAAGCAAAACCCAAUAGGACAUAUGAUAUAUGCUGUAGAUCAAGAUUAGCUAAGCUUACGACACCUAAAAGUUAUUCUAGUGGGACAUACAAGUCUACCACUUGUGAAGACAUAAAGGAUCUAUUCUUUCAUGUAAUUAUUCAUAUAUAUGGUGUUUGUUUGUUUUAAGAUGUAAUCAUAAUUUCAACAGCAACAAAAAAAUAUAAGGAAUAUUAUGUCCAUGAUUGUCGUUUUCAAGUGAUGUGUGUGCUCUUGUGUCUACAAUUAAUGUGCUUGGUAUAAUAGUCUAUAUAUUAAUGUGAGUGUAGGUUAAUAAAUAAAUUGUUUUACUUAAGAAUAAUGAUAUGUGCUUGCCAUUGAUCGUCUAACAAUCCAUGAUUUAGCUCUAUGAUUGAAAAAUACCUCAGAACCAAUGGAAUUAAUAUCGUUAAUUAAUAACAAAUGAGUAAAAUGUUGAAUGUAUAGAAAAAAUAACUCAUAGACACAUUGUCAAUUAUGUUUAGAUGUAAUGUCAAAAUUUCUUUAGGGAACAUUAAUUGUUUCACUGUGUAAUAAGUCGAUUUAUUUUAAUAUUUUUAGUUAAAAUGUAUAUAUAUUAAAAUGUUCCAUGGAAAGCCAGCUGAAGAAGUGUGUUUUGGAGAGGAUCUAAUUUGCACGACCUAAAUUGGUCUUAGUCACUAAUCUCUCAACUCAAAAAUCUCACUUAGCAUCCAUAUGUAAACUUAGCCUCCCCUUUGGCAGAAACAAUACUCCAAAUCAACAAUGACUGGUCGAUACCAAUAAACAUAUAACUCUCAUAAAAAAACCACAACACAUUACCAAGGUAAAAGUUCCAUAAAAAAAAUUUGCAUCCAAAGGAAGAAUAACCUUAAUUAUAGUAAUAUUGGAUAUUGAAUAUUGUGCAAAAUAUUUGUCCUCAAUGAAUCACACGUACACAUGCACAAGGCAGUGAUAACUAGCGAAUAGUGCUAACAAAUGGGGCAAUAGAGGCCCAAUAGGGUAGUAAGUAAAGUUUUUUUUUAUUAAAUGGAAUAUAAGAAGUAUUUUAACCUUUACAAUUAAAAAAAAAAGCACAAUCUUAAUCCAACAUAAUAACAAGUAGUAACUAUUCACAUAUCUGACAACAACAAAAAGCCUAAUACAAAACAAACACUACAACCAUCUUAAACAAGGGAUGCCCCCACCUUCCCACAACAUAGAUUCCCUACAAACUGCCUAUAAGGUAGUAAGUAAAGUGGCCCAAUGUUUGUUUAGCUUUUCCAUAUAUACUCAUUAUGGUAGUUAUUUUAAACCAAUACUCAAAAUAAUCUACGUCGAUUCAUAUUUACACAUCACUUAUUUAUAUUUUUUUACUGUUAAUUUCUAUAAAAACUUAAUUAUUUCAAUGCAAUAUUUCUACAAAAAUUACAAUAUUGGUGUCUAUUUACCACUUUUUGUUUCAUCCUUCAAUAGAGGUGGCUAAUAAGAUGAAUCCCUAUUAACCAAAGUAAAUUUCAUUGGUGAUAUUGGUCUAACAUAAUUGGCUGAGCUCCCACGUUAUGAAGAAUACAUUUUACUGUUUUACGGAUCCAAGCGCAGAAUUAUCAGCUACUAGAAACGGACCACAAUAUGUUGCAGUUCGGGACUAUGUCAUUUUACUAUGUAUUUCAUCUCAACUCUUCACUUUAGAUCAUAUAAUUACAAUAAAAAUAUUAACUACUACUUAAAUAUAUUAUUAUUUAAUUUAAUUAUUCAGAUUGAAAUAAUUUUUAUAUCUGUAAACAUGAUGCGGUGGAUAUAUAUAGGAUUCUAUAUUUAACAAGAGAAAAGUUUAAGGAAAUAGAUUAAAUAUUCAUUUCGAAAUUCUUUUUAUUGUCUGGUUUCUUGUAACUAAUAUGAGAAUAUGGAAAUAAAUGGAUUUUUUUUCUCUACUUUUAAUUUUACCCCUAUUUUUCUUUUCUCAUUUUUUAAAUCUCAUCAUAAUUACAAAAUUGUUUUCCUUUCCCUUACCUUUCUUUCCUCUCACUUUUCUUGUUUAAUAAAUCAAACAUAGAAAUAAUGAUUUUAAUCUAUGUUGUUGGGAAUGGGUUGAUUAACUACCUUGGAUAUAGGAUUCUAAUUUUUAUGCUUUUAUGUGUGAAGUAACAACGUUCCCAUAAUGCGAUAGUAAACAAACUUGAAUCUUCUACACAUUCUUUACUCUCUAUCUUUUAUUUUGUUUCUCUCUCUUCCAUUUGAUGGAGAGGAUCAACUUCACAAGGUAUACAGUGACCAUUCCAAGUGAUGGAUGUCAACGUAGAUUUUGAUGAGCUCAAAAGGAUUGGCCACGGUUUGGAUCGAUGGGGUGGAUAUGUAGGUGUAGAAGAUGGAUACGUCCAUCCAUCCAUGACUUAUGAAACCUUUAAUGUUUUGCUUGGAAAAUUGAGGAUAUAACUAAUAAGUUAGUUGAUAGGUGAACUUUAAAGUUAAUUCAUUUAGGUUGAAUUGUUUGAUAAGAGUAGUAGUUAAUAUAUAGUUAUAAAAUAUGUAAAAUGACAAAAACUAUUUGUAAUUAAUUUUUUUUUAAUUAAGACAAUCAGAGUAAAAAUUGAAGAAAAAAUAAAACGUUAUAUGUUCAAUUAUUACUUCAAUUAAUUUUAUCAAAAAACGUUACAAAUCCAUAAAAAAAAUAUUAUCAAAUAAAACUAUUAACUUAAACGCUAUAAACUAUAUCCGAUGUAAAUAUUUUUUUUGUUUUAAAUAGACCGUGUGACUUUAUUUGAUAAAUUGUGGAUAAGCUAGCAACUAACCUAAUAAAUUUGAAAUUACUAAUAAAAUGAAGUGAUAGAUAUAAAAUAAUAUUUUUUAAAUUAUUUAUUCCGUCUUACUGUGAGUGACUCGAUUAUAAUUAAAAAUUAUCUCAAAAUGCACAUAUUCUUCCAAAUUUUAAUGUAUUUUUCUUUUUUACUCUGAAAUUAAUACUCAUUAUGUCCUAAACACACCCUUGCUAACAAUUUGGCAUCUGUAAACUAUUAAGAGCUAACAAUUUGGCCUACAUGACAAAAGUAAUUUUUCUUACGAAAUUGCACACGCACGUGUAAAUAUUUUAAACAAGGAAAUAUAGAGUUUCUUUUUCGUGUUUGCUAGAAAUAACAGCUAGGACAGACAAAAAAAAAAGAAAGAAACACAUAUAGGAAAAGUUGAAAUGAGCCAAUAACAGUUUGUUGGUCAACAACAUCAAUUGCGUAUUUGCAUGUUUGGAUUCCACCGAAGAAUCGUGCAUGUUAACGCAGACCCCAUCCGGAAUCUCCGUUGGCACUACAAGACUAAAAUAACACUGUGAGUCAGUAACUUGGUACUACGUAACCGAUGUGACAUGUCCUUCAUUUUUCUUCACAAAAUAAUCAUAUUUUUUAUUUAAACUAAAAUAGAUAAAUUAAUUGAAAAUAAUAUAAAUUUGUUAUAUCCAUGAAUAACAUUAAAUUGAAAAUUGUUUACAAAUUUAAAAUAAAAUAAAAUUAUCGAAAUACUUACAUUAUCACUCUGCAAUGUUUACAACUUUAAAGUGAUUGGUUGAAUUUUUUAGAUAUAUAUUAAAUUAAUUUUUCUAUUUUAAUAAAAUAAAUAUUAUAAUAAAAUGAAAAAAUAAAUAAAUUUGCACCGAAAAAACAAACAAAACAUCAUAACAUAAAUACAUAAAGAAAAUAUAAAUUUACAAAAAAUCACUUAUUUUGAUUAAAAAGUACAUAAAACAAUAUAGAAUAAUAAAAACAAUAUAAAAUUAUGAUACCAGACUAAAAAUAAUUUAUAUUUUUUUAAGAUAAAGAAGAAAUAGUUAAAUGAACAAAAAGUUUAGAUGGCUAUAUUAAAAACAUCAUGUCUUUAAUAUAGUUUGUAUUUUUCUUAUGAGAGAGAAAUAUCAACAAAUAAAUUUUUGUUUACUUCAAAACUAUAUUAAUUAUUUUUUUUACAUAAACAAUAUUCAUUAUUGAUAGAAUAGAGAAGAACACACUUUUUCAAAAUAAAAUAAAAUAGAGAAUAUCACAAAUUCAUAGUUACUAAAAGACUUAAUUGCAGUUUUAGUCAUCGUAUUUUAACUGAAUCACAAAAAUAAUCUUCUAUUUUAUUUCUCCUCAGUUUUGGUCCCCUAAAUAAAAAUUUGGUCUAAAACUUGAUAAAGUGUCAUUUUUUAAAAUCAAACCACACCAUUUAUGAUCAUAGAUUUCAAGUACAAUUAUUGCACCACGAGAUAUUGAAGCAUAGUGUGACUUAAAUAAGCGCAAAAAAAUGACAUUUCAUCAAGUUUUGGAUCAAAAUUCUAUUUGAAAUACCAAAAUUAAAGAAAAAUAAAAUGGAGAGACUGUUUUUGUGAUUCAGCUAAAAUAGAGGAAUUAAAACUGCAAUUAAACCUUAUUAAAAUUAAAAUUAAAAAUUCCAGCAAACACUUAAGUUGCAUUUAAGUGCUUUCUUUAAAGGCAUUUGCGUGUUGAUAAUUCCAUUAUUUUAUAUAUGUGAUUACUGAUUAAUUAUUAUAUAUUCUAAUAUAUUUUAAGGACACUUGUUAAAAAUAUAAAUUUAGAAUUAUAUGAAAAAUAAUUUAUAUAUAGAUAUAAAAUAUUAGAAGUUGUAUCCGUAAGGUUAAGAUCAAUUGUUAAAUGUUGAAAUUGUUAGAUCGAAUAUCAUGUUUUUGAUUCGAACUUUGGAAACUCAUAGUUACAUAUGAUUUUUUAUCUUUGCAUUUAAAGAAAAUAUUAUAAAUAUUCUCAAUUCAUUAAUUAAAAAAUUCAUAUAAAAAAAUAUGUAGUAAAAUAUACUCCAGUAUCAAGACUGAUAAUUAAAGUAACAAUGUUGAUUUAUAAGGAAGUGGGUUUGAAUUGUAAAUGUUUCUAUUUAAAAAUUUCUGAAAAACUUAAGGAUUUAACUCAAGAAUGAUCUUGGUUAAGAAAACACAAAACAAAUAACGUUAUUGGCUUUCACCAAAAAAACGGAUAACGUUCUUGAUUAGUUUGAAAAACAGAAAUUCAGUUUAUGUUUUAAUUCAAGUAAUUAAUCAGGUUUAAUAAAUAAGGAGAUAACAAAAAGAAUACUACACAAGGAUGUAUCGUGAUUCAUUCAACUUGUGCUACGUCCAAAAACUCACAUAAGUGUUUAAAACAAAUAACCUUCUGGAUUUUACAACACCUAAUUCAUAUCAGACUUGAUCUAUUACAAGAUAUAUUUCUUUUCACCCAGAAAGAUAUAUAUUUCUUUUCACCCAGAAUAGAUAUAUAUUUUAUUUAUUGCAUUUUUUUGAAAAAUAACUUGAACCAUCUUAAUUUAUGCGUGUUUGAGAAAUGACGAUCAUGGAAUCAGGUUAAUGACUAUUGUAUUUUUUAAUACGUGGAAAUAAACUUAAAUAAUAUUUAAUUAAAAAUAGAGGAAUUAAUAUUUAAUUUAAUAUAAAAAAUUUAACUUUAUAUUUUCAUUUUAAUUUAUUAAGUGAUACGUUUAGCAAUUUGUGGUGUAAAAGCUUCAAGUUAUUUUGUGGUGAGACCCACCCAAAAAUGUAUUGUCACUAAUCACUAUACCAGACAACGGGGGCAGGUCUGCACGUGUAGCUUACACUCUUUUGUACUUUGGUUUUGGGAUUUGAGUUGUCAAAAAUGAGUAAUUAAUUUUAAAAUUUAAAAUAAAAAAUAUCAUCAAUAAUUGAAUGAAUUAUAUUAUAUUAUAUAUAUAUAUAUAUAUAUAUAUAAAUUAAUUAUGAAUAAUUAUAAUAUUAAUAAAUUUUGGAGAAUUGAACGUGGACAUUUUCUUUUCGUAUAAGACCAGAGAUGUCGAUACCAAUUGACAUGGACAACCUCAAAAAACAAAUAUUUUUUAAAUAAAUAAUUAUAAUUUUAUAGUUUCUUAUAAAAAAAUAUUUAUAUAUCUAUUAAUAUAUCUAUUUUCUUUUAAAAAAUUUAUCACUUAAUUAAUAUAUCUAUUUCUAUUAUUUUUUAUAUUUAAUCUCUACUGUACUUAUAAAUAAAAUAUUUAUAAUAAUAAAAAUUAUUAAGAUAUGAUUUAAAAAUAAAUUUAAAGAUAUAUUUCUUGUAAAUAGUUUAGUUUUUUUAUAUUAAAAAAAUUAUAUUAAUUAUCAUAAAUUUAAUUAUUUAAAGUGUCAUUUAGUAUUAUUUUAUCAAUAUAUAAUUUGCUAAAAAAAAUUGGUCAUCUCUUAGCGUAGAUUCGCCGUUGUAUAAGACAUUCUCUUUCUUUAAACAACUAACAAAACAAAAUAUAAUUUGCUUUCAAAAAAUUUAUGGCAACUAAAAGAUGCAUUCCCAUUGAUUAUUUUCUUUUAGGACAGUUGAAAUUAAUUGAUUUCCUUAGUUUUUAUUUAAUCGAGUUGAUCCUUUUUCGCAUAAUAUAUCAUGUUUGAUCGAGACAAAUCAAUCUGUUCAAGUGAUCUGUCAAAUAAUUAUGCUAUGUGUAUCACCGAUUAGCCCAGAUGUUGGAUUUCCUUUUUUCUUAUUGGUUUAAGGAGGAUUCACUGCAUGUCCAUAAAAUAAUUAUCUAUUAAAUAUUUAUUUUCCUAUCAAAUUUAAAGACCAAUAUAAAAUAAAAGGAGGGAUACUAAUAAAAAUAGCGAUACAGUUUAGUUUAUUUGUAAAAAUACGAUAUUUUAUUUUAGUUUAAUUUAAUUUUCAAUAAUAAAAUUAGUGAUUGUGUUUUUGUUAAUUAAUUUUAUCUUAAAAAAAAUAUUAUAUUAUAAUUAACUCAAACAAUUGUAAAAUUUUAAGUUUGAAUAGAACAAAAUAUUUUAUAUUAUAAUAUUAAUUUUUAUCAUUUGAACUACGAAUUAACAACUUUAGUUUAUUUUAUUUGAGUUUAAAUUUUUAUCUUUUUUUUACUAAAAAUAAAAUAUUCUAUUUUUAAAAUAAGAUAUUGUUUUAACAUAAGCAAGUUUAUAAAUGAGAAUUAUAGCGGAGAGACCCAACACCCACCUCAAUGACAUUAAUUACAGAAUUGCAAUAACCACAUAUUUAUGCUCAAUGAAUAAGAAAAUUAUGGAUGCAUUAUAAUCAGUUUCGUUGACCAAAUUAUUGAGCGUAAAAAGCAAAAUUGUUUACUUGUAUUAAUAUCUUUUUUUUAUAUUGAAUUGAUAUUUUUUUUUAUUAGAGUAGAAAUAUGUAAUUUUUUAAUUAAUUAUAGAUUAAAUCAAUUUUUAUAUAAUUACGAUGUUUUAGGUUUGAAUUUAAAAUGUGAUAUUCAAUCUAAUAAUUUUAAUAUUUGUUAAUUAAGUUAGAUCUUAUAAAUAAGGUUGACUUCUAACGAUAAAUCAAUUUUAAAAAUAAAAUUAAUGUAAUUAAAUGGAGAUUAUAAACUAUCACUCAAAACUUUAGCUAAUGAAAAAAAAGGUAAGUCUCUAACCUAAACGUCUCACACACAAAAUAUUCUGGACGAGCAAUAACUUAAUGAAACUCAAUAUUGUCACUUUCACUGUUCUUCUGUUGCGCGGGCCUUCGAAUCGGUUUUGGGCCUCAUUGAAAUCAAAGACUAGCUCUUCCAAAAAAGACUUUCAGCACAUAGUUUGUCUUCAGUUCGUCUGGAUGGUAGCUUACUCUAUCAUCCUCUAUGUUUUUAAAAGUUUCCACGAUACAUUAUGAAUUUACCAUUCCAAAAAAUAUCAAGAAGUGAGAGGAGAAACUAUUGUCUUCGUCAGGAUUGGCCUCAUUUAGGUUACACCCCAGCGGUUUGUCCUAUACUCCCAACAAUUCAAUAAAAUUAGUAGUCAUUCAACUAUUCUAAUAAAAAAACAAUUUUAUUUAUAAAUAUUUUAGAAAAAUUCAGAACACAAGUUAGGAAAAAUUUAAGAUAAAGAGAUGGUGUCUCAAUUUAAAAUACAUAAUAUUUUCAACUUUAUCGAAUAUAUAUUGAAUCUCACGAGAGCACCACCAGCUUGUGCGAUCUCCCCCAUUGUAUUUGAGGGAAGAUUUUCAUCUACAUGGCGUGAACUAACGUUUUUUAGUUUGAUUCAAUCACGACCUGCAACCACCCAUUAUCCGACGUGGACUUUAAUUUAAUAAUAUCAUAAAAUCUAUUUAAAAUUUAAAUAGUUGGAUUACCUUGGAAGCCGUAACCGCACUUCUAAAUGUAAUCCAAAAGUAUUGCAGCGAGGAAGCCUUCCAUAGUCACAAGAUUAUGUUACAAGUUUUAGGUUCACUAAAAAAAGUAAACUGUAGAAAUAACUUUUUUUUUUUAAAAAAAAAUUUUAAAUAAUUAAAAAAAAUUAUCAUAAAAAUCAUAAAAGUUAUGUUGAAUCGAUUUGAAUUAAUAAAUGUUUUUUUAGUCAAAAAAAUAAAAUUAAUAUUUUGUGAAUGUGUUUUGAGUAUGUUUGAAUGAGGUAAUUGAAAAUUAUAGAGAAAUUAUAAUUAUAGGUAAUUUAAAUGCUUCAAUUGAACUCAUUUUAAUUCUAAAUUUUGUUGUUUUGAUAAAAAAAAAUUAUUCUUUUAAAAUUAAACUCUUUUUAUAAAUUUAAAAAGUUUAGAGACAAAUAUGAAAAAUAAAUUUAAGCCAAAAUUGACAUUUAAAAAAAUUAAGGCACUAUUUUGGAAAUUUUAAGGAAUCAAUUUACAAAUUUGAAAAUUUUUAGAGAGCAAUUCGUAAAAAUAAAAAAUAGGUACUAAUAUGAAAAUUUUGAAAUAUAUAAGAUUAAAAUUAUAAAUUCAAAAAUAUUAUAGUGACUAUUUCAUGAUUUAUAUAUGAUAGUGACAUUUGAAAUUUAUCUAAAUUUAUCUUUGAAAAAAUAGUUCAUGACAUCUUUCAUUUUGAAAGUUCUCUGUAUAAGAUAAUUUGCAUUAGAGAAUUUGAAUUCUUUAAAAAAAAUUACAUUCCCUAAAAGUUUCUUCAUCCAAACACAAUCUAAGAGAUUUAUAUUUGUUUUUGAGCAAAAAUACACAUGUAGUCAUCAAAGUUUUAUUUUAUUCUAAUUUAAUCAUUUAAAUUAUAUUAUAUUUGUAUCGUUAAUUUUUUAUCUCAAUUUAAACAAUAAUUGAUUUAAUUAAAAGUUUUUUUAUCAUUUAACACUCUAAUAAAUGCUGCCACAAUAUGUCAUUCAUUAUAAUGUUUCAGAAAAUAUUUAUCAAAUCUUAUAAAUAAUAUAUAUUUCUUGAUUUUUUCUACAAUAAUAUAAACACACUAUAAUAUAAAAAAACAAGAUAAUAAAUGUCUAUUUAAAUGAUUAAUAUAUUUAGUUACUUUCAUAUGUAAAAUAGUUUAAAUAAUUUGUUACGAUAUUUUAAUUAUAUAUUAAUAUUUUAUGAUAAUAAUUCAAAAAAUAUUUCAAAUUUAAGAUAUUAUAUAUAUAAUUUUAUAUAUUUAAAAAAUCAAUAAUAUAAAUAAAUAUAACUUAAAAAAUUGAAUCAGGACAAAAUAAAUUUAAAAGAUUUAAGUAAAAAUUAAUUUAAACUUAAAAAAUAAAAAAAUUAUUUUUGGUGUGAUUUUGUUGUGACCUUUCAAGAAUAAUCAUGCUGUGUUACAAAUAUAUUUAACUUUCAUGGUGGUCCACACGAGUGCACUUUAAUUUAACAGCGGCACCGACACCAGGUUCCUUCGUUACCGCGCAAAUUAACGGAAUUCCAUCUUUUCUCCAUUAAUGCAAUGCUAAUGAUAUUCAUCAAUCACUGUCCAUAAUUUAUUUCUUUCUUUCUUCUUCGAAUCUCAGAACAACGCUACCCUUUUUUCUUACUACUUGUUUGUUUCUCCCCAAAUGGGUUCUCUACCAGCGUUUCCAAACGACCUUUCUCCCAAACAAGGUAUUAACGGCCUCAUUGACGAAAGAACCCUCGCCAAUCUAUUCAAAUCCCAACAAAACCAUCUCAACUUCUUCUUCGACCGUAUCGACCACUCCCAAACCCUAGCUUUCACACGUACUCUUCUCGACGCCUCCGGCACCGUCUUUUUUACUGGAAUCGGUAAAUCCGGCUUCGUCGCUCACAAGAUCUCCCAGACUCUCGUUUCCCUCGGUAUCCGUUCCGCUUUCCUCUCUCCCGUCGACGCCCUACACGGUGACAUCGGAAUCCUCAGCGAUCGCGAUGUUCUCGUUCUCCUCAGCAAAUCCGGCGCCACCGAAGAGCUCCUUCGUCUUGUUCCAUGCGCUAGGGCGAAAGGCGCGCGUCUCAUCGCUGUCACAUCCGUCGAAGCGAGCGCACUUUCGACGGUGUGCGAUAUGAACGUGCAUUUGCCGUUGGAGAGAGAGCUUUGUCCUUUCAACCUUGCGCCGGUUACUUCCACUGCUAUUCAAAUGGUUUUCGGUGACACCGUGGCAAUCGCGCUCAUGGCCGCACGAAAUCUCACGAAGGAAGAGUACGCCGCUAAUCAUCCUGCCGGAAAAAUCGGCAAGAGUCUCAUCUUUAAGGUCCGCGUUUCUCUUUCGUACGAGUUUUCUGCUUUAUGAAUAGAUUGAAAUAACAGAAUCUGCAUUUCCUGUUGGCAAGAAGGUUAUAAAUCGCGGUUACUUAAUUAUCAUCGAUAUCGUGAAAAAUUGUAAUGUUUGUUUGAGAUCUCCAAUUUUAUUGAUCUGGAUUGCGACUUAGAAUUAGAACCUUUUUAAUCAGUGAAUUAAUCGGAUCAAUUUGGUUUUAGUGAAAACAAUUUUCAAGGAGAUAACUGCGAUAACAGUGUAGUUAAACUGUUAAAGAUCUCUAAAAUUGCAGCCCUGGAUUGCGAUUUAGAACCUUUUUUAUCAGUGAAUUACUGGAUCAAUUAGGCUUUCGGCGAAAAUGAUUUGCAAAGGAGAUGUAAUUGGUUGUGAUUGUGUUUGUGUGUAGGUAAGAGAUGUGAUGAAGAAGGAAGAGGAGCUUCCAAUCUGCAGCGAAUCGGAUUUGAUUAUGGAUCAGCUUGUGGAGCUGACGAGUAAAGGAUGCGGAUGCUUGCUUGUUAUAGAUAGUGAUCACCGUUUGAUUGGGACAUUUACCGACGGUGAUCUGCGUCGUACUCUCAAAGCUAGUGGAGAUGCCAUUUUCAAACUGACUGUGGGAAAAAUGUGCAACAGGUAACAACCGGCAUCUGCAUAAUCAUUAACCAUUUCCUGUGAAUCUCUUUUAUCCCCAUUUGCUUUUCAAAUUGUUCAAACUCAAAAGCUUGUUCUUUAGUUUUGUUUUUUGACAGAUAUUCUGUAGCUUAUUCAUUUUUUUACUUGGAAAACUUCAUAAUUUUCUUGUCAUAAUUGCUCAGACUCAAGCUUAGUCUUUAGUUUUUGCACCCUCUAAUUUUGGAAGUUAAUAGGAAUAUAAAGUAGGUCGUUUGUUUUGUUUGCGGAUGCAGACAUUGGAACUGUAUGAAAGAUUUGUGUGUGUUUGAGUAUUAUAAUUGAUUUUGGCUCUGUUAAAACUUAACACAUGAUUUUAAUAAAAAUAGAAGUUUUUGGGAAUGAACUUGCUGAGUUAAAAAUAUCUAAAAUAUAAAUCACUUCACUCAGUCAAUUUUAGCCAAAUAAAUUUGCAUAUGUGAUGCUUGGUGCACGACAGGUCUAUGGAUACAAACAUAUGGAUGCAAUAAUAUAUUGAUGUCCAACCUUUUUUGAAAUGUCAGGAAUCCAAGAACUAUUGGUCCAGAUGCUAUGGCAGUGGAUGCCAUGAAGAAGAUGGAAUCACCUCCAUCACCAGUCCAGUUUUUACCUGUGAUAGAUGAUGAAAAUGUCUUGAUUGGAAUUGUCACGCUGCAUGGUUUGGUUUCAGCUGGGUUGUGAUUAUGUCUGAAUAAUCUUAGAGCCUGUUUCGCUAUUCGUUCAUUGAAUCAUUCUUUCUAGCUAUUAGCAUUUGAAUCCGCCCCCAAUUCAAUAGGACUAUGGUGUUCUGUAACUCAAUCACCCAAGCAUUUCAGUAGGAUAUUUUUUCAUCUCAUUUUUGGUCCCAAAGGAUGCAAAUUAUUUGAUGCUAUGAUGGACGGUGAAUGCUCAUCCAUUCCCCCAAUUUUUUCAACUUUUUACCAAAUUUUAGUUUCCGGGUAUUUGGGUUGGGAAGGCAAAAUCAGAGGAUGAAUGAACAUUUAGCAUGUCGGACCUACUCAUCUUGUGGGUCUAGCUCUGUACUAGUAUCCGUGUGUCUAUUUUUGUUGUACUCGUGAAAUAAGAUAUUGCUGUAGCUGAAGAUUUUUGUAUAUUAUCAAUUUAUCACUGUAUAUUAGUAUUACUUGAAUUACACGUUUUCAAUUAUUUCAAACGCAUAUAUGGAUGGUUGAUGUUGGUUAAAUGAUUUUUUAUGCUGGCAUUGUACGAGACUAAAUAUAAUGAAGAGAUUAGUUAUGCACUGAUAUAAUUUUUUUACCCAUCCAUAAAUCAGAUCACAUUUUAAUACCACUUGUUAAUUGUUAUGAUAGCUUGUAAAAUAACUCAUCAAAUCUCUAUAGGCGGAAAUGUAAUUUGAUACAUAUAUAAAUUAAAUUUAUACAAAUAUUGAAUUAAGUGUGAACAAUUAUACAACUGGUGAGUUUUAAUCCAUGUCUAUUUGAAAAUCUUUACGAAUUAAAUUUCGAAGUAAAAAAAACAACAAAUAAAGUUCAAUUUCGAAGUAUGAAAAGUAGGAUGAGCAAUGGCAACCUUAAAAAACUCUCGAGUGUCGCUUCGCUGCAUAUCCAUAAUUCUUUCUUUGGCCUUCGCAUUUUAUUUAUAAUAUGUAGAAUAACAAAUAGGUUAUUUUCUUAUAAAUCAUGAAAACACACAACACACCCUGACUCUAAGGACUUGUACCGCCUUCAAAUUCAGUACGUUACUUCAAAUCCAAAUAACGUAUAAUUUGUUACAAGAAAGGAGAGCAUAUUCUGAUAUUUAUUUUAGCAAUUUAAAGUUACUGUAUCACCACAUUUUAAUGAAGAAAGCAUCUUCCUGUGUGUCCUGCGGCAAACAAGCAUAUACACCAAAAUGUAGGAGCAUUAGAGGAGAGGGAGAGGAAGAUAAUACAACAACAACUAACAACUCCGAGUACAAUGUGAACCAAUGACUCUGAUUACUUCUGACAGACGUGUUGGUUCUUUUGAAUUACUAAAUGGUGUUAAUUUACCUGCCAAUCUUUAUGACUGAUUAUACACUGCAAUACAAAAUCUUCUAGAAUUCUUGAUGAAUGUUUCAUCCAAACAACCGGUGCUGCUCUAUGCAUGAAAAUUGAUUAUCCUACACAUAAACCUAGAGAAGACUCUCUCUACCAAGUAAAUGCUUCCUUUCUGGAUCAGCUUUUCAAGCGUCAUCGGAUUCUGAAGAAGUAGAUGAGCUUGUACUAUCAGAUGAAAUUUCAAACAAAACAUUUUCCUGUAGAAAAGACAAGAAACGCGAGCUUGGAGUUGAAACAUCAGAAACUUUUGGGUCACCUACUUUCUUUGAAAUUGUGAAAUCCCCAAUUGCCUUGCUAUUAGGUUUGAUCUCAGCAGAAUUACUUCCUUCACCAAUGUUUAUUGCAGCAGAAUGGUGCCCCGCCAUUUUCUCUUUAGCUUUGAUCUCAUUUGAAAUUGCUGAAUGAAGUGAAGCUGUGUUCUUUUUUGAAUGAAUGCCAUAAGAACUACUGUGAAUGCUACUAGAACUCCACUUAACUUGGAAGGCUGUUUCAUUUUGUUUCCCUUCCGAAGUAUUUGAUGUAGCCUGUGGCUUACUCUGUUUCCACUUGUAGUAUCCAUCCCGCACUGGCUGCAAUAUAGGUUCUUUCAUCAAGUCUUGUGAAUCAAUUAAUUUUUCUGGGGUUUGUUUUGAUCUCUUGGAGGCAACUGAGCGCACGGUUAAACCAAGAUGCUCUUUGGCCCAUUUAUAGACUGCACUUAGUUUUCCAUCCAAAGCUUGAUGAAGAACAUCCAAUUCACUGAUUUCAUAACGGCAGAGGAGAAUUUUUUCUGUCCAAGAGCAAGAACAAAGCUGCUUUGCAUGAUCAAUACAUGCAAACUUGUCAUCUGAACACGAACAACCAACAGCAGACAGGAAUAAAUCACGCAGACAAAUGCUACACUCCCUUUUACAAUUGACAUCAAAAUUUUCAUCCAUCUUUUGUGAUUUCAAAGAAGUGGAAAUAAAUUUCCUUUUCAAAUUUUCACUCAUGAUGCGAGACUACACAAAGAAAACAAAUAUAAUUAGUUUGCAUAUGGUAUCCAACAUGAAAGAAGCAAACUAUGCAGGCAGAUCCAAACACAAAUGAAAACGAAAGAGGGAGAGAAGUCUUUCAGAACUAUCUUUUAUUAUUAAGAAACAAAAUAUAUGUGCCACUAUUUCUUCAUUUUCAUUUCCAAAUAUGAAUCAUAGAAUAUUUGUUAACGACUAACAUGAUUUGAGGUCAGCUAAUAAACAAUCUUAUCAAAUCUAGGAUUUAGAGCUGAUGGACUUACACUCAAAACUUUUGUUAAGAUCCCACUUCUUUGAUAGGCAUCUUUACAAGUUAAAUUGUCUGGCGUGCUCUUCAUACAUAUAUCAGUUUCCCAUCGGGCCCUCACAGCUUCCCUUGCUGCUCCCAGCAACAGCUUAUCAUAUGAAAUUGAUGUCUUCCUCUUCUGUUCACAAUGUAGCUCUACAACAUUCUGUCCAUGAGGCAGCCACUCAAGAGGAGCAAAACUUGUUGCUUCAGAACAGUUGAAACCACAAUCAAAACCUGAGUGAUAUGCUCCAGGGAAGACAAGAACAAAUUCACGAGGAUGCUGAACGCAACGAUAUACUGGUAUACUCUCCUCCUUCAAUACUGAGCAGGAUAACUGCAUAACCUGUACCAAAUACUCAUACUAAGAAUCAUAUUUCAUAUAUCAAAUAAAUUGUUUUUCUCUUGUGUGUUCUAAAAAAACCUUAACACGUUGACAUUGGCAUCUUUCGCGUAAUACUGUAAAUCAGGCUGAGCUAAAUAUGCUUCAGCAACGACAAACAAAAUUCCAAUGAGUUAAACCUAUGCUUCCUUUUCUGAGUGCCCAUUGACCAAUUAAAUUUCAGUUGAUAAAACAAAAGAACAUAUAAUAAUCAUUCCUUCAAAUUUGGGAAUCAGCUACAUACAAAAGAUAUUAAGAAAAAUCUUAAAUACAAAGCAGUUUGUAUGACUAUGGAACUUUUAAAAUCCAAAUUCACUAAUAAUAUAAAAUGAUACAACAUGCAUGAUGGAGAACCACUUUCUACAAAUGGUAAUAGUUGAGACAUAUUGACUAAAUGAGUGAAAUUAGUAAAUGAGUAGUCCGAUAGAGUCAGAAUCCAUCUAACCAAUGAUGUGAUAUUUGUCAAAUAACAUGCACAGAUUCACAUUGAAAAAUAUGAGAAAUUAAAGGGUGUUCAGCAUACACCACUGUUACUUUUCAACGAAAAACAAUUCUUCAAUACAAGAAGCAAUCAUAUUCUUACCAUAUUAUCAUGCAUAUCAGGAUGUUCUGCAUACAUAUCUCGGAUAUACUUCUUCCAAACUGUUUCGAAGUUAACAGCAAAUCUUCCUGGGACACUAUACCAUACUUUGGGUUCACCCAAAUGCAUGUAACAUAAUGAGUAUAAUCGGUGCUCUUCAACUUUCUGUUUUGUCAAAUGAUUAUAAAGGAUAGUAAAUAGGAGAUUCAUUAGUUACAUUUUGAACGGUAUCCAAAAGUUUUCACCAGAAAAAUUUAGGAAAAAAACAAAGGUUAUGAACAUGCAAGUAUAAUGCAAUAAAUCAAUGGCAUUACCCAUUUGAGUGGAGAAAAGCACAUUCCCACAUGUACCCUAGGGGAAAAUUUAUGUGCAGCUUCAGGGCUUUCAAAAGAAAGAAGAGAGCCUGGGACUGAAAGCAUAUUAUUUAAGUUCCAUCCAGAUUUCACAUAUUCAGGGUAAGUGUUUGCCUCUGGAGGAUCAGAAACUGUUGGAAUUGGAAAUCCACUGCUAAAAUCUCCAGCCUCCAAAGUGUUACCACAGAAAACCUAGAACAAUGUGGCAGAAUUACAUAAUUAAUAUUUGCACAGCUUAUCAGGACUUAAGAUAUAGAAGGCAUUACAUGUUUAAAUUAAAUUUCAUCUAUAUACCUUGAUUUCUUCAGUUGGAUUUUGAACAAUCCGUCCGUAUUCACCCUCAAUAUUCUCAACAGAUGGCUCCCAGUGCUGUUGGCGUAUAGCUGAAUUUAUAUCAGAACCCAUAAUCUUAUUCUUAUCCUUGUAGUUGAAGUACUGGAACUUGAAUUCAUCUGCCAAUUUCUUAAAUGUUUUGAGACUGAAUUUAGGACCAGGUUUAGGUUCAUAGUCGCAUUCUUGAACAUUCUCUUGAUUAGGGGUGCAAGUGCUUCUAUUACCAAGAUGAGAGUCCAUGGCUACUUUCAUCCCUUUUCUUCUCUUGGUUUCUAUAGUAUCAUAAGAGAUAGCUGUAUUUUCUGGUGCAGGCUGAACUUGGUGCCCAUCAAUUCGCUGAAUUUGAGCAACAAAUUCAGAGUUUUCCCAUACAUUUUUUCCUUCAAGAAUACUUGGCGGUUUCCAGCUAGUAGGAGGGAUGAUACGGCAAAUUCCAUAAGGUUCUGCUCUGGAACGUAUGCUAGCGAUAUAUUUAAGCGUGUCUUUGAAUUCCUUCAUGCAGUAAGCAACCAUAUAAAUCUAUGUUAUUUAAUUGGCUUUAUAAUGUAUUGUAUUUUAUAAACUCAACAAGCAUAUGAAUCCACAAUCCAUAUUUGGUGACAUAAAUCAAUAUGAAAACACAAAAGUGAACACAUACUAUUACGUAAAACUGGUAGGUACCUCUUCGGUUGGAUGAAAAAUUGGAGCUUCUCCUAGAUCUUCCCUUCUUACAUCCUCAGGAUGCCACCUCGCUAAUACCUGUCUCAAUACUUUGAUAAUUAAACAAGCGAACAAAAAACUAUAUAUAUAUAGGACAAGUAGUCAUCUCUAUAACAAUGUCAAUAUGGAAAGUUAAGGUGAAAGGCGUGUCUACCUUAAUACAAUUACUGCAGUUUGGACAUCCAAAUACGGUCCCUUUUGGAAGAGAAGAAUUUGUAUGGGGAUUCUGGAAGAAUAAAAACGAAGUUUAAACCCAUACAAGGAAUUCUGUCUUCAUACAUAAAACAAACCAGUCAUUUAGUAAUAGCAUUUUAAGGUUCUAAGAAAAAUAAAGAAUCUGACAGAAAAUGUAGGAAAGUAGAUGACUACAGAGAAAUAAUUAGUGCUCUCUGCAUUUGGAUUCUUAAUCUUGAUUAACACUGAACAGAUUUCUUAGAUUUACAUUGUAGCAUGAAUGCAGUUAUCUUUAACUGUUCCUAACCAACUUCUAAGUUCUAACACAUAAUUGAGUAUGUUUGAACAGAGUCAUUGCAGCUGUUAGCCUGUUACAGCUGAGCUGUCACCUCACAACACUAAGAAAGUUGAUAAUAAAACUAACUUAAAUGCUGUCAAACAUAACUGGACAUAUACUCCACGAAAUCAUACAAAUUUGCCACGAGUUACUUAAUCAUAUUGUAAAUCAUAAUUGUAAUUAUAUAUGUGAGUGUGUAUUCUACCAGUAGCAGUAAUUAGAUGUUGCCUAAUUCACACCUAAUCCUUGAAAAAAUAUCCAAGUAGUCCUGCAACCCAAUGCCAAAUCACCAGACACAUCACACAAGCACAUAUGCAGAUUAUUAAUACACUAUUUGUAUGUAAAUCAGGUCCUAAUAGCAAUGCAAAUUUUGAAAAAGAAGAUACAAUCAUAAAAAUUCCAUUUGAAUUGUUUUUAGUUUUCCCAUCGCCGGAGGACAUAUCAAUUGUUAAGGUGUCUCAGUCAUUGCUGAAAAUCAUUAUCAUUAAUCAAUCAAUUAAUCAACAAAUGCGACACUGAUUUUUCAAAUGGUCAAGAUCAUUACAAUUUAUUCAUAUUUCCAUACUUUUGCUAAUGCAUCUCAUUUCAAACUCAACAUUUCUGGGAUCUAAGAAUUUUUUUUGCAAAUUACCAACUUAACCAUUGGAAGAUGGUCAUUGUGAGAUUCCUGAGGCUUGUGGUUGCUGCUCUGGUCCAGCAAUAUCCACGGCCGAUGUGUAUAAAUCUCAUUUGGGACGAUGUUUGUAGACUUAUCCGUUUUGUUAACCUUUUCAUCCCUUUUCAAAUAAAAAGACGUCAGGGAUGCAAAACCAGGUGGAACUGAAACAUGUUCCAUCUUCUUGAUUUUGGAGCUAUUACUUUCAUAGUUUGCUUCCAUCAUUGCUGCAUGCAAAAGCCAAGAAAACAUUAUAUAAAUAAAUAAUAAUAUUGGCACUAACAUAUACUAUGAACACAAAAUGAAAUAAUGUGAUACAACAUAUAACAUAGUAUACAGAAUUCAUCAAAUAGUUCACACACUAAUAUGCUCCCAAAUAUAUAUUUAUUAAAUUCAAAAAAAUUUCUAUGAGAAUUACUGAGUAGAUUUAAAUGAAGGAUAGUUAAUGAAGUGAUAGAAGAAUUAAAAAGAAAAUCAGUUUGCACUUGCUUAACACAUUGUACUAAAAAAUAAUAAAUUUGCGAAAUGGAGCACUGAUCUGCUGCGACGCAAUUUUGUGGUGUGUUUUGAUGAGGCGGCUAUCACCGCCGUAAAUCGCAUUAUCGCGCGUGAUACAAGAAAGGGGAAGAAAAAUACGAAAACUAUAUUAAGAAAGAAAAAAAAAAAGAAAAGAUAACCUAGACGGACGAGUUGAGUUUCUGGCGGUCGACGAGUAACUCAGUGUGCGUUUUCCGGCGAGUUGAGUUGAGUAUGACUGUAAUUUGUUGUCUUGACGGAGCGGUUGAGUUUUGUUCUUGUUUUUCGAGAAUCAUUAUGGGAUGGGGAUGGGCUCUUCAAAAAACAAGUACAUUGGCUUUUUAGUUGUUGUUGUUAAUAUUUUAUUAUUUAAUUUUAAUUAUUUUUUCCACCCCUACGUGAAUAGGAAGAAAACUGCAUCUGGUAAUGUGCAUUAGCAAUUGUCUCUUAUAAAAGAAAUGUAUAUUAAUGAAACAAAUUUAACAACCAAGAAACAGAAUACUGUUACAAGUUACAAUUUUAACUUUUUUUAUUGAAGAAACAAAGAAUGUAACAUAUUAGGUUCUGCUGUGUUGCACUUUGGACUGAUAUAUUUUUUAACAGGGCACAGAGUUGCAAUAAAAAAGGUAGCGAGUUGAACACUUCAAAAUAUAUAUACUUGAUUAAUUAUUUCCCAGAAAAAAUUGAGUUGCAAACUGAGGAAGUUCAUUGCCAAUUCAAUGUGAAUAGCAGUGCUGAAAUCUUGUUCUUCUAAUCAAGUUCAAAGUCAAUUAGUGGUGGACAAAUCUAAUUAAUUAACAUCUGUUUGAUUGAUAUUACUAUGGAUGGUUUCUAAUUUCUAUGUCUUGUAAGAUUUAAUUUGUUUGAUUGAUAUAACUAUCGAUGAUUUUCAAUGUCUUAUAGAAAUAUUUAGUUUGUUUACUUUUCUAAACCAAUUAUUUCGUCCCCAAAUAUUUUUUUAAUAAGUCAUCUUAAUUUUCACUCAUGUCAAUUAUGGAUCAAUGUCAAUGUCAUAGUCUCAAUUAUUAAUUUCUGCCCCUUUCAUUUUCUGUAGUGAGUAUCAACUGAAAGAUAGCUACGAAUACGGUGAAGGCGUGUCGCAUGCCAUCAAUUUCUUUGAUCGUAACAUUCGAAUUCUACCUCCAUUAAUGUUAUUAGAGAAAAAUGAAUGUAAAUAAAUUCAUUUUUAAGUAUUUAUCAAACUUUAAAUGUUUUUUAAUUUAAACAGAGACACUGUCUUCUUAUCCUAAAAAAAAUAAUGAGAUUAAAUGAAAAAGUUAAAUACGAUAAAAUUUGAAGAAUCUAUUUUUAUCUAGCCUAUAGUGGCACCGUGUCAAUAAGUUUGCCGACAAAUAACUAACACACAGUAAAAAUGCGUUGAAAUAAUUCCAGAACCAAAUGACUAUGGGUUUCAUUGACUAAUCAAAAUUUCUACCUAUAGAAAACGAAAAGCAUAUUAUAAAGGAGAGACAAACCAAUGUCUCGCAAGCUCUUUAUGUCUCCUUUUUAACUCAUGCCCCUUUCUUCCAAUUUGGAUUCUCUGCAUCCAAGAACUUCAUAGUCUAGCAAAUUAGAUUAUCUGAUUAUAAAAUUUCAUAAAUCAUGUGUUCAUUUGGUAUAUCUUGAAUUAAAUCUAAUACAUUAGAUAUUAUUAGUUAUACCCAUCAUUAAAUUAAUGACACAUAGACAUUUUAAAGAUUCUUUUUUUAAUACAAAGACUUCUUUCUAAUCAUAUAUCUUUGUCAAUAUCUUAACUAUUUUCUCUCUUAAGUCUCUUCAUUACUUACUCUAACCAACCCUUCAAUCUUUCUACGUCUCCACCUUUUUUUUCAAUGAGAAAAAUUUACUAUUUUUUAGUAUAAUGCAUAUAAAUCAUAAUAUAUUAAUUAUAAUUUAUUACAAAAUCUAAUCCAACGAUGCAAAUGUUUACCACUAUAAUUUUUAAUAAAAUUAAUAUUUUCUAAUAUCACAAAAUUAAAAACAAGAAUAAUUAUAAUAUAUAAAUUAUAAUUUUUUCGCACUUCAAUUUUUUUAUGUUGUUUUUCUUGAAAAUAAACAAUUAAAGAAGUUGUUGAAGCAAGAAGUUUAUACAUAGGAUAUGUUUUUCUCUAAUAAAUUAGUUUAAUCAAGUAUUUUUUGUAUAUAUUCUAAAAAAGUGAAAAUCACUAUAAUAUACUAUUACUAAUUAUAAUUAUAUUUAUACUUUUCCUGGACAAAUAUUUGUCAUUAAAGAAUAAAUUGAAAUAUAUACAUUUUUUAAUAUAUAUAUAUAUAUAUAUAUAUAUAUAUAUAUAUAUAUAUAUAUAUAUAUAUAUAUAUUUCUCUAAAAUUGAGAAUAACUAUAAUACAAUAACUAUAUUUUUUUUACACUUUACUUUCUUCAUAAUGUUUUAGAGAAAAAUGAGUUGUUAAAUAAACAAUUGGAGCGGACAAUUCAAACAUGAGAUAAAUAUUUGUCACCAAUCAGUUAAUUAUAUAAAAACAUAUAGCACACAUAUUUGUUACUAAUAUAUAUUAUUGAUACAUAAAAAAUACAAAAUACAUAUUUAUCACUAAUAAAAAUUAAAAAAAAAUAAAAAAAAAACAUGUAAUGAAUAUCGAUCAUUGAUAAAUAUCAAUAAAAUACGGGACACGUAUUUUUCACUAGUAAACAUAUAAAAAAACACCAUAAAAACAUUUGCCACUAAACAUUAAAAACAACUCAAGAUAAAUAUUUAUAACCAAUAAAUAAAUCAAAAACACAUAACAAAUAUUUAUCACUAAUAAAAUAUAGAACAAAUGUUUGUUACUGAUAAAUAUUAAAAAAGACACUAAAUAUAAAAUAAUACAAAACUAUCAUUUGUCAAUAAUAUACAAAUUAAAAAAUAAUCAAAUAUAUUUUACCGAUAAAUAUAAUUAUAUGAUGAACAAAUAUUUAUUAUUAAAAUGACUUGUAUAUAUGACAUACAACUUUUGUAAUAUCUUUUGUUAAUAUUUAUCUUUAUUGUAUAAGAAUUUAAUUGUAUAAAUUUCAACGUUACUAUAUUAUUUUGAUUAUAUUAAUUUUACGUCGUUAACAAUAUGCAUUUAUAAUUUAUUUUAAUAUUUGAACAAAACACGUAAACGAAAAAACAUACUUCUAUUAUUAUUUAUAUACUUCUCGAAUUGAAAAAUUAAACCCGUGCAAAUUCCCAUAAUUCUUACUAGUUUUAAUUAACAAAAUUAAAUCGUUGUAUUGAGACCGUUUGUCUUUUGGCCCCUCUUGUGCCUGUCUUUCAAUAAAAUAUUUUCUCAGUUACCAAAGAAUUAUUAAUGUAAUAGUUUAGAUUUGUGUGAUCUCCAAAAAGUACGAUAAUGCAGUGUUGGAUCGCAUGUCAUUUUCAACUUCCAAUCCAUGUUGUCCAUAUAAGCAUGCAUUUUAUUAAAUGCAAAUUACAUAUUUUUCUAAAUUACUUUUAAAAAGAGUGAAUAAUUUAUCCCAUUCAAUAAAAUUAACAUAUAUGUAGUAAAUUUGUAACUAGAGUAAAUAUUAUAUUUUAUCAUAUUGCAAAUUUACUUAUAGAAUUAAUUUGUAUUAAAUAUUAAGUAAAUUAUCCACAAUUUUUCAAAAACAACCUAAUUAUCGCCAUUCAAUAAUUGUCCAAUGUAAGAAAAGAUCAAAUUAGACGUCUAAUCCAAUAUGUAUGCCAAUUAUAAAAUGCAUGAAUAGACGGAAGAUUCCCGUUGAAAACUUAAUUUUGAACUAAAAGCAUCACUCAUCAAAUUGGAUGAUCUCUUGCAUGCAUGCUUCGGGUGUUUAAUUAUUAAUUAGUAUUGUCUAACUACAAUUACGACUGUGCAAAAAAUUCAGUUAUGAAGUCUUAAUUUAAAAUCGAUUUCAAAUUCAUUUUAAAUAUCCGAUUAAAAUUAUAUGGUUAUAAUUCGGUUUAUUUAUAAACUAGUUGGAUAACCACUUAUGUUUUAUAUUUGGAUUUGGUUUUUAUCCACUAUCAAUAUUUUGUUAAUUUUGACAUUUUAUUUAAAAAAAAAAAUUUAAAAUUUUAUUUUUUUUCAAAAAAAUAUCAGAAAAAAAAAAUAAAACUUUUUUUCUCAAAAGAAUUUUAAAUCAAAAUUUUUCUCGAAAAGUUUGGUGAGAAUUUUUUUAAAAAAAUUUAUCGAAAAAAUUGAUUUUUUUAAAUAACCGAUUUUUAAACUAUGAAUAAAUGAUUUUUUAAAAAAUAAUCAAAUUUUAACCGAUUUUAAAAUUAAAAUUUUCAAAAUCGGUUGCUUAAUUAUAAAUCGAUUAUUUAACCAUAACCAAAUUUUACAAUUAGUUUUAUAACCGAUUUUAAACCAAAUAAUAGAUUUGAUUAUAAAUCUAAAUUCAUAUAUUAAUUUUAAAAUAAUAUGGUUUGUUUUUUUUUUUUUUAAAACUAACCAUGAACAGCCCUAACUACAAUACAUUUUUUUGAAAAUUAAGGAUCUAUCCUACCUAUAAUCUAAAUAGAUGUCGGUAGUCCAUUUAGAGUUGUUGAGAAUGGCAAGUUAAUUAGUUAAACAUAUUGUCCUACAUAUUGCACAUCAUGUGCUUAAGUAAUUCUAUCUUUUCAUGCAAAAAAAAAAAAAAAAACAUUGUCUUAAAUAUUGAUAUUGAUAUAAAAAACAUUGAAAAAAGUUGAAGUAGGAGAAUGAAAGAUGCAAAGAAGGAAUUGAAACAUUUAGACGAUGCUAAUACAUCACUAAUUGCAUUGUUCUCCGAAGAGGAAAUUAGAUGCGCAAUGUUGGACUGACAUAGUCUCAAGAGUUCGAUGAUAUUUCAGUUGGUUUCUUCAAGUAGUAUUUGGAAGACAUAAAGACAGAUUUCAUCAAAUACAUUUUGGAAUUUCAUGUUAACGGGGAAAAUUUGUGAAAGGAGGAGGAAAUUACAAGUCAUUCAUUGUGUUGAUACCCAAGAAAGAUAAGCCACAAAGAUUAGGAGAGUAAAUAUAUAUAUAUAUAUAUAUAUAUAUAUAUAUAUUAUAUAUUAUAUAUAUUUUAUUUCUAAUUGGGUGUAUAUACAAAGUCUUAGUAAAAUUAUUGACCAAUAUAAUGAGAGGAGUAAUUAAUAAAGUUCUUAGAAUCAAACAACUAUAUUGUCAAAGAAUGACAAAUGUUGGAUGAAAUUUUAAUCGCUAAGGAAUUAUUUCACGAGAUGAAGAGAAGAAAAAAGAAGACAAUGUUAUUUAUAAUACAUUUCGAAUAGGCAUGUGAUUUAGUUGAGUGGUAUUACUUAUAGGCCAUUAUAAGUAAACUGGAUUUCUAUGAGUGUUGUAGGAGAUAGAUUACAUGAUGCGUGAGCAUAACGUUAAUUUGAGUUUUGGUAAACAAAAGUACAACUAAAUAAUAUAGAGUUGAUUGUGAUUAAGGCAAGGUGAUCCACUAUUGUCUGUCGUAUAUUAUGAUUGGUGCAAAAAGACUUAUGAAAACAAUCAACCAUCUAAUCCAAUUUAGGAACGACACCAUUAAAGUAAUAUUUCACCCUCUUGAGAUGGUUUCAUGAUUAAAAAUCAAUAUCCAUAAAAUUAAAAUUGUUUGUUAGGAAUUAAAGUUUCUCGAUAUUGGUUACAUGAAGCGGCUCAUAUGUUAAACUUUAAAAUUGGUGAUAUCCAAUUAUGUAUUUGAGAUUUCUUGUUAGAGUUAACCGUCACAACAAUCAAUUUGAAAGUUAGCGUGCUUUGAAAAUGUCAUCCUAUCUUACAAAAUGUGAAAACAUAGUUAUAGAGUUGCUUCUUGAUAAAACGACUUGGACGAGACCUCAAAUAUUUUAAGAAUUCAUAUUUAUAGAGAUAGUUUGAUGAAGUUGCUUACCCAAGAUUUAAUAAGAUAUAUAUUGAGAGAAUGCUUAGAACCUCGUACACUUCAAUGUUAUGAUUUCUAAAAUAAUUUGCAAAAAUCAAAAUUUCCACCUAAUCUCCCUCAUAUGCCACCUAAUAAAAAAACAUAGUAUUAUGAUGGUUUAUCUUAUCACGUAUCUCAUAUUGUGACCAGCAAAGGGCCUUAUGCUUUAAUUUUCGAAACAAAAAAUAGAUAACAAAAGAAUUUAGAUACGUAAUACUUACCUCAUUAUAUAAAUUUACACUACACAUAAUGAAAUUCAACGGUAAAGAAUGGGGCAUUGGGUAUUGAUCGAAUACAUGUUUUUGUAAAGGCAAUUGAAAGAGGAAGUGAAGAUGCAUGAAUACAUAUAUCGAAGUAGACUAAAGAAGUAAAGUCACAAAUACAUAUAAUGAAUUUUGCUUAUAAUUAAAAAUGACAUUGUUAGCGUAUUCCUCACAUUUCUAUUACUUUAUUUGGCAUACAAAAAGCAGCUUCUCAAUGUUUGGCUUUAAACAUUCAAAAACUAUAAAUUUUGAAAAAGUUGAUAUGCUAAAGUUAAUUUCAGUUCAUGCAUGAAUAAUAAUGGUGUAAAUUACUUCAAUUUUUCCUUUGCUAUAUAUACUCAUCUAAACGUACUAGAGCCAUGUGAACUUUCAGUCUCACAAGGGGAGCCAACUUCAUAUGUUUGUCUGUUCUACUUCGUGCAUAUAUUUAUGACUAUUAAAUAGAAUUGAUGAUUUUUUUUAGGCAAAGCAAUAAUGACGACAAUAAGACAAAAUAUAUAAACAUUGCUAUUACAAAUAUUCGACAAUACAAUGUAUUUAUUAUUAAUGGCCUACCCCGGAAACAAAUCCAUAUAAAUAUAAAUAUAAAUACGAAAAGCCUAGCUAAGUGACCACACUAUAUAUUAAUAUUAAUUACCCUCUUAAUAUUACUUACAUAAUAUAUACCACAAUCUUCAAACAUCGAAUCCCAAUCUAGCAUGUGCCUUUGCCCAUAAAUACACUCACAAAUAAACGAAUUUUGACAAUUUAAUUAAUAAUAAAGAACCUUAUAUAUAUACUAUACAUGUACAUGUAAAAUACAUACAUAUCUUUAUAGUAAGACCAUAUUAUUAUUAUCAACCUCAAAUCUUAUCGCGUCCAAGUUUGAGGCCACGCCAUCUUCUAGGCUAUUUUCUUCCAAAUCCAUGUUCCACAAGAAUCCAUAUCCAUCAUGAUCACCUUUGGAACUAAUUUGAGUAAUAGUGCUAUUAUUAUUAUUUGGAUUUGUAUCACGAGAAUAAUGAAGGAGAUUCAUCAUGGAAGAAUUGUUUUGGUUGGGAAUUAAAUGAUGAAGUGUUGUCAUAGAGGAAGAAAAAGAAUCAAUUCGGUUAUAGACACUAGGCAUGGUUUGGUUUGUUGGAGAUGAUGACGCCAAAGUUAGGGAUGGAUGUGUUGUCUCAUACAUGAGUUGUUGUGUGUUGAUUUUGGAAUUGUUAUUGUUAUUGUUGUCUUCUUUGCUUUUGUGAAAGACUCUACACAAAACCCAGUCCUCCUGUAAUCAAUAAAACUUUGACCUAAUUAACAAAAAUAUAUGUGUAAUUAAAUAAACUUUACCCUUACGCCAAAAAUACACGGCAUCAAAUUAUGGUACCUUUUUUUUUUUUUUUUUAAGAUUUUAAGGUAGCCUUUUAUUUUCCCCUUACAGUUUAUUUUAUUUAUUUAAUUGCUUACGCCCUACGACAAUUCGUCUUUAACAUAAAGGAUAACUCUUUCUCUAAUGAGAAAUUGAAAAAUAUAUCAUGUGCAUUUUAUGGAGAAUAUAUCCUAAAACUUGUUUGGUCAUAUUUUCAACAAUAUUAUAAAGCUUGUUGAGAUACAUAUUCCCUAAUACUAUCAACUUUUAGUUGCGGAGAAAUAGUCAAUAAGUUUUUAAAACUUUAUAUCAACUUUUGAAUUGUGAUCUACUUAAUUUUUAUUUUUAAGUCAACAGAUACAUUUUUCAAAUCAAUGUUUUACAUCAAAUGAUUAUAUAUAUAGUAAGAUUUGAAAGCUAUAGAUAGUUAUGUAUGUGGAUAAUCCAAUUUAAGGGUCAGACCACUAAAUAGUUUUAGGUUUUAAAAAUAAAAUUGUCUCAUAUUUUAAAACUUUUAAAGUUAAAAUUAAUAAAAUCUUAUAAAAAGUUAAUAUGGGGUCUCAAUAAAUAUUAAAUUAAUUGGCUUUAUUAUCAAUUAAAAAAUAAAUAUUAUACAAAAUCAAUUCUAUUAAUUUAAUAAAUAAUUCUAUGUUAUAGGGUUUAAUAAUUUUGUAAUCACUGUAAAAUUUUAAUAUUUUAUUUUUAGUCUUAUAAAAAAUUUCUUCAACUUUUAGUUUCCAAAAGUUUUUCGUCUUUAAUUUUUAUCCUAUUUUUAAGUAAACUCAUGGUUAUGCUUUGAAUUUUUUAAUGAUUUUUUAAAUGCAAGUUUAUGAUAUUAUAAAAAUCUAUACCACAAAAAUUUAUAAUUUGUUAACAAGAGAUAUAAAUUAAAUACGAAUUUUUAAGCACAAAAACCUUAAAUUUUCAUAUUUAAUUAAUCUAUUUUAAAAAAUAAUAUAAAUUUAUUUAAGGGAGAUUUAUAAUGUACUAAAUAUGAUCAUAUAUAAAAAUAUUUAAAUUCAAAGGAUAUAUAUGGGUUGACUUAAAAGUAAAGACAAAAAAUGAAGAACAAAUAUUUUUUAGACUAAACAUUCAAGAAAUUUUUUAUUGAAACUAAAAAUAAAACAUCAAAAUUUAUAAGAAUUAAAAACUUGUUUAAUUCUAUAUUAUAAAUUUUCUAAAAAUUCAUCUUUAAUAAAAAUUAAUAAUUUAAAAAAUAAUAUUAUAAACUUUAAAAUAUCUAAUACUAUUAAAAUAUGUGUCGGACCUUCAAAUAUUUGGAUCAGCCCAAUUGGUAAAUUUUUAUAUCAACUUAUAAAUAGGAUAUGUAUGUAUUGGUAUGUUAAAUAUGUGUACUACUUGUAUGAAGUUAUAUGAGCGAAAGACAUGGCUUCUUGAAUUUGUUUCACAUUACAUAUAUCAUGAACGAUUUAAUUUUAUAUAUUUUAUCAAGGUAAAAACUUAUUAAAUUGUCAGUUAAUCAUAACAUUGAAUUAUUGAGAAAUGUCCAACUUUAACUAUAACUAUGUCUAAAAUCAUAUAUUUUGAUAGUCGUUAGGGAUGAGAAUAGGCUAGUUCAUCCGUCAGGGGCUUAUGGUCUAUUUAAUAAAAAGGUUAGACUCAGACUAUUUUUAAAGCAUAUUUAUUUAAAUAGGUUAUAAAAAAGCUUAUUAGGCAUGUCAGACCGAUCUAUAUAUAUUUUAUUAUUUAUUAAUGUUAUUUUUUAUUAUUAUAUUUAUAAUAAUAUUUCCUAUUUUAAAUUCUAUCAAUUAGACAAUCACUCAGUGAUCAUUCCAUAUUCGGUAGUCGUUCCAUAUUUGGUAGUUGUUCUUUAUUCGGUAGUCAUUCAAUUAGUCAAUCACUCAGUAGUCGUUCCAUAUUUGUUUGAAAGGUAAUAAUGGGUGCGUUUGUUACAGAAAAAAAAAAAAAACCUAUUCUUUGAAAUCAAAAAUUAUUUUUUAGAGUUUAAAUGAUGUUUCUUUCAGAUUUUUUAAAAAUUAUUUUGUUAGAAAAAUUAUUUUUUGUUUAAUAUAUAUAGAUAUGUACACUGAUAUUGGUAUGUGGACAGAAUCAUGUAGUAUGAGUAGAACAUUUAAAUGUUUUAAUGUGAAUAAUGCUUUUAAAUAGGCUUUCAGAUUAGGCCAAGCUAGAUCAAAAAAAAAGCCUACGAUAGGCCUAAAAAAUUAAUCAUAGGCUAUGCUCAGGCCUUUCAAAGUCUGACCUGACAUGACUUAUGCCCACUCCUAAUAGUCGUGUGCAUCGAUAAUAUAAUAUUUUACAUUGACAAAUAUGACAGUUAAUCUUUAUUUGUGUUUUAUAAUUUGAAAUCAAAUACUUAAAUAUUCAACAUCGAGAAAUAUAUAUUUGUUAACAAAUUAUGAAGUCAAGGUGUGUAUUACUCAUGUCUUAAAUAUUAGUAGAAGUUUAGUUAAAAGAGAGUUAUGUAUUCAUAAGUAAUUAUAAUAAAAGUUAUUUAUUAUUAAUGAUUUAACAAUUAUAAUUAAUUAAUAGUUUAAAAAAAAUUACACUGAUAAUAUAUAUAAAAUCAAAAUUUUUAAAUAAAUAUAAUAAAAUUUUUGACUAAAUUUCAUUAUUUAUAUUUAAGAUAGUAGAAAAUGAAGUAUAGCUCUUACUAAUCAUGAGCAAGAUUUAUAUCCUGUAUACAUAGGACAUAGGCCUGUCUCUCAAUUUGGAUGGAUAUGCAUGAGUCAGAUUGAAUAUUAGGAUAUAUUCAUGGAAUAUAAAAAAGAUGACACUAAGUUGUGUCUCGUGUAUAUCCACUUGCAUAAGUAAUACCGGAAAAUAAUCCAAUGUUGUUGCUUAAUUGGUAUUUGCAUCAUUUCAAUGUAAAAAAUUUGCGAAAAGAACCGUAUUACGGUUUAUAUAUAUAUAUAUAUAUAUACUUUUUUCUGCAAUAGUUCCCUAAUAUAUCUCACUUUAUAAAAUAUAUACCGCAGAAUAAUAAAAAAAUAAAAAAAUUAUAAGUUGAUAAAAUAAUUAUUAAAUUUCUUUUUUUUAUAAAUGAUCGCAUAUAAGGAAUGUAACUUUUUACUGCAAAAACAAAAAAUAUCAGAAAAUAGGUUGUUUGUAAAAAAAUGUAGGACAUUUUAAUAUAUAUUUUUUAAAGUGAAGUUUAUUGGUGAUUUUUUUUAUAAAAAUGAUAUAUAUAUAUAAAGAACACCAUAUUACAUAAAAAAAAAAAUUGAAUGUGUCCAUUUCUUUUUAUUUAUUUAUUUAUAAAUGCGGGCUUUGUGUGUGCCUGAAAGAUCUAUGAGGGACGAUAUAUCUAAAUUGAAUUUUGGGAAAAACUAAGAUUAUGUAUGAGUGCUUAAUAUAUGUAUCAAUGUUAAACAUGUGUUUUUCUGGGCACAAAAUAUAUAAGCUUGGUGUAUAGCUCAAUAGAUCUACAAUAAAAUCUAAUAGUAUCUUAAUUGAAUUUUGAGUUUAAUUUACCUCUGUAAAAUAAAAUUUUAUGUGAGGAGUGUCUACUGUUUAUAAGUUUAUUGGUUUUUGUUUUUGUUUAUGUAAGAUAUAGUAUUUCCAAAGUUAAAUUGAAAGUGGCAGCCUAUAAAAUGGGAUAUGGAUACCCUAGGAUAAUUGAAGAGAAAAUAGAUAGGAAAGAAAUUACCUUAGGAGGCAUAUGUGGUGUCUCCAAUCGAAAUUCAUGCAUAAUCCACCCUGUUUUGAUACCAUUUGGAGCUCUGUUCCUAUAGAACACCAAUGUCUUCCUCAUCCCUACAACCUCUUGCGUCAUUGGAUCUAACACCGUUCGAUCCUUCCCCGUUGCUUUCCAAUACCCAGAUAUUGUUGCUCUGUUUGUUCUAAACCCUGUCGCAUAUUUUCUGUCCCUAAAGCUAAAGAAAUACCAUUCAUUUGCAUUCAGCUUUGCCACCUCUGCAUGCAAUAUUCAUUAAUAUACCAAAUAGACAACACGUGACUAAGGUAAGGUAUAAUAGUACAUAUAUUUGCAAUUAAAUUGUCUACCAAUUCAAUUUUGGAAAUUAAUAAUUGUCUUAUGUCUUGUGAGUUUGGAAUCACAUGUCAUCUUCUUCAUUAUGACAUCAAAUUUUCAAGUUCCCAAUUUUACCAAACAAAGAUGACACCAACAUAGCGUUUCAUGACAUCAACCACAGUUAUCACAAUUUACAAGUUUCAAACCUCCAACUCACUGUUUUUGCUAUUUAUGUAUUUUUUUUCUUUCUCCUUCUUAUUACCUCAUUUCAUAGCUUUCAUAAUUAAUGUUGUGCAUCAAUAAGAACUAAUUAACCACAACCAAGAAAGAUCGUGAAUAAAUGUCAUUUCGUGCUUAAAAAUUUGUUUUUCUUAUAUUUAAUUAUGAGGGGACCCUAACAAGGACGCAUCUAUAGAUAAUAUGAUAAUGAGUCAUAAUCAUUUAGAUACAGAGUCAUAUCAAAUAAAGGUAAUUCAAGCGUAUGCAUAUUUAUUUUUUUAUACACGUACGUAUUUGUAUAAUAAUAAUACUGUUAAAGACGGGAUUAAUUGUUGAUUGCUUCAUGAAAAUGUAUUACUUUGUCAACAUAUAUAUUUGUUAAAAUAAAUAAUAAUAGUUGCCAAAUAGGUAUAUAUCUGAAACUUAAAAUUAAAGAGACACUUUGACAAAUAAAUAAAGGAAAUUUCAUUUAAAUAAAUCUCAAGAGAAUUCAUUAGGCCUCUAAUAGUUAUUGUUCACAGAAUAAGUGAUAAAUAACAAUCAAGUUGUACAUAAAUGAAUAUUUUAAAUAAAAAAUUUAUAUGAGGAUAUUCUAUAAAUAUGGCUCUGUACUCAUGAUGUAGAAAAAAGUAAAAACGUUUUUUAUAUUGAAGAAUGCAAGGGGAUCCUUGCAGCAAUGAUUGAAGAUAAUGUUUGUGUGAUAUAUAGUCAUACCAAAGAUUUGUAUAGUGUAUGUGCUUUUAUAUUUAUUUUGAUUCGUUGCUAGUGCAAAUUGAAGAAUCUUUUAUAUCAUAUAAUAUUUGAUAAUGAAUGAUGCAUCUGAAUUAAAUUAAAGUAACUCUUUGUUGUCUUAUACUUUGUAUUUUACUUCAAAAGGAUAAAUGUUAUCUUCCUAAAUUGAUUGCUUUUUAAAUCCGUUUUAACUGAAAGAAGAAAAUUGUUGGAAAAGAAGGGAAUUGAUCAGAUAAAGGAAAAAGACAUGUGAGAAGAUAGAGCUUAUUAAAAAAAAACAUAAUUUCCAUCUUCAUUAAUGUAAUUAAUUGUAUAAGACAACUAUAUACAAAAGGCAAAAACAAUUAUACCAUCAAAUCUACAUCAAUUAGUGAAGUAUAUGUUACAUAAAAAUUAAUUAUAAAAAAAAAAAAAAAAAAACUGAUUUUUUAUUUAUUUGUAGAGAGGCAGAGUAUUCAUGAAGGACUAUUAAUUUGGCAUUACAUACAUGAAUGCAUUAUGAUCUCUUCCUCUUACCUCUCCAUCCCUUUUUUUCAUUAUCUCUCUCUCUCUCUCAUGGUUGUCAGAGCAGGUUCAUGAAGGAAGACAAAACAACAACUAUAGUCUAUAGACACAAACAAAAAUUUAUGAGGAAAUAAGAACAAGCAUCUAUCUUUUUGUGAUGUGAAGUAAUUAAUGUUAUAAAGUUACUUUUCUAGUUUUCUUGUAACAUAGACACAAACAAAAGGAAAACAACAAAUGGGAAAAGAUCAUGCAGUUACAAACAAAACAGAUCUUCCAAAAAUGAAAAAAGAAAAAUAAAACUAUAAUAACAAGAUAAAGUCAUAAAGAUAAUUAAUAAAUAAAUAAUUAACAUUAAUAUACCAGGAAGCUGCCAUGGUUCACAUAUGUGAAGAUCAAUUUCUACCAAAGUACCCUUAAGAACUUCCUCAUUUGAAAUCUUUUUGUAAAGAUAGUGACAAACCAAUUCCUCAUCACUUGGAUAAAAUCGAAAUCCAGGAGGAAGUGAAGCUCCUAUGUCUCUCAAACCCAUGGAUUUGAUAUUAAUUUGAAAGGAGUGAAAUAAAGAAAGAAUAUUUUUUGUGGAUCAGAGUUGUAUAAAGCAAGGAAUGUGGAUAAUGUAUAUAAUUGAACCUUGGAGAGAGUUAAUCACUAUAGUAUGGUAUUUUGAAAUAUUAAGGUGUAGGCAGAAAGGUUGGUACCGUGUAUUUAUAUAUAGUUAGGAAGAUAAAGAGAGUUUGGGAGUUUAAUUAUAAUUUGUUACUAAAAUAUUCCAGCAGGGGCAUGCUUGUGUAAAUGGUUAGUUAUAGUAGGAAGUUUCAAGAUAAACCAAAGUUACAAGAAAUCUUCUAACAAAUAAGACGAGAACAACACUGUAACUAUAUAUCAAACAUACAAAUGCUUCUAAUUUUAUCAUUCUCUAUUAUUAAAUUAACUAGCUUUUUUUAAAAAAAAUAUCUAUGCCUAUAUAUAUAUAUAUAUAGCAGUUUUUCUUUCUAUUUUAUUCUUUUGUUUAAAUUAUUUUAUCAUUUUUUACUAAUAAAAUAACUUAAUUGUUUUGAAAUAUUUGUUUAAAUUUUGCAAUUUCAAUAAGUUGAAUGUACUACGAUAAAAUUUGCACUUUUUAUAAGUAUUUUAACAACUGACCCAAUAACAUUUUUUAGUAUAUUAUGUUAGUAUUUUCUCUGUUUUCACCCUUAAUACAUUCGAUCCCUUAAUUCAAAUUAAUUGAAGUACCUUAAAUUGAUUCUUAUUCUUAAGCAAUUGUUUGUCAUAUAUAAUGAACAAUUAUUACAUGUCGUAGCUAGCUACUUGCUCAAAUUGGUCCUUUAAAUCUCCUUGCACGCAUAAAGUUGGUCUUUUUUAAUUUUUGUUACCAAAAUACAUGUUACUAUUAGGAGUUUGAUAUGGAUUAAACGGCGCUGAUUUAUACCUUGUAAAUUUAUAUCAAAUUGGUGUUUUAAGUUUUGUGUUAUAGUAGAUUAGUCUUUUAAAUUUGUUAUUUUAUAAGUACUUGUCCUCCUCUUACUAUGAAACCCAACAAACAACAGUAAGAUCAAACAUACACAGCAAUUUUCAUCAUAUUUAUUCAUAUCACAAUCUCAAUUUAUUUUUUGGGGAAAAAAUUCUUUCAACCCAUCUUGAAAUCCAAAAAUUUUAAAAAUAAAUAAAUUUAGUCUUGAAACCCAACAAAUGAAACCUAGUAAAAGAAGAAGAAGAAAAAAAGCAAUUGGAUGGUUGAUAAAACCAUCUUGAAAACAAAAUCAGAAACCCAUAUUAAUGUUGUAGUGUUGUUCUUCUUCAUCUUCACUUUCAAAACCCAAAUUAAUUGUUGUGAAAAAUGAUUCAAAGAUUAAAAUUAUUCAACACUAAAUUAGAGAAUGGGGCAGUGAGAUUUCUACAAGGGCAAAGAUAGAGAGUAAGAAGAUGAUAAAGGUUGAUUAAAAUCUUGAAUCGAAACAUGAAAAUCAACUAUCGAUCUAGUUUUAGUAAUUAGGUUGGAUUUUUUUCUUUUCUUUUUUUUUUUUAAAAAAAAAAAAUUCCAAAAUGAUGCCUCUUUUUAAGUGAUUUGAGACUAAAAAGUAGAAAUGAAUAAUAACUUUCGCGCUGAAAAAAGAAUAAACUGAAAUGUAAAACACAGUUGUGUUUGACUUCUUUCUAGAAAUCAUGAUUGUUACUAGGCUUAAAUUUUGAUUGUAAUAAUAUUAUAAAGUUAUAGAUAUUAUAUUUUUGUUUUGUUUUAUAUUUAUAUUUGUAUUUUGUUUGACAUAAGAUUUUCAAAAUUAAUAAUAAUGUAUUAUUUAAUUAUUAUUAGUCUAAUUCCUUAUCAACCUAGCCCUAUAUGGAGGAACUCUUGUUUAGCCACAAUAAUUUGGACAAAUCAUUAACUCAACAAAAAUAUUAAAAAAGAGAAAAAAAAAUUAAAUAAUAUAUCUUUAAAAUAUUUAAAUAAAAUAUUUAUUUUUAUAUGAAUGUCUAAAUAAUAUCUCCAAAUCUGUAUUGUGAUUAAGCAAGAUUUGAUAUAUAUAUGUAUAUAUAUAUAUAUAUAUCAAACUAGUAAUCUUUAUACCGGUGACUAUACUCAUUCAAUGUAUUUAGUUACAUUGCUUUUAUGGCCUAAAAAACUAUUUUUAAGGUAAAAAACUACAUAUACUUUUUAUAUUGAUUUUGAUGAUAGUGUACUUGUAAAACCUUUCUAUAUGACCAGACUUUCUCUAAUGUACAUGCAUCGAUCCAAUAAUGUUGUAAAGAUAAAUUUUUUUACUACCGACAUUCAUGAUCAAUCAGCAUCAGAUGUCUGAAGUACCAAAGUAUAUGGUUUGAUUUUUUUGCUUUAUCAAAUAAAAAUGGUUUGAUUUUUUUUAGUUGUUUGUCCAAAAUGUUUAGCUAGCUAGGAGACCUCAUUGGAAGUAGUCUAAAACUUUCCUGGCUUUUGUUUACUAGAUUGAUAGAUAUCUUAAUUGGUUCAUCAAUUAGUUAAUUAUUUCAUAUUUUAUGUUAUGGUACAUUGAAUAGAGAUUCUUACUUGUAGAUCGUACCAAAAUCACGUUUUUCGUCGUUAUUCUUAUAAAUAUACUUUCGUCAUGCAUAUAUAUACAUACUUCUUUGUAGUACACUUCUUAAAUAACUUCGCUCCAAAUUCACAAUAGACAAGUGGCCGUUUUUGGUUUGAUAUACUUGUAAUUAAGCAAAUAAUAAAAAAUAUAUUCUCUCGAUCACUAUUAUAAAUAUAAAAAGUAUUCAAAUUUUGGUCAUUAGUAUAAAUAAAAGUUAAUUAUUUAGUCUUAUUAUUUUUAAUAAUCUUUAUUUAAUUCUAAAAUAUUUGACUUGAAAAAGUAGUUCAAUAUAUGAGAUUUAAAAUAGAUAAAUUAUUAAAUUCGACUAAUAUUUUACAUAAAAUUUAAAGAAAAUUAAUUUUGUUUAAUGAAAUUUUUUAAUAUCUAUGAAAGUAAUUUUUUUGUUUAUGAUGGUGACCAAAGGAAAAACUCAAGAAGAGUCUAUGACUCAAAUUUAUAUACACAGAGAUUUGAAUAAUACCAUAUUUAAAAGAAUAAAACUCAAUAUAAAAAUAUAAUAAAAUAAAAAUUGUUUGUUUAUUUACAGUAAUUAAUUAAAUGGAGAAAUAUACAGUGUUAGAUUGGGUUGGCGAAGCACGUGAGGUAUUUGAUAAGCUCUCAAAUAAGCGCAAAAUAGUUGAAGAUGGAGAGAUCCUAAACAAAAAAGAAGAAAUAAUUAAUAGCAGCUGUAAGUAGAAUUGAAUGCCAAUCAUGAACUUUGGAAGUCCCAUAUGUUCCGUUCUCCAUCACAGAUUCAUAGUUUGGAAAUGACGUAUGUAGCUGUGGGGUAUCCUAGCUAAUUGUCUUUUGAUAUGGGGUCUCUAAAUUGCCCACUUAUAAUUUGGAGGUUAAAUAACAAUAAUACUACAUCACUCUCUUUUUUUUUUUGUCUUUUAAAUUUUUUUUUUGAACUUUCAUUAUUUUUUAAAAUCAAAAUAUAAUAAAUAGUAUUUUUUUUAAUACCAUUAAAAAUCACAAAAUAUGGAUUAAGUUAAGUUUAUUUCUUUUAAUAAAUAAAAAGUAAAAAACUAUUUACAUAAAUUUAUUGUUUCUUAAUAUACAUGUUUAAUAUUAAAAAAUCAAAGUUCAGAGAUCAAAGAAAUAAUAAUAAUAAUAUCUUUUGUUAAGAUAAUUAUAUAUAUAUAUAUAUAUAUAUAUAUAUUAAUUUGGCUCUUAUAAUUUGAAGGUUAAAUAAUAAUAAGAUUCUUUUGCUAAUAUCAUUUUUUAUUGUACUGUUGUCAUAUAUUGUGUGUAUAUAGUGUAUAUAUAAUGAAUAGGUCAGGUUAAUUAGCUUUAGAAAUUGUAAAUAUUAGUUAACAUCGUCUUUGAUUUUUAUGAAUUGAGAAAUAUACUAUUGAAUUUAUAAAUUGUUAUUCAAAAUAUAUACUUUAUCGGUUGAUCUACUUGUUAGAGAUUAUAAUGUGAUGUAUUUAAAGAAUAUUUCACAUUACACAAUGAUUUUAUUUCAAGAUCAAUUUAUUAUAGAUUAAUUAACUUGUGAAAUUUAGAUCAUCUAAGUGAUAAUUUUUUUUUAAUAAUUGUGACUGUGUAUAAAUUACGAAUAAAUUAAUUUUUGAGAAAUUAAAAUUUCAUAGAUAAAUUACUAAAUUAGUCUUUGGUGUGACGAUUUUAGUAAAUGAUCAUUGUAAAAGAGUUAUAUAUUUAAUUAAUAUAUCAUAUCAUAAUUAAUCUUUAAUUAUAUAAGUUAAUAGAUAAUUUGUUUUGACAUACAUUAUACAAAUUCAGAUACAUAUUUUUCAAUCGCUAAAAAUCAAAGGCAAUUUUAACUAAAUAAUUUCGAAGACUAAUUUUUAUGUUCACUCCGUAUAUAUUUUAUGUCUUGAAAGAAAGCCGGACUAUAUAUAUGGGUUGAAGACUUAUACUCUAUGCUGAUAAUUAUUUUUUAUUAUUAUUAUUAUUAUUAAUGAACUAAUAUUAGUAUGUGAUUU